GCGUGCAUAGGAGAUGUAGGUAGUGGCGGAGCAUGAAGCCCAUUGUUGGGCGGGCCAAACAAAAGAAAACAACCUGUGGACCGAUGUUCCAAGGUUCAGAAGGAAAAAAAUAGUGUACAAACUGCAGAAAGUUGGACGGGCCAUGGCCUAUUCGGCCUUGCUGUGGCUCCGCCAGUGGAUGUAGGGGCUCAAGGCAGAGCUCACCUGGCCACAUGAGAUUACAGCAUCUGUGGCUAUGAGGACCAUUGCUGCCAUGAGGGCGAACACCACGAGUUAGCAGCUGCAGCACGGGCCAUCUUGAUCAAGCUAGCAAUAGUAGUGGUGUUGAGCUCAGAUGUAGAUGAUGAGAUGGAUGGACUUGCUAAGUGAUUGUACUUGUGAGGAGUUCUGUAGGGGUUGCAAGAGCUUAAAUAGGGAUUCCGGCAAAUAUGGGAUCCCAUUCGGAAUAACUGUACGCUAUCAUGGUGUCAAGUAUUGCGUCCAGAUGGACCAAUUGGGUUGAUGCGAGCAAAUACAUAAAUUUAGGUUGUUGUUUGAUGUUGGAAUUCAUUUAUGGUCGUUAAUGCAUUUUGCUGGAUGUUGAGUUCGCUAGUAGAAAACAGGGCAUACGUCCGGGCCAGAUAAGCCCAUUAGUCCCGGUUCAGUCACGAACCGGGAUCAAUGGGGCAUUAGUCCCGGUUCGUGUCUCAACCCGGGUCUAAAGGCAUUCAUCCCGGUUCAAAUGAGCCCUUUAGUCCCGGUUUGAGACACAAACCGGGACUAAAGGGUGGUGUGCCCUUUAGUCCUCGUUUGUGUCUGAAACCGGGACUAAAGGUUAGCCAUUUAGUCUCAGUUUGAGACACAAACUGGAACUAAAGGGUGUGAUGUCCUUUAGUCCCGGUUCGUGUCUCAAACCGGGACUAAAGGGCCCAUUUUCAAACUCUACACCCCCCCCUCCGGAUCGCCUUUUCAGUUUUGUAAGCAAAAGAAAAUGAUAAGAACUUCGAAAAUUAAAAUCCUUCGAGAUGUAGUUAUAUUACUUAAUCUACUAGUUAGGAAAAUUAAAGAACUUAAAUUUGGACAUGUUUUGCAAAAAAAAGUGUUAUAAAAAUGUAAAAUGGCCAUAUCUUUUGCAUACAAUGUCGAAAAAACACAUAAUAUAUCAAAAAAUCAGCACGAAAAUCCGCAUCCGAUUUUGACCGCCUAUGGUCUGUUUGCAAUUUUUUAGAAUCCUCAAAUUCUAAAACGAAAAAAAGUUAUGCUCAAUUUUUUUUAAUUUUCAUUAAAUCUGGUCAAACUACUUAUUCAAGAAGUAUUAGUGUUACUACACAAUUAUUCAAGAAUAUUAGUGUUACUAAAUAAUUAUUUCAGUUUUUUUGAAUUUUGGUCAAAUCUGAUCAAACUAUGGUCAAACUGUGCUCAAACUAUAGUCAAACUAUCAUCAAACUUAUUAUUCAAGAAAUAUUAGUGUUACUAAAUAAUUAUUGUUUUUUAGAAUAAUAGUUCCAAACUCAAACAGUGAAAUGUGUGACUUCAUGCUCAAGCUAAACUCCUGAGGGUUAAUAGGAUUAACAUCUUAUUAUUGUUAGGAAAACAACAAGUGCAGACUUGGAAACGAGGGGGAAUAGAACCCGGAGGUUAAGCGUGCUCAGGAUAGAGUAGUGAGAGUAUGGGUGACCAGCCGGGAAGUUAGAUGAUUUGAAAUGAUGAGGGAUGAUUAGAGAUUAGAGGUUAAAUUGAGUUGUGAUGAGGGGAUGAGGGGUGGUUAGAGACUAAAUUGUAAAAUAAUUCAGAAAUUUGAAAUCUUGAAAAAAAAUCAAAAGAAAAUUCAAUUUUUUUCCAUAAAAAUACCUUUAGUCCCGGUUGGUGUUACCAACCGGGACUAAAGGUGGAGUUCCAGACAGUGGCCACGUGGAGGGGCUUUAGUCCUGUGGUUCGUAUAAGAACCGACACUAAAGGGGUGCCUUUAGUGACGAUCCUUUAGUCCCGGUUCGGGAACCGGAACUAAAGGCCCUCACAUACCGGUUCGAAUGGCCCUCUUUCAACUAGUGGUUGGACCCGAUGGAUGGACCUAGUAUACAUAUACAUAUGAGUAGCGGUGUGGAAUGUGGUUGAUAAGCGUGUGCACAACACAUUAAUGCAUUUUGCUGGAUGUUGAGUUGAGCCCGAUGGAUGGACCAAGCAUACAUGUACACAUGAGUAGCUGUGUGGAAUGUGGUUGAUAAGGCUGGUCAUAGUGGGGAGUAACUUAUACUAGUGUCAUGCAUAUGACACUAGCCUAAGUUACUACCUUCAUAGUGCAAAAUAACAUAGUAGUAGUGUCAUAGAGGACUUCAUUAAUUAGCUUGUAGACUCAUCUUGUCUUGGAAAGCGCUAUGUUACAGUAACAUAUUAUGUUAUCACUUCUCAUUAACUACAUGCCACAUAAGCAAAAAAAUCUCGGAGUGCGCUAUGUUACUUGCUAAGUUACUCCCACUAUAACUAGUCUAAGCAUGUGCAUAGCCGAUUAAUGACGGGACUAAGAGACGUACUUCUCAGUCUCUCAUGCAGCAGUGUAGUUGAGUGCAUUGAUGACAGUGAGCUUGAACUGUGAACUACAUAAAUCUGACAGUGCAUGCGGUUUUAGAGAAAGUAUAAUAAGGUGACGUAAGCGGAUUGCAAGGAUUUAAAUAUUAUAUUAUUACUAAGUUGAAAGUGAGAGAAGAAUAGAGAGAAGAGAAGCGGUUGUAGACUUAUAGCCGGCUAUAACACGAGCUCGAAGAAGCUUUGUGGGAGUGGAUGGUGGGCCAUAUGUUGACAAAGUAGUAUAUAUAGCCAACUAUUGUACUAGUUGGCUUUUACAUUGGCUAUAAAUGACAUGGCAGCAUGUUAUAGCCAGCAGUUAGCUAUAUUAUUAAUCAUGCUUUUAUAGGGCUCCAGUCAAAUGUAUUUACUCAUUUUGUCUCAAAUGUUUAGUUCAACAAUGCUUAACUAAAAGUAAAUUAACUUUGUGCCAAUGUCACGAGUUGACAUUCAUUGAUGUGGUCUUCAAACGUAAAUUUUGUAUAUCAAUUUAGUUUUUAUGAUGAAAUACUCUCCCGUCGCACAAUAUAAGAUUGUUUGUCAAGGUAACAUAGCUUGAAAAACUUUUUUAUAUUAUGAAACAGAGGGAGUAUGCCUUUCAAGUAAAUAGAAAUGACUUAUAUAUGUCAAUUUGACUGAGUAAAACAUCAACUAUAUUUGGCAAACAGCUUUGGCCGACAGGAUCUGAUAGCUCAGUGUUGAUGCGAAUACAUGUACAUUGUGCCACUACCGUAAGGUCUAAGGCCAGCAUAAACAGGGUUCGACAGGUGUAACACGGAAGACAGAUCUUGGUGAGAUGUCAGCCGGCGGGUUAUCUCAUUAUGUGCCACUUGAUGUAGGAUCUCAAUCUAUUUGACGAUACCAUCAAGGAAAAAGGUCCAUAGGGCGCACACAUGGGAUAUAAAAUAGCACAAUUUGAAAAAAAAGGUAAUGAAUAAAAAAGGAAUUUCUAUUGUUGUGCCCUACUUGCUUAGUACUUCUCGGUUUUUCCCCACCCAACUAAUGUCCCUCACUUUUCCCCUUCAUCACUCGUCCGACAGUCAAAAAUGCCCAAAACAGCGCGUUUCUGUUGGGUAAAUGUAGCUGACCACCUGAUGCACAUACUAACACGUGGAGCACCCAGGACCCACCUAUCAGUGUUUGGUUUGCGUGGAGCACCCAAGACCCAUCUGUCGGCAUCUGGUUUAUUAGGGAAAAGUAGUUGAAUGAAUGAUGCGUCGAACAUCCCAGAACAUACAUGUCAGUUUCUGAUUUAUUUGCAAAAUAAAGGGUGGAAUAUAAUGCCGCCUAUGGGGUUCGAACACCAGAACAAUCGUUGACUAUGCAUAGUGCGAGCCAUUUCCACUGGGUUCGUCUCUGUGCUUAUUUUUGCAGAGCCUCGGCUAUAUAACCUGAUAUUUUCUUGCGAUCGUACAUUACAAAAGGACCCUGGAAAGAAAGAACGCGACGGUUUAAAACACAUCGGAUUCAGAUAUUCUGAGAUUCAGAUAAGCUUAACAAGCACGAAAUUUUAACAGGGGCGACAUAAGAUGGCUGGCCGGCGUCGACAUAGGCUACUUGUCUUCAUCGUUCGAAAGGACGACGCUGCGAUAGUCGUUGUCGUUGUCAUUGUGGUCUUUGUCAUCGUCAGAGGAUAGGAUGACGAUGUCUGGUCCCUCACCUUCCGCCUCAAGGGUGGUCACUGCACGCGGAUUGGCGGCCCUCCUUAGCUCUUGAGUUGCGUCCUGUUCUUCAGGUUCCCGACGCCUAACAACUUCUGGCUACGAUGUGGAUAGAGAUGCGGCUAGCACCGCCUACUCGAGAUGCUGCUGCACCGAGCGCAGGGCUACCUUGGCCUGGGCAGUGAGCACGCCAGCAUAAUGCAGGAGCCAACACAUCUUCCUCUGCCUCGUCUUCCAUGUCGUGGACGUCGAGGUACUCCUGCAUCGCCUGAAGGCCACCUCCUCCUCAGCGUCCUCCUCCUCAACCUCCAUACGGUUACGAGACAGCUCGAACGACACGAGCUCGAGCUUGGAGUUGUUGGAGUAGGAAGCGCCGAAGUUGGAGCAGGCGCCAGACUUGGAGCCUGCGCAGGAGUUGGAGGCUGCCGCCGCUCCGGAAUUGGAACCGCCACCGGUGCCGGGCACCGGCGCCCUAUGGCAAUGACCUCCCUUGGACAUGUUGCAGUUGUUUUUGGCUACUUACGUACAUGUUGUGCCGUUUUGGAGUACUUACAUACAUGUUGCAUCUUUUUGGACUACUUACAUACAUGUUGCAUCUUUUUUGGUAAGCUCUGCAAGUGCAUGAUACUCUCAUUCUAUGUUAGACCUAUUAUUAGUUAUUUUUGCAUGUUGCUAUUUUUUGGUAAGUUUGUAUGUUGCACUAUUUUUGAACAUGUAAAAGCCACUUAACAUAGGAAUUCCUAAAGGUAGCAUACACCAACCUAGUAAGAACAUUCAAACAAAAGUUAACGACAUGAUUAAGCUUACCAAAUCAUAGUACGACAACAUCAUAUUAUUUUCAGUUAACACUGGGAAUCCACAUGUCUGAUCCUCAACAAAGCUAGAAGGGGGUUGGAGACGCUUAAGAUGACGGGUGAUGACCCACAAGUAUAGGGUAUUAAAUGUAGUCCUUUCGAUAAAUAAGAGUGUCGAACCCAACGAGGAGCAGAAGAAAAUGACUAGCGGUUUUCAGCAAGGUAUUUUCUGCAAGCACUGGAAUUAUCGGUGACAGAUAGUUUGGUAGCAAGAUAAUUUUGUAACGAGCAACAAGCAGCAAUUGUUACUAAGGUGCACCAAGGUAGGACAACCCUUUUUGUAGCAAAGGACAUACCGGUACAAUCUCUUAUAUCAAGUAAAGCACUCUUGGGGACACACAGGAAUUUCGUCUAGUCACUUUCAUCAUAUUUACUUGAUUCAUGUUCGUUACUUUGAUGAAUUGAUACGUGGGCGGACCGGUGCUUGAGUGUUGUUCUUACUUGAACAAGCCUCCCACUUAUCAUUACCCCCUCUCGCAAGCUUCUGUAACUACGAAAGAAGAAUUAAGAUAAACCUAACCAUAGCAUGAAACAUAUGGAUCCAAAUUAGCCCUUUACGGAAUAACACAUAAAUUAGGGUUUAAGCUUCUAUCACUCUACCAAACCAUCAUCUAAUUACUACUCCACAAUGCAUUCCAUUAGGCCCAAUGAUGGUGAAGUGUCAUGUAGUUCACAUUCACAUAACAACACUAAGGGAAUCACAACAUACAUAUCAUCAAAAUAUUGAAUAAAUACCAAAUUCACAUGAUUACUUAUGACAAGACUUCUCCCAUGUCCGCAAGAAUAAAAAUAACUAUUCACAAAUCACGUUCAUGUUCAAGAUCAUAGGGGUAUUGAAUAUCAUUAAGGAUCUCAACAAAUAAUCUUCCACCAAAUAAACCAACUAGCAUUAACUAAAAGAUGUAAUCAACACUACUAGCAACCCACAGGUAUGAUUCUGAGGUUUUGAGACAAAUAUUGAAUACAAGAGAUGAACUAAGGUUUGAGAUGAGAUGGUGCAGGUGAAGAUGUUGAUGAAGAUUGGUCCUCUCACGAUGAGAGGAUUGUUGGUAAUGACGAUGGCUUCAAUUUCCCUCUCAAAGGGAAGUUUUCCAGGCGGAAUCACUCCGCCAAAGAGCAAAAGUGCUCUUGCCCGGGUUCCGCCUUGAGACGAUGGUGCUUCGUCUCGAAACCCUUCUUCUGAUAUUUUUCUAGGUUAAAUGGCAGCAUAUAGGAGAAGAUGGUCCCUGGACGAUUGCCAGGGGCGCUAGAACCUUGGGGGUGCUCCCUAGGGGGCUAGGGCUCGCACCCUAGGCUUGUUGCUUCCUGGUGGGUCCCCUUCUGGUAUUCUUUCUCCAGGAUAUUUUAUAUAUUCCAAAAUAAAUCUCCUUCAAUUUUCAGGUUAUUUGGAGUUGUGCAGAAUAGGUAUCUCUGAUAUAGCCCUUUCUGGUCCAGAAUUCCACCUGCCGGCAAUAUCCCUCUUUAUGUGCAACUUGCAAAAUAAGAGAGAAAAAGCACAAGACUAUUAUCAUAAAGUGAAAUAACAAUACAUAAUGCGAGAAAUAUCUAUAGGAAAACAUGAUGCAAAAUGGACGUAUCAACGAGCCACCUGAUGGUGGGACCGUUGAGCAUUCCACUCAAACUGAGCCGUGAUCUCAUACUACUCCUCCACUAUUGGGACAGUGUUGCGGCCCAGCUUGGCCUCCAAGCUAAGCAGCUGUAGAUUCUCCCCGGCAUCAGCCUCCAACAACUCCUAGUCAUGCAUCUUCUCAUCGUCGCAGUCCACUGGAAUGGUCAGAUUCGUGUUUGCCAAAGACUGAUGAGCGAUGACCUUCAUAUCCCCUAAUAGCGCACCCUUUCGGCAACCUCCUCCUGUUCAAUGAUCUCCAAACACCCUGGUAGUUGUCUUCUACUGCAUCCUCCUCCCGCUCCUUGUCAGAAUCCUCCUCCUGCUCCUACUCCUUGUUAGAAUCCUCUUCCUCCUCCUCCUCCUCGUUAGGAUCCUCUUCCCCCUCAUCCUCCUUGUCAGAAUCCUCUCCCUCCUCCUCCUCGUCAGAAUUAUCUUCGUCCUCCCCCUCAUCGCCCGCAUCCUCCUAUUAUGUUUCCUCGUCGAUGAUGUCAAUAUAUGCAAAUUCACCAUUCCUUCCGGCUCUGGAUUUGCUGAUGAGAGGCGGGAGAGAUACUCGUACCAGCAUGCUCGUUGUCGAGGAUCCGACGAAUCCAUCACUUCUGCCAUUGCCCAAAGGAGAAUCUCGAGAUUGGGCCCUUGUCUUCAGGAAUCAUCCACUCCAGUUUGACUGAUGUCACUUCAAAAGAUAGCCCAGCAAGUGCAACUCGAGAGCUUUUUUGCUCGGAAACUAGGAGCAUAUUUCCUUGCAUUCGGCCAACAACUCCUUGUCUCUGGCGCAAAAUUCUUCCAUUUCUCUUCCGUCCAAGUAAAACUAGGAAUCUAUUGAACACAAAAUUUGCAAAUAAAAUUAUUAAAAAAGAAAUCGAUUAUAAGGAUCGAAAUUACCACAUAACCUAUAAUGGGCUCCUAUGAACGGAUCAUAAUUUCUUGUUUUUUUAACUAGCUGCCACUAUCACGAAUCCAAUCCUAAAAAGACUUUCAUAACGUUUGCAAGCUGGAGCAGCUCAAUGAACAACAAUUCAAUCGCCCAAUCGCACGUUCAAUCGAAUGAUCCUAAUUACUAGGGUUCCUAUUAGAAACAUGCAUGUCACCCAACUAUAUCGGAUGGUUCUUGCGGGCUGCAAUAUAUGACCAGGUCGCUUCACCAUUGGAGCUAAGGCGUAUGGUCGAGUAGGAGGCGGGACUGCUAGGUAUGGCGGCGCGGGACUGCUACAUGAACAGUGAUAGCUCACCUAUCACUCGGGGCCAGGCUAUUUUAGGGAAAAGAAAGUGAUAGCUCACCUAUCCCGGAUCCCACUUCUACAUAAGCGGUCACAACCAUGGACCACCUACCAUACGCGGCCCGCAUGUCCAAAGAACUGUGGCCCCACAUGUCAGUAACUGAGCGGUAACUGUCAACUGGUUUGACCGGCGACAAAGCUCCAUUUUGCCUUUUGUGAGAAUGAGGCGAGCGGUGGAGGGGAAAAGUGAGGAAAGUUAGAUGAUAUGGGCAAAACAGAGCACAAUUACCAGGGGCACAGAAAUUCAAAACCCAAUAAAAAUAUGGACAAAAAUAUGAUACUAUGUUUUUUAAUAAUUAUGUUCACGAAUACAUUGUAUUCACAAUGACCAACUGUGGAGUAGUUGAGUGUAUUGAUGAUGGUGAAGUCGACAAGUGAACUAUACCAGUCUCAUGGGUGCAUGUGGUAUUGGUCGUACAAGGCUUGGGAGUAACUACCUUGUCUUACCUUUUCCCCUUGUCACAUUUUAAAAUUUCAUUAAUGCCAUAUUCAGAUCUAAAUUUUGAUUGUUGAUUUAAUUUAUAUCAAGACAAGCAUUUCGGGUAAAUAGCCAUACGCUACAUAGCACUAAGUAAAGUAUAAACAUUAUUUCGGAAGUGGCUUGGCCGCUUUGGUGCACCCGGAUUCAAUUUGGAAUAUGUGUGUGCCAUGCCGCUGCUAUUGGGACUAUGUACUAUGAUACACAUCCAACGCUUUUUUAACCGCACCAGUGAUACAUUGAGUCAUCUGUGAGCUAUGAUAUUUUUUCUUCAGCCACACAUACAACAUCGAUAAUAAUGAAACACGGGAUUCCUAUUUCUAAUGAUCGCAUCAUACUAGGUCGGAUUGUAUUGUACCACCAGAUGCAAAAAAUCAAUACUUCAAACAGUUUUGCUAAAGCACAUCUAGAUGUGCCAUAAGUAUUGCACAUCUAAAUCCUAUGUCUCAACUAAUUCAAAAGCUAUACUAGUCACGCCCAUGUUAUUUUGGUUGGCACAUCGAGCUCGUCAAAUUGUAUGGAAGCACCGUCCAAAUAUGGACCGAAUUAAUGUGCCAUAAAAUGUAGAUAUGUGUAGUAGCGUUGGAAGCAUUAAUGUGGCAACGCCAACCUCUGCUGCAAAUGUCUUCAAAAUGUGUCGUUUUCUUUCUUCGGUCUCUCUUUUCAUACACACAAUAGUAGAAAACAAGACUUUAGUUCACGCCGAGUCAGCCCAUUAGUCCCGGUUCAUGAGGCCAGGGGGCCUGCCGGACCUCGUGGGGGCAUUGGUCCCGGUUCGUCUGGCCCCUUUGGUCCCGAUUGGUGGGACGAACCGGGACCAAUGGGCCUGGCUCCUGACCAACCACCAUUGGUCCCGAUUUGUGGCAUGAACGGGACCAAAUGGUGUCCUUUAGUUCCGGUUCCAGCCACGAACUAGGACCAAUGUGAUGCCUAUAUAUACCCCCUCGCCGGCGAGCAGAGCACUCCAUGCUACUCUGUUUUUUCUGGUCGGCGGGGGGAGGGCUUUGUGGUGCUCUAGCUCACCUCUAUGCACAUGAGGUGUUCGAUGGAAUGCCCGAGCCACACUACUUAAGCUUUCCUCUCUCCAAGCUUGACCUCCAAACUCCAUUUUCCUCAAUACUUUUCUAGGUUUAGCGGUCCAUCACGUCCCGUCCCUAUCUUCACGGCCGUCGAUCGCCCCCGCCAAUCUUGUCGCCAGCACCAUCGUUGUGAGCCUCUUGUUCUUAUCUUCUUUCCGAAAGGAAAAAAUUCUUACUUUUAUGUUUAGAUAGAUACUUGUAUAAUUUUCUUACUUUUAUUAUUGCUUCUUAUUAUAUAGUGCGAUUGUUUUGGUAUCCGCCCCCAUCGGCCAUCGUCCUUUAUAGUAAAGUUAUUAAAAAACUAGUGAUUCACACAAAUUUUAAAAAAAUUCAAAUUUAAACUAUUCAAAUUGAAAAACAAAUGGCACUAACAAAAAGUUUAUAAUUUUUGUUACCUAAAAGCAAAAAGAAUUAAAAAAUAAAGCAAAAAACAACAGAAAAUAAAUGCAAAAAACAAAACAGAAAACUGGAAAAAAAUAAAAAAAAUGCCACCUACUGGGCCACCACGGCCUGAAUACGACUAGAAACCCGGCUAGUUGGGCCAGGAUUCAGGCCCGCAGAAGGCCCAACAGGCCCACAUGCAUAGCAGUGUCAGUUUAGUCCCAUAGGCCUGAAGUUCAGAGGAGUUCGAAAGGGAAGAGGCAAAGGAGCUUAUAAACAGGGGGUGGGCACUCUCAACUAGUGAGGCGGGACUGAACUCCUACCAGCACGCCGCUGUGCAAGGCCAUUGGUUCCGGUUGGUGCCAACAACCGGGNNNNNNNNNNNNNNNNNNNNNNNNNNNNNNNNNNNNNNNNNNNNNNNNNNNNNNNNNNNNNNNNNNNNNNNNNNNNNNNNNNNNNNNNNNNNNNNNNNNNNNNNNNNNNNNNNNNNNNNNNNNNNNNNNNNNNNNNNNNNNNNNNNNNNNNNNNNNNNNNNNNNNNNNNNNNNNNNNNNNNNNNNNNNNNNNNNNNNNNNNNNNNNNNNNNNNNNNNNNNNNNNNNNNNNNNNNNNNNNNNNNNNNNNNNNNNNNNNNNNNNNNNNNNNNNNNNNNNNNNNNNNNNNNNNNNNNNNNNNNNNNNNNNNNNNNNNNNNNNNNNNNNNNNNNNNNNNNNNNNNNNNNNNNNNNNNNNNNNNNNNNNNNNNNNNNNNNNNNNNNNNNNNNNNNNNNNNNNNNNNNNNNNNNGGACUAAAGGGGGGCAUUGGUCUCGGUUGAUGCCACGAAUGGUACCAAUGCCCCCCUUUAGUCCCGGUUGGUGCCAACAACCGGGUGUAGGGGAACGUAGGAGAUACUAGCAACGAUAUAUAUAUAUAUAUAUAUAUAUAUAUAUAUAUAUAUAUAGAGAGAGAGAGAGAGAGAGAGAGAGAGAGAGAGAGAGAGGGAGAGAGAGGGACUGCAUCUUCAUACCCUUGAAGAUCGCUAAGCAGAAGCGUUACAAGAACGAGGUUGAUGGAGUCGUACUCGCGGAGAUACAAAUCGCGGAAGAUCCGAUCUAGCGCAGAACGGACAGCGCAUCCGCGUUCAACACACGUAUAGCCCGGGGAGGUCCCCUCCUUCUUGAUCCAGCAAGGGGGGAGGACAAGUUGAGGGAGAAUGAUAUGUAUCCAACGUAUCUGUAAUUUUUGAUUGUUCCAUGCUAUUAUAUUACCUGUUCUGGAUGUUUAUGGGCUUACUUUAUACUUUUAUAUCAUUUUUGGGACUAACCUAUUAACCGGAGGACCAACCCAUAUUACUGUUUUCUUGCCUAUUUCAGUGUUUCGAAGAAAAGGAAUAUCAACCUAAGUCCAAACGGAAUGAAACCUUCGGGAAAGUUAUUUUUGGAACGGAAGCAAUCCAGGGGACUUGGAGUGCACGUUAUAGAAGCUUCGAGGAAGCCACGUGGGUGGGGGGCACGGCCCCCUACUGGGCGCACCACCCUGUCUCGUGGGCCCCAAGAGCGUCCCCUGACCGACUUCUUUCACCUAUAUAAGUCCAUAUACCCUAAAACCUUCGAAGACGAAGAUAGCUCGGUAGUUCUGCCGCCGCAAGCCUCUGUAGCCACCAAAAACCUCUCGAGAGCCCGUUCCGGCACCCUGCCGGAGGGGGAACCCAUCACCGGUGGCCAUCUCGAUCAUCUCGGCGCUCUCCAUGACGAGGAGGGAGUAGUUCACCCUCGAGGCUGAGGGUAUGUAACAGUAGCUAUGUGUUUGAUCUCUCUCUCUCGUGUUCUCUCUAUGGCAUGAUCUUGAUGUAUCGUGAGCUUUGCUAUUAUAGUUGGAUCUUAUGAUGUUUCCCCCCCUCUACUCUCUUGUAAUGGAUUGAGUUUUUCCUUUGAAGUUAUCUUAUCGGAUUGAGUCUUUAAGGAUUUGAGAACACUUGAUGUAUGUCUUGUCGUGCUUAUCUGUGGUGACAAUGGGAUAUCACGUGAUCUACUUGAUGUAUGUUUUGGUGAUCAACUUGCAGGUUCCAUGAACUUAUGCAUAGGGGUUGGCACACGUUUUCGUCUUGACUCUCUGGUAGAAAAUUUGGGGCACUCUUUGAAGUACUUUGUGUUGGUUGAAUAGAUGAAUCUGAGAUUGUGUGAUGCAUAUCGUAUAAUCAUGCCCACGGAUACUUGAGGUGACAAUGGAGUAUCUAGGUGACAUUAGGGUUUUGAUUGAUUUGUUCCUUAAGGUGUUAUUCUAGUACGAACUCUAUGAUAAAUUGAACGGAAAGAAUAGCUUCAUGUUAUUUUACUACGGACUCUUGAAUAGAUAGAACAGAAAGGAUAACUUUGAGGUGGUUUCGUACCCUACCAUAAUCUCUUUGUUUGUUCUCCGUUAUUAGUGACAUUGGAGUGACUCUUUGUUGCAUGUUGAGGGAUAGUUAUGUGAUCCAAUUAUGUUAUUAUUGUUGAGAGAACUUGCACUAGUGAAAGUAUGAACCUUAGGCCUUGUUUCCUACCAUUGCAAUACCUUUAUGCUCACUUUUACCGCUUGCUACCUUAUUGUUUUUAUAAUUUCGGAUUACAAAUACGUUUAUCUACUAUCCAUAUUGCACUUGUAUCACCAUCUCUUCGCCGAACUAGUACACCUAUACAAUUUACCAUUGUAUUCACUAGAAAAAAGAAUACACUUCCGUGAUGAUACGUGUUUUUCACAGUAGGUCGUGUUUUUUGUCAUGCAUGUACAUCCAUGACAAAUUUAUGACAGAAUCAAGAUAGUCAUACCUGUGCUGUCGUAGAAGUGUUCCAUGACAUUACCAAAAUUAUCAUCACGGAAGUGUCCACUUCCAUGACGAUAUAUCGCGCGUCACAGAAGUGCUUUCGUCAAGCGUGACCGACACGUGGCAUCCACCGUAACGGAACGCCGUUAAGCUAUCGGGUCGGGUUUUGGAUCCAAUAACCCGUUAACAGCCCCGACCAAUGGGGAUUUUCCACGUGUAAAAUCAUCAUUGGCUGGAGGAAACACGUGUCGGCUCACCGUUGGGACAGAUAUCAUCCACUCAUUGGACGGAAGACGCCUAUGGUACGUCGACACGUGGCACGGCCCAACAGAGGCCCUUUCCUGUGAAAAUGCCGGCCCAGUAAAAAUUAGCAGGCCAGCCCAUAUAAGGCCUACUUGUGUCAGGUCCAUUUAAGCCCACGACCCAUACAAGAUGAGCCAAUUCGGCCCGUCAACGGCCCGUUAAAGAUUUGACACCAUUGCAGCCGAUCGUCAGUUCGAGCCCGUUAACAACCAGCUAUAUAUCUGGGCUCAAUAUCGGCCCGAUGAGAUUUCGGCCUGUUAAUGGCCCAUUUAAUGGAUAGGCCAAUUUUCAGGACGUACAUCUUUCGACCUUUUAGCGACCCAUUUAAAUGUUGGGCUAGUUUCCGGCCCGGUGUGUCUUUCAGCCUGUUGACGGUCCAUAAAUCUGAUGGGCCAUUUGUUGUCGGACCUGAGUUUCGGCCUUUUUAGAGGCCCAUUUAAGUGUUGGGCCAAUUUUCUUGCCCGGUGUCACUUUCAGCCUGUUGACGGCCCAUAAAUCAGUUGGGCCAUUUUUAGUAGGACCUGAGUUUUAGCCUUUUAGCGACCCAUUUAAGUGUUGGGCCAAUUCCCGGCCCUGUGUGACUUUCGGCCUAUUAACGGACCAUAAAUGAGUUGGGCCAUUUGUAGUCGGACCUUAGUUUUGGCCCUUUAACGACCCAUGCCCUUCAUGGUGCAAUACCAUCCCGGUUUCUCUUUCGGCCCGCUAAAGGCCCACAACACAGUUGGGCCAUUUACAAUACGACCUGACUUUCGCUCUCUUAGCGGCCCAUGGUCUUCAUGGUCCAGUACAAGCCCACUGUCUCUUUCGGCCUACUAAAGGCCUACAGUAUAGUUGGGCCAUAUGUAGCCCAAACUUAUUAACGGUUUGUUAACGGCCCGUGAAAUAAACUGGGGCCACCUGUUGCCCGCUUCGAUGUCGGCCUGUUAACGACCCGGGAGGUAAGAGGGCCGACCAUUAACUUUCGGCCUAGUAACGGCCCAUUAACUUAAUGGGCCCACUAAAGUUCAUACAUGUCUUUAGGCCAAAUUAUAUAAUUUUAGCCCAUUAUGACGAGCAAUUAUGCACAGGACCAAAACCGAUCACGCAAAGGUACGACAUACAGGGAAUAACAUUGCACAUCCAACAUAUAUUAUAGGAAAUUACAUCCACUGGGCAAUCAAAGAUUGAUGCCAUUGCAAAUAAAUAAGCAGAACCUAACCAUCUACAACGUCACAAUCUGCAUCCUCAGCACAGAUGACACCCAUAAGCAUGUGGGCAAGUUCUUUCUGCUUUGCUACACUAUCUCUGAAAACAUUGAUCAGUUGUUGUGUCGCACGAGUCUGCACCUCUGAUUCAUCCACCAUUUCCAUCAUUGCUUCAGCCAUUAAUUGGUUCACAAACAUACAUUUAUUCCGUUGCAUUCGAGACAGAGGAUACUGAACAGAUUUAGAUGGCGAUUUUGGCAGGCUUGUAUUAUUGAUAGUGGAGAGUGUCUCGACCACUGCAUCAUAACAUAAAUUAGGACGGGAACCAAAAAGAUUAGUCAUGAGUUAUUGCCAUAUUACCUGGCCUAGAUUUAAUGGAAAGAAAGAAUGGGGUUGCCUUGCUAUUUUCAGAGUUUGUCUUCUUAUCUUCAGCAGCCUGCACAAAAUUAACACACUAGCAUUGCUAUCAUUGGCCAAGUUAGAUAAUAGAAAAGCAACAUUGACACAAUGAACGUUUGGGAAAGUAGCCUACACCAAAUUAACACAAUAUAGCACAGCUAUCAUCAACCAGGUAAGGUGGUACGAAAGCAACAUUGACACAAUGAAUGAAUGGGCAACCAGAGAAGCACUACAUUCAGUAAUGUGCGUGAUAUGAGAUAGUAUAUUCAUGCAGCUCAGUGUGCAAAACUACCAGGCAGUUUUCCUUACAAAAAUCAACAUUGGCGAAUUUAACAUUUUGCUACAACUAAUUUUAGAUUAGAUAAAGGUUAGAUUCACGCCGGUUAACAAAAUACAUGUUGAUGUAAAAAUAUAGUGAUAUACAACAGGUACUUACAUCAGCUAUAAAAUUUCAUGAUGCGAGGAUAUGCACAUGCUUCUUAGAAUGGAGUUGACAUUCUUUUGCUGGACUGGAGCGGACUAGUUCUUUGGCCACUAGAAUCUGCUUAUUAUCAAUGGGAGUUGGGUUUCUCUGUGCUGGAGCAGUAUAUAUGAAAAAUGGAGUUGGUUUAUUAUCUCCUGGCGUUUGGAUCUUUUGCAAAGACCUGGUGUCUAACCCUUCAGAUUCUAACAGAGCCGUCUUCCCCUUGCAUGCCUUAUGUAGAAGAAUGGUGAUUCAGUUAUAAAACAUGCUAUAGCAGAGAUGGAAUAGGCACUGAAGAAUAGAAAGGCAUGACAUAUUGACAUGUAUUCCCUCCAUCCAGAAAUAAAUGGACCGGUCUAGGUGUAUUUCAAUUCUAGAUACAUCUAGUUUUAUCCAUUUAUGCGACAUUUAAUUCGGAUGGAGGGAGUAUGAUGUAAGAGCUAAGGAUACGACAGGACAACACAGUAAAAAAAACACUGAAAAACCCACUGCAGAUCCAAAGUAUUCAAACCCACUGAUAUGAGAUAGUACACUCAUGCAGCUCAGGAUGCAUAACUACCAGGCAGUUUUCCUUACAAAAAUCAACAUUGUGGCCUUUAAUCAUACAUUUUGCUACAACUAAAUUUAGAUCAGAUAAAGGUUGGAUUCACGCCGAUUAACAAAAUACAUGCUGAUGUAAAAAUAUAGUGAUAUACAACAGGUACUUACAUCUACAUUGGAGCACAGAGAAUUCCUGCAAGAAUCUUUCCUCACAAACGAUACCAUUGCAGAAAUUCUUCUAUUUGUUAAGCUUGUUUUCUAAAAGAGAGAUGGGUAAGAAACAUGUAGAAAAUAUGAUCAACAUGCUAUAAAAUUUCAUGAUGCAAGGAUACGCACACGCUUCUUAGAAUUGAGUUAACAUAUUUUUGCUCGACUGGAGCGGACUAGUUCUUUGGCCACUGGAAUCGGCUUAUUAUCAGUAGGAGUUGGGUUUCUCUGUGCUGGAGCAGUAUCUAUAAAAACUGGAGUUGGUUUAUUAUCUCAUGGCAUUUGGAUCUUUUGCAAAGGCCUUGUUUGUAACUCUUCAGAUUCUAACAUAGUCGUCUUCCCCUUGCAUGCCUUGUAUAGAAGAAUGGUGCUUUAAUUAUAAAACAUGCGACAGCAGAGAGAUGGAAUAGGUACUGAAGAAUAGAAAGGCAUGACAUAUUGACAUGUAUUCUCUCCAUCCAGAAAAAAUGGAUGGGUCUAGGCGUAUUUCAGUUCUAGAUACAUCCUUUUUUAUCCAUUUCGGCAACAUGUAAUCCGGACGCAGGGAGUAUGGUGUAGGAGUUAGGGAUACGACAGGACAACAUAGCAAAAAAAAACUAGUUGCAUGUAACACUACUAGGGAAAAGCGUAGCAGCAGCGCGGGGUUUAGGCCUAUCAGUAGCGCGGGAAGGAGGGCUAUUGAUAAGGCGCUACAGCUAAACCUUAGCAAUAGCGUGCCUAGAUCCACGCUACUGCUAAAUUGACUUAGUAGUAGCGGUUCUUCAGAACCGCGCUACUGGUAAUUAGUAGUAGCGCUUCCCCUUUCCCGCGCUACUACUAUUAUUUAUUAUUUUAUUUCUUUUUUAUUUCAUGUUGUAUUCAUACACCUUUACACAAGUUUUCAUACAACAGGAAUUUAGAGAUUGUUUUUACAUCAUGAUGAGUUAUUACAUCACGGGGUGAAAGAACCGUGGACUUGUUUCAAGUGGAUGUCCAUCCACUUAAAACUAAUCCGCGGUUCUUUCACCCAAUGAUAUAAUAAUAUCAUCAUCAUCAUUAUCAUCAUCAUCAUAUCAUUAACAACUUAUCAUCAUAAUACAUCAUUGUCAUAUAACACCUCCUCAAGAUCAUCGUUUUCAUCAAUGACAUCACAUAGCAAAUUGGUCACUAGUUGUAAUCACAAGUACUCUUCAUUAUCAACUCUAACACAUUACCACAUAAUAAACAUAUUGUACCUCAUAGGACCUACUACAUUCGAUUAAGACCUACUACAUUUUCUAAGGUAAAAUAGCAAAAAACAAGAUAGCCCCUGACUCUCCAUUAUGGAUAGCCUGUCUCCAAUUCUUGCCUUUCGCUGAAUGUUACUUCCAAGAACCUCCUUGCGAAUGUCCAUACAUUUCUUCCAUUCUUUGAUGAUCAUGUGUUCGCCGGUUUUAGAAAUCCGAUAUGCACAGGUGAGCUCCCUAGAUUUACCUGGCAGUAUGUUCAGAACUGAGAGGCAACCAUUCAGAGACAUCAGAUGAGGCACACAAUUCAUCGGGAGUUUUGGUUGAAAAACAUAAUGAUGUACUAGUUUUAGAAGUAUGCAAAAGAUGCACAGAUGUCGUAAUAGUAAAAAAUCUUACCAGGGUAUCUCUAGAGUAGUUACCGUGGUUCAACACAUGCAGUAGUGGCACAUAUUCACCACAAUUUGGAGGAGUUCGAUAAUAGUUAUUGUAAUUCUCAAGAAGAGUACAAAAUGCGAUCAGAUGAUUUUUCUCCUUAUACGUUAAUUCGGUGCCAUCGGCGUAGUGGGUUGUAUCUACCAUCUUCCGCACAGUCUUUGAAGAAUCAAAAUAAGCUGUCAAUGGAAAUAAGCUAUCAACUAUUUUGAAAUAAGCAAUAUAAAUUAGUUAAUAACUAUGUUUGAGAAACUCACAUAGCGGUACAAUCGGAAGCGUAUCAACAAGGACCCAAAUAUCCAUAUUGUCUUGCUCGAUGUCAGGAUCACCAAGAUCCAUGGUGACAAUCAUACCCUCAUAAAAACCAUACAUUUUGCAAAGUGCUUCCCAAUUUUGGCAACCAAAAUGGGUUACGCUCUGAGCAUUGCACAGAUUUACUUCAAAAUCCAUAUCAUGAUGGGUCCUUAGGUGUAUUUUCUUUGUUUCAAAAUUUUCAUGGUCUUCAAAACCCAUCCUCUCCAAGACAAAGCAUCUUGCAUGGCAUGAAAUAAGCUAGUCGAAUUGUAAAAUAUGAAAAUUAGACGUUGAAAUAGUUGAAGUCAUGCUUAAUUACGAAAAACACACUUGUCGUUGUUGCGUACCAUUUCAACAUCGAAGGUCUCCUCGAGCUUAAUGCUGAAGCGCCGAUCUUCGUCCAGCUCAACGAACCUGUCGCACAUACCUCGAUCGUCGUGGCACUAGCUGCACUCCCCCGGGAGACCGUCAUCGUUUGAGUACGACAUUUCCUACGUUCAUAAUUCAAAGAUUAAGCGUGUACAUAUUCUAGCACAAGUCAUGCUAGAAUUCACGAAAAAAUGCGGCAUAACCUUUGCUAAAAAAGGACAUAUCGAGCGCCUGAAAUUUGCCGGAACGGAAAUUAAUCAACACUCCGGCAAAACAUAGGCCACUCGGAGAUGUAAACUGAACAUGAAUGGCCACUUGGGCAACCACAUAUCCUAUUUGAGCAACAACACAAGAUAUACAAGGAUAUUUGGCUGGUCUCACCUCGAUGUCGGAGGGGGUCGGGGACUGGGACGACGGCGGGGAUGUCGGAGGGGGUCGGUGACUGGGACGACGGCGGGGAUGUCGGAGGGGGUCGGUGACGGGGACGGCGGGGGUCACCUGAAACCGUAUAAGUUAUCACUAAUACAUCUCGAAUAAUUGCUUAAACUAAAAAAAUAACAACAAAUAUGACAUGUUCCACUAGUUUUAUUAAUUCAACUAGUUCUUACUAAAUAUAAACUUACUAUAAAUAUAAAAAAACUAGUUCUUUCUAAAAAUAAAGUAGUUCAAUUAGUUAUAUUAAUUAUCUUACUAAAAAUACAUUAGUUCUAUUAAUUCAACUAGUUCAACUAGUUUAUUAAUUUACUUAGUAAACUAGUUCAACUACAACUAAAGUAGUUCAACUACAACUACUAUUAAUCAUACUGCCCUAGUUAACUAGUACCAUCUACUACUAAAAAUCUAGUAGUAAUGUGAACCCUAAAUUAACACCUACUACUACUAAAAAUCUAGUACUAACUAAGCAACAUCUAGUACUAGCUAUUAACCCUAAAUUAACAUCUAGUACUACUAAUUAUAGUACUAACUAGUGGCAGGGGGUGGGGGCGACGGAGAGGUAGCUAGGGGUGGCGAGGGCGGGAUCGGGAUCGGGAGGCGGCGGUGCUGGCUGGGCUCGGGUGGCGGCGGUGAGGUCGAGGGCGGUGGGAGGAGGGCUGCCGGCGACGGAGGAGGAGGGAGGGGCGGCCGCAAGCGGACGGAGGGUGUGCGAGGAGGAGAGAGGAGGGACGGAAGAAGGGGAGUACCUCGGCGGCGGACGGACAAAGGCGGCAGCGGCGGCGACGCACAACGACGGUUAUCGGCAUGCGGGCGAGAGUGAGAGUGUGAGUGAGAGAGAGGGUCGAGCGUGGGCGUGGGAUUAAGGUAGGGAUAGUUGUAGCGCGUUUGCCGAAACGCGCUACAGCUAAUCUGAAUAGCAGUAGCGCGGUUCAUUAUAGGGCGCUGCUGCUAUAACUAGCGGGGGGCGAGGUCAUGGCAAUUAGAGCAGUAGCGCGUUUUGCGGAGGACGCGCUACUGCUAUUUUCCUUUCAGCAGCGCGUUUUUCUAUCACGCGCUACUGCUAAGUAGCAGUAGCGUUGUAUUUUGAGCAGCGCUGCUGGUAAGUUUCUGUGUAUAGGCUUUUCCCUGGUAGUGUAAAACUAUAUGCUAGUGGCAUACAUAUAGAAAUAACCAAGGCAACAUACAUGUGUAUGAUUGGGAAAAUAAGAUGGCAUUGCAACAGAGCACUAGAACAGCACUUCAAUGUAAAAAAACAUGGUAUGGCAGACAGAUGAAGUAUAUACUGAUGAAUAACAAUGCAUAAGAUAUUCAGAAGCAUGAUGUCCAAAUUAAGCAGAUGGCAUUGCGAUAGAGUAGAAUGACAAUACUUGAAUUUGAAAACAUGUUAUCAUGAAUGGAAUAGGUACUGAAAAACAGGAAGGCAUGACAUAUUUACAUGCAUGAUCAGCAUGCUAAGCACAUGGCAUUGCAACAGAGUAGAUACACUCCAGGACAUUAUAUGCAUGUUGUACCCAUAUCACAUGCCAAGUUAGAGCAAGGACCUUGUGGGGUGAAGAGGAUUCAUCAUCUUUCUGCAAGUCUUCUGAAGAACUGCCUUUUUACAUGUUCCAUCAUAUUGGGUAUCAUUGACAUCAAGUUUAUUGGCCUUUACAUUGCUCCGUGAGGUUCUUGUGGAUAUAUCAGUGUGUGCAAUUAUAUCUGACAUGCAUGGAAGACAACUAGUAGUUAGAUUUAUGUAAAUGAGUGCCUGUAGGAGACGACAUAAAUAGUAGGACUGGGUUAACUAGCAGCAACAUGUCUCAUAAACUAAAGGGAGAACACAAAUGAAAGCUACAGAAUAUGUAUCGUUUGUACUCGAGAUUAACUAGAUGGCACACAAAAGUAUUAAAGAACAACAUAGGUAGUACUAGAAGUGGUAUAAUACUAUAAUCACCAGCCCGUGGGAUAGCAUUGGCUGAUGGAUGAUAACUAUGGAACAGCGUUACCUAAAGAACAAGUAUCUUAGCUGAACUAUGGAACAGCGUGAACUCCUGAACAAGACCCGUAAGAGAUCAGCAUGAAUAUACAGUGAAAUGUGAUGAUCUAUUUUCUGUGCUUAGAUGAAUAACAAAGCCAUAAAUGUUGCACACAAGUAAGAUGAGCGUACAAUCUAUCUGGCUGCUAUCCAUAGGAGUGAGCAUCAUGUGCUGACUGGUCAAUGGCCCUGUAGUUGUUGUGACUGUCCAUGUCGGGCACGCGCAUUCGAUGCAGGGAACUGUUGAGUGGGGACUGUAGCUCCCUUCUGGUGUAUGCUUCCCUUGUUGAAGCAGCUGCGAUGAGUCGGAAGACGGUGUGUCUGAAGAUGCAGAUAACGCAUAAAGUUAAGAACGACAUAUCUCUUUGAUCUGAAGAAAUACACUAAGAGAUCAACAGCAAGGUACAAGAGUGUUCACACGUCUGUUGACUUAAGACUAAAUUGGGGUCACACUAUUUUAUUUUAUUUUGGUACUGUUCGAUCUACGCUGGAUGGCUUGAUGGUCGUCUUGUGCCUCCCGGCUGACACUGUUCGGAAUCUUCCCCAAAGAGCCAGCGACCAACCGCAGAGCAGCCUGCCUCCGUCGUCCGUGGCCCCGUCCAAAACCCCGCUCCUCGCCCCACCGCACUGUGGUGGUUGCGCCGCCCCCGGGCCAAUCCACAAAGACUCCCCGUCAUCCAGAUCCGGCGGCGACAGUACCUUCAACCCACGCAACUCUAAAAGAUAGCCAUCUAAGUGCUGCUUCCGCGGCGAAGUUGCGGUCCCGCACCCUUAUGUUAGACACCAGCCAACCGGCAGCCUAGGAGCUCUGCCGCCUCGAGGGGUGCUGCUUCCCAUUGGGAAUCGAUUGGCCCAGAAUAAAAAUUCAGACAACUAAUGCCUAAAUAAAGUGAUUUCAGAUGAGGGUGCGACCUAUCUGGCGGCAUGGUGAAGUAGACAGGUCCACCUGCCGAGUCGGUGAGGCCGGCGUGGUUGCGGUGGUGACUGGCGACAGGGAAAGAGCGAUGUCGCGACGGUCGACGGCUACGCGGAAGCAGCGCCAGGACUCUGGACGGAUCCGAAGUUGGAGCUGCUCCGGCACCGUGAACAACGGUGGGAAUGAAUCGGCUCCAGUACGGUUCACGCGGCCGUCGUCGAGGCAGCACCAGCAGCACGGAGUAAGAGGCACACGGCCCACUGCACGACGGCAAUUGGACAACGUCUCCGGCAUUAGGGAGGAGGGCGGUUGUGAAAUUGGUGCGGUGGGGGCACCAUGGAGGUGGGGCUGAGGUGGGACGGCAAUUGGGAGGGGAGUGGAACCAUGUCUUACGGACGCAUUUGUCUGAAAUGUGAGUGGGAGUUACAGUUCUACUCUUGCCUAUAGGCUUCUCGGCUUGGGUCUGUGUACUGAGGCUCGGGGAUAGUAGAGUAACUUUGCUUCUCCCCAAAUAGUGGGCGGGAGCGAUUUCUGGCGAGGAGGGCGUGUUUUGAACUAUAGUGGGCGCGAGCGAAUUCGGGCGAGGAGAGCGUAUUUUGAAAUAGUGGGCGUGAGCUAUUUCAGGCGAGGAGAGCGUGUUUUGCCGACCAUGGUUUAUGAAUUAUUCGGCACAUGUCAUUUCGGCCGAGGAGAAGGCGCGCUUGGCUGAAGUUACGAACCUACCCUCAAUGUACAAUGGGCAAUUUAUGCGUGUCCCACAUAGGACGGUAAUUUCGCGUCUCCCAUUUAUUUGCUCGGGCGAAUUCCACCAAGCAGAGAGGAUGUUUAACGGUUCGUUCAAAUUUUGGGAGAACAAGCAUCCACGUCUACCUUACCAAGUCGAUUCGAAUCAAAUUUUGAAAUAUUAGCUUGCCACUUCUUUUUUAGAUGGAGAGAUGAGGCUCGGGAGUAAUGUGUUUUUACAUGCUCGUUGCUAGCGAUUUACUAUAUGACAAAUAGUUGACACACUCAAAAACGCGAAUCAAACCCAAAAUAAAGUAUCUCGAUUCAAUGAACUAGCUCGUUCAGUAGGUCAAAAUAGUGAACUAAAUCCAAAAUUGAACACCUCAAUCGAGUAGCAUGUUGUACAGUAUUAUAGUACUCCAUGAACAUGUUGAAAGUAAAAUUAAUGAACUUGUUUGAUAUACGCAUAUAUCCGUUCAUGUGUGGAUUGCAGACAACGUGGUCUCCAAUUUAAAUAUUUGAAUGCAAGUUUAUAUCAGUCUUUGAUGCAUAAAACGCGACCUCCCCCUCUCCCGUACUCCUGUUCUCUCUCUCUCUCACUCACUCUCUCGCCGACAAUCUUCAAUUCUGUCGCACGCAUCCGACACAAAAACCAUGUUGGUCCCUCUCCCUUUCUCUCUCUCUCUCUGUGUGUGCGCGCACUACAAGAAACCUGUUAAUUCAUAACGGAUUUCCUGUGACAUUUUUAGAAACUGUCAUGGAUGGGCUGGUAUAGCCCGGCAAGCCCGCCAAAGCCCGGCUAACUGCCCUUGCUAUAAAAAUCUAACCCUAACACCCUCCUCUCUCUCCCUCCGCAGCCCGCUCCCAUUCCCCAUAGUCUCACAUCGCCCCCACCCUCCCCCUCUUCGCCUCCCUCCUCCAACAACUCGCCACCGGCCCUCCAACUCCCCUGCUCUCACCUCGCAGUUCCGGGAGCUACCAGAUCCGCUGAACCCCCAACCCAUCCAUCCCUCUCCAACCCAUGGCUAGGGUUUCGGUCUCCUUCAGAUUGUUCAACCUCGCCUCACAUACUCCCCCUUCCUCCCAGAUCCACCAGGCUGCGCUCCUCCCAUGGCAUCCAUGGCGCGGGUCAUCCUACAACAGCUGAUAUGUGACGAGCGAGGCAGGGAAGAGGUGUUCCUUCUCAUGAUCUGCAGUGCAUCUCGUGUUCCAUGACGUCCUUGGAGAUAUGUACACGACUGCUUCAGCACGUACAACCACGGUGGUGGUAAGAGAAGGACGACCCCUUCCCUUCCUUGCUAGCUAGCUGUUCUGAUUUGGGUUGGUCCAAUCCGAUCCAAUCCUGCCAUGUAGUUUGGUUGUAACAUAGGAGAGGGAUACCUGUAGUUGAGUUUCAGUUUGGACAGCAUUUGACACACAUUAUUGGGGGAUUUGGUUUAGUUCAGUUUGUAUGUGCAUUCCUAAAAUUGAAAAUGAAAUUGGUUUGGUGUUCAAUCCCCACAAACUAAUCUGCAACAUUUUUUAUUUGACUUGUAUUGCAUCAGCAACUUAAAUUUGUCUGUUAUGUUUACCAAAUCUGUAGAGGCUUGAUAGAUAUCAAUGUCACCCUACUGUUAGUUUCUUGCUCCGGGUCUUGUGGGGUUGGGGAGUGUUGGGUCCUCACUCUGCUGAGCUGCAACAAGCUGGCUGGGGGAGCAGUACUGUUUAGUAGUACAUUAAUGCCACCCGUCAGGUUUAUACUGUUGUUUACUAGAUCAAACUUGAUCCAUGCUCCUAUUGGUAUUAGGUGAUCAUGUAGGUCAAGUUAUAUUACAGCUGGAUGCUUAGUUUCUUACUAUCCCUGAUCCAUGCUCCUAUAGAGUAAUUUCUGGCAUACACGAGGGGAAGUGCGAAAUGGCUUGGUUUUGUUGAUGCUUUUAUUGCUUUACUAAGUACCUGUACAAUUCUUCCAUAAGUGAAAGAAAUUUCUGAAUACAGUACUUCAACAAGUGUUUUGACAUUCAGUUAAUUUGGCACGUGGCUAUGGAACCUUGGAGGAGUUGCUCAAGUCAUCACGUGGGCACAACUAGGUGUAAACAAGAGGACGGUAAAAACUAACUUCCAUUUGUUGUUGAUGCUUAUCAUACAAAAAUCAUACAACCCCAAUCAUCCUGGGAUGAUGUGUUUGUCUGCAAUAUACAGUGACUUGGUCAUCAUAUACGCAUUAGACCAACAGUGAACAUAUUAAAGUUAGUUGCCAAGAGCAAGUGUGCUACUACUAGUCUGCUACAUAGGAGUCAUUUGUGCAUGCAAGUGAUGUGCGUACUUGUACAGUGCUCCUCCGUAAAGGCUUGGUGGCCCUGUGCCGCAAGCUAGUGUGCUACUACAGAAUGAACAUUAAAGCAUGCAAGUGUUUGCGCUAGCUUAGAGUGGUACAGUUUGGGUAAAUACCUUACUGUUUGUGCUACACAAUUGGAAUGAGUGUUGGUGGUGUUAGUUUUUACUUAAGAAAAUUUAUCACCUACUCAAUUUGUCAAGUAUAUACUCUUUUUUAUGUGGUAUUUAACGAAAUUGUACCAAAAUAAUAUGGUAUAUAUCGAAACCUUGUCGAGGGAACAUCAAGGCUUCAUUACUGCCUUGAUGUCUCAUUCAAUUAUUACUUGACUUCUUAAUAUAGUUGUAUGAUUAACCCUUCUGUUUUCCCUUCUUUGGGUUUGCAAGCAACAAUUUCAUUGAUGUUGAGUGUUUUUCGCUUAUUACAGCAGAGAUGGUGAAUUUUGUACUAUUGUAUUUACAGAAAUGCGUGUACAUAGAUUUGCAAUCUGAAGGAGCGAUGAAGUGAAGAUUGAGUGCUUUUCUUUAAGAUUAAUAAUAGAUGGUAUAUUUUUUUGUUUUGAUUUAAGAGUGUUUGAUCUGGUACAUAGUGCAUUUGUUUAGUCUCAAAAUUUCAGUGUUAUCUCUCUAUUUCUCAUAUUAUUCACACCACGUCAUUGGUGAAAGCCUGCUGAAAAGAAUAAUUAAACAAUGGUGUGCUAAGUUAAACUAAAAUGUUAUGUACUAAAGGAAAAAAAUGACAUCUAGGUAUAUUCCCUUGAAUGAUUUACUAAAUACAUUUUCAUGUGAGGGCUCUUUACAGAAAGUAACUGAGAUCCAUUUAGAAAAUCAUGUUAAUAUUUUUUUGCGUAUCAUUAACUAAUGGUUCCAUUGUUAACAUUGUAUUAAUAAUCUUGUACCCUUUUUAUAAUACUAUCCCUCGUAUUCAUUUUAUUGUAAAGACAAUAAUCAGGAAGUGGCAUGUAUAAAAUUUCAACAUUUGCUCUCUCUCUCUCAAUUCCUUGUCCCAUCUCAUUCUGAAGUUUGGGCAGAGAUAAUUAUUUACCUUGUAUGCCAUGAAGACUAUGAUUUAUUGUAAUUGGAGAAUGCAUGCGUUUUUCUCUUCCAACAUAUAUUAUUGUUCUUCACAAUUCCCGAGUGUGGUUAUAUAUAGAUUGCUUGGAAAAUCAACUAAUAUUGUUACUCUAUUCAUUUGGGAGUUAGUUGUUAUAACUUACUAUAAUUUUGUAUGUGUUGAAUUUUUUGCAGGUUUGGCAAUUAGUCCGUGUCACUGGAGAUUGAAGCUUUUUAGCAGGAAUUACUUGGGCCCGAAUAGCUGCCUGGAAGUGGUGGUGUACUGUUGGAGAUUAAGAUAAACUAGUAGUGCAUUUUAGUCAUGUUUAUUUGAAAAUUUAAAAAAUACUUAUAGUGCGUUCUAGAUAUGCUUCUGAUAUUUUGAUAUUAAAUUUUGUUUUUUGUUGGAAAUCUGUAAUUGUCUUGUGAAUGAGUGCUAUUAUUUGAAUGAAUAUAAUUUGGUUGCAUUUGUAAAUUAUUCUGCGUCAAGAAAACAAGCUGGGCAGGACAAAGAUGGACAUCUAAUCGGUUUUACUCGAACAAAAUUAUUGGGCAAAACCCCUAAUUGGGUUGGUCACUACAUGUGCCAUGCAUGUUGCCUCCACGUCAGAUCCACAUAGAUGCCAUCAUUGCUUCCACGUCAUGUAAAUCGGUGACAGAUUGUUCCGUCACAUCCUAGUUUGGGUCGGGCGGGCCUGGGGCAGAUCCAUGACGGCCAAGAAUCGUCAGGGAAGGUAUGAUGGGAAAUUCUGACGCGAUAUACAUGACGGAUUCCAAAUCCGACAUGGAUGGGUACGCAUGAUAAAUUUUGACUAGUCUGUGACGGACCAAGACCAUCAUGUAUUAACAAGUUUCUUGUAGUGGUGGUGGUGGUGGGGGGGGGGUCUUUCUAGGUCUCUCUCACACACUAUGUAUGAUACUCUAGCUAGUCCAAGCUAGAUAUUUUGGGUGCACUCAUCGUACGCACACAAAUUCCUUGGCUCUCUGCCCUUAACUCUCUCACGNNNNNNNNNNNNNNNNNNNNNNNNNNNNNNNNNNNNNNNNNNNNNNNNNNNNNNNNNNNNNNNNNNNNNNNNNNNNNNNNNNNNNNNNNNNNNNNNNNNNNNNNNNNNNNNNNNNNNNNNNNNNNNNNNNNNNNNNNNNNNNNNNNNNNNNNNNNNNNNNNNNNNNNNNNNNNNNNNNNNNNNNNNNNNNNNNNNNNNNNNNNNNNNNNNNNNNNNNNNNNNNNNNNNNNNNNUCACACAUACACAUGCAUAUCUCACUCGCACUCGAUAGGCCCAUCUAAAAAUCUAUCUCUCUCCAUCGUUCUCUCUCCAUCUCACACGCACACACACACAAUCUCAUGCCCAGCUAUCCAAGUAUGAUGGUCUCUCACUCAAGUGUAGGCACACGCAGUCCCCCGUAUAUGUAUAUGACUAGCUAAUCUUAGUCUCCAUCACAAACAUGUGCAUGGUCUAUCUCGAUUUCUCUCGGGGCAUCUUUCUAUCGCGCACGCACUCCCUCGAUCUCCCACCUAUAUAGUCCCCUCAUGAUCUCGAGGGGAUCUCUCUAUCACAAACACACCCUCUCUCCCUCCCCAUGCGUCCAUGCCAUCAAUGUGUCCCUCUCGACCUCUUUUCCUUGUUGGCCAAACCUCUAUUGGACAUGUGCUACAGGGGUGUCUCUCUCCGUUGCAAACAAUCACACACUAGCUAUCUUCGUGUAUCCCCUCACCUCGCUUUUCCAUCUCGGAGAUGCAUGCGUGAUAUGUUCGCAUAAGAAACGAAAAAACACUCUCUCUCUCUAAUUUAUCGUUUGUUGUCACUUUCUCUUUCACAGACAUACUCUUUUUGCACACUUACUCAUUCUCCUUCACACGCACUUGAUCUGUCUGGACUGAGGCACUCACCUCCGUCCAUAGCACAUAGAUUUAUUGAAAAGUCAAACAUCACAAAGUUUGACCAUGUACGUGGAGAAAAAGAAUUACAUCUAGUACGACAAACAUGUACCACUAGAUUCACCAUGAGAUGUAAUUUUGUAUGAUGUAUCUUUGGUAUUGUAGAUAUAAGUAACAUUUGCGUAAACCUGAUCAAAGUUUCCAAAGUUUGACUUCUAAAAAAUUCACAUGCACUGCAUUAUCGAGCGAAUGGAAUAUCUCUUUCCCCCUCUCAGCUAUCUGACACACCACUCAACCUUAUCGGGGCUCCUCAAUCUCUCUCAAACUUUAUUGGUCAGUUUGGUUCGUGACCAGACCCUCAUGCCUUGAUGGUCGGUACUGCCUGGUGUGGACGUGAGAUGUAAAAUAUUUCUACCUAGCCAGGCUUGUGUGGUGCUGAAGCGUUUCGUUCAUGCCUAGGCCAGGCAAAGCAUCAAUGUCCCAUCAAUGAAUCCAUGCAUCGAUUAUUUAAUGCUAAUAUCCAUCCAUGUUGUUGUUAGCCUCGUGGUCGCACGACCAGGCACGGCCAGGCGUUCGAAAUCGGUCGCUUGGGCCAGGCUACUUGCAGUAUUUGGAGUUCAGCCAGGCUAAUCAAAGUGCAAGAGAACCCAGCCUAGGCGGGCUUUCUUUUUUCAUAGGGUAGAAACCAAACAAGCGUGCAUGAAAUCCAGCCACAACCCCAGGCCACGCAAAAGAUGCUCACGACGCAAGCCAAACAUGCCUUAUAUCUCCCUGGUUCACACAUACACAUGUCUCGCUCGGGCUAUACAUAUAGACCCAUCCAACACUCUCCGCCCUUGUUCUCUCUCCAUGUGACACGCACCCCCCUAAGUACCAUAAUCCCUCACUCCAUCAUAGGCUCUGUUUGGAUCCAUGGAUUAGAGUUAGUUUGGGUUAGUUUGGAGUCAACUAACCCAAAAAGAUCCAAACAGGAGGGUUAGUUUAGGUUAGAUGCAUCUAACCCAUCCAAAAAAACUAACCCAUCCAACAGGUGCUUAUUUGGGUUAGUUCUUCUUGGGACCAUUAAUAAACACUUUUUUCUCUCGCUCUCCCCGCAGCAGAUCCCUCCCCACUUCCUCGAAGCUUCUCGUCCUCUCCCUCCCUCCCUCUCGCACCGCCCGUGAAGGUGCCUCACCGUAUCCGCGCUCCAUCUAACCCUGCCAUGCAAACACCUCUUUACUUAGAGUUAGUUCAGGGUUAGAGUCUAACUCUAACUUCUAACUGAGUUAGAGUAUCCAAACAGGGCCAUAGGCGCAAGCACUCCCCCCCUCCUAAGUAUGAUUAUCUCUUACUAGCCAUCAGGAACACACGUAUUGUCUCCUUCCAUCCAUACGUCUAUCUCGAUAUCUCUCGGGGCAUCUUCUAUCGCGCACACACCUUGUCACUCGAUCUCCCACCCAUGUAGUCCCAUCACGAUCUCCAGGGGAUCUCUCUAUGACAAACAUACACUCUCUCCUCCCCAUGUCUGCAUUUUCUCCGUACGUCGCUGUCGACCUCUCUCCCUUGUUUGUCAGACCCCUCUUGGCCACAUGCUAGGGGUCUUCCUCUCUCGGUUCCAAACAACCACACACUAUCUCCUCACCUUGCCUUCGUUGUCGAAGAUGCAUGUGUGAUAUGUUUCCAUAAGACACGCACGCUUUUUCUCCACUUUUAUCGUGUGUUGUCCAUGUCUCUUUCACACACGCACACACUUUUUUCACUCUCUCUCUCUCUCUCUCUCUCUCUCUUGUUAGGGACUGUGUCACGUCCAUAAGCAUAUGGAUGUUUUGAAAAGUCAAACCUUAGAAAAGUUUGACUAGGUAUAUGUGGAGAAAAACAUUUACAUCUGGAACGAUCAUUAGAUUCAUCACAACAUGUACUUACUUCAUACUAUCAUUUAUCUUUGGUAUUGCCGAUAUAAGUAAUUUCUUUAUAAACUUGGUCAAAUUUCAAAAGUUUGACUUUAAAAAAAUGUUGUAACUACAUUAUCGAACGGAGGGAGUAGCUCUUUCUCUCUCUCUCUGCUAUCUCUCACGGGCCUCCCCUCUCACUCGAACUCUCUAUACCGACGGAUUAUACACUCACUAUGUCAGCGUAUAGCUUUGUCUAUUAUUUAGUUGACCGGUCGACCGAUCCACAUGCUGCGUUGUUAGCUCGUGUUCUGUAUCUUGGUGUGCUGGUCCAUGUGGCAGUGGGUGAAAAUAAGUAAACUAGAGGCCCAUCUGACACGCGGUGAAGGAAACAAAGUUGAAACCACUCGGGGUAGCACCCUGCAUGCUAGUAAAUUGAGGGUGCAUUGAGGACAAACUUCUUGCGCGCGAAGGACGCACUCGCGCACAAUUCACCACUGUGCGGCGGCAUGCACAGAAGGACGCACUUGCGCACACCCAGCACACAACACACACCAGCACACGUGUACACCGGUGUCACCGCCGGUUGAGAUGGACGGCGAGGCAGCCAACAAGCGGAGGCCGCUCAAGCCAAAACCGCAUCCGGCGAGCCUGGAAUUCAUCGGCACCCCCCCCCCCCCGACGACAUGCUGCUCGUCAUCAUCGGCCUCCUCCCCACAAAAUCUGUCGUGCGGACCGCCCUGCUCUUCUAGCGGUGGCGCCCCCUCUAGCGCUGCGUCCCCCUCAACCUCACCGUCGAUAGCUACCUCUCCGAUGGGGAUUGCAACCGCAUGGCCGCAGUCUCCAAGAUCCUUUCAUCGCACCCUGGGCCAGCCAGACGCCUUGACAUCCGCAUGUUCAGUACCAACUUCAAGGUCCAACCCAAGUUCGACAAGUGGUUCUUAUCCCCCGCCCUAGAUUAGCUCGAGGAGCUCAGCUUUGAAGCUGGACGAUGUCGCUCUCUGCCGCGCUCCGCCUCACGCCAACGCUGCGCCGCGCCAGCUUCAGCUCCUGCUAUCUUCCCCAGAUUAAUGUCGCGCCCUCCCUUCUUCUCCCUCAACUCAAGCAGCUCGACCUCUUUGACGUUGUCAUCUCGAAGAAGGCUAUGGAGCACCUGCUCCGUAGCUGUACUGCGCUCGAGUAUCUUCGUCUUGAGCAUAUCCACGGGUUAAUUAGCCUCCACAUCGCCUCAACGAAUCUCCGAUGGAUUUAUGUGUCUCGCUGGCCCCGCAACAAGACAUCAAUUGGGAAGAGAUCACUCCAGCUGUUCCAUGUUAUGGUCAUUGAGAAUGCGCCUUUCCUUGAGAGAUUGCUUGUAUUGGAUCUAGAAGGUCCAACAAAAAUCAGGGUCAUUGACGCGCCGAACUUGACAGCGUUGGUGUACUCGUCCGCCAAAUUCUCCGAACUCUUUAUUGGAUCAGUAAUUGUUCAGGUACAUCACUCAUCUUCUUCUCCGUCUUCUUGAAAUUAACAUUCUUAAAUUUCUUCUUGAUGUAUUUACGACCGUCUUCCAGAAAAUGAUUCCCACAAGCAUGACCCAGUCCAUGCGCACAGUGAAGAUCCUAGCACUAAAAUCUACCGGCCCCAAUCUGGAUCAAGUUGUUGGAUUCCUUACAUGCUUUCCAUGCACGGAGAAGCUACUCAUCGAGGUGAAACUUCUUUCCUAUUAGUAAACGGUAAUCACAACGUAGCUCAAUUUUUUCAUAAUUUUCCCAAAUUACGAUGACAAGUGUAGUGUUCAAAACUACAUCUACGCACUGCACCGAAAGAAAUGUUUUUAGUAUUUUUCUCACGUGAUCACCUGGAUCAUUUUUAUGCUGUAGUACUAUAGUAGCCUAGGCUAGUCAUAGUGGAAAGUAACUUAGACUACUCCAGUAACUCUAUGGUUACCCUAAGGGCAAGUACUACCUCCGUCCUGUUUUACCUUCCAAUUUUGUAGUAUCAAAAUUUGACCAUAGAUUUAACUGACAAAAUUUUAAUGCAUGUCACUAAGAACUAUAUCGUUGAAUUGUAUUUGAACAUAAUUUCAAAUGGUGUAAUUUUUAGUGACAUACAUUGGCAUUUUCUUAGGUAAAUCUAUGGUCAAAAUAUUAUACUAAAUAUGAGGUAGUAUUCCCUCCGUCCCAAAAUUCUUGUCUUACAUUUGUAUAGAUACUGAUGUAUCUAACACUAAAAUGUAACUAGAUACAUCGGCAUUUAGACAAAUUUAAGACAAGAAUUUUGGGACGGAGGGAGUACAAAAGUGGGCUAUGUAGGCCAAAACAUGUGGAAAAUUCACUUCUGAUACAUUUGGCAUCGAUGCCCCUCAAUUGCUCACCUGGUGCUCCAAUCUGGAGCACCUACUUUGCUCCGGUGCCAAAUUAACUCACGCAAUGAAAAAACACUGCAUGGGAGAGAGAGAGGACUGAGGCAAUAAAAAACACUUGUUUGGGAGAGUGAGAGGCUGGUGUAGUUGGUUUGAUUGAUUUGUUUAUACAUGUGGGUCAAUGUGCACAGCGGUGCCAACUCUCUCACAUCGCAAGAGCGGUGCCAAAAUCUUUUGAUUUGACAUCGAUGCGUAUUAUGUGGCAUACUUUUGCGAAAUAUGGCCUCGGCCACAUAGGGGAAGGCAACAAAUGCCCAAUCUCUUCAUGUGCUCCUAGUUAAAUGAGAGGAAACAUAAACAGAGAGAGAGAGGAGGGGGGGGGGAGAGAGAGAGUGGAAAAAUAUCAAUAGCCAGCCAACCCUAUCGUAUGAGCGAAUGAUAUUGAUACCUCUUGAUGACACAACAAUCUUAUGCAGCCAACUGCUCUAAUAUGUUCUCUUCUUUUGCAGAUAAAAAAGACCCGAAAGUGAAAAAUGUGCUACACUAUAACAAUCUCAUCGAAUGCCUUGAUCUCCAUCUUACAGAAAUUGAUUUGAUCGACUACCGAGGCAGCACAGCUGAGAUUAAAUUGGCCAGGUUCUUUGUUCUGGAGGCAAGUGUGCUCAAGGUAAUGAGGUUUGGCAUUCUCUGGCGCAACAAUGAAUGGAAUGCUGAUCACCGCAAGCGUCUAAGCCUAAAUGACAAAGUUUCCGCAGAAGCUGAAUUUGUUUUUGAAACAUCAAGUGGCCAGAGACUCAAAAACUUAUUUGCCCAUUAGUGACUUGUCAGGGCGGUGGAUUUUAGUUUGUACGAUAACGCUGCAUCCACCUAAAGUAACGAAAGUUCUUACGUGAACUUCCUAGUAAUGCCCUCUUCCUAGGUGCAGCAUUACUCCUAACAUUUGUAAUAUCAGUUUGAAACUUGUAAUAUUGGCGUGUCCUAUUCCCGCGUUUUCAAAAUCCUGCGAAUCAAACAGGUCCUGAGUUGGUGAUGAUGUUGUGCCUCCCAUCUUUCACCAGUAGCCGUCAGAUCUAGAUUUGAUGCAUACAAACCAAGCUUCUCCACUUUUGCAAAAAGAUGCCCGCACUUGUUCCCUAUUUACAAAAAACUCCUUGUCUCUCACAAUCAGCCUUAUCUCCUCCCCACCACAUCUAGAAGGCCGUGGAAAAAUUUGGCGCUAUGGCCGCUGCCGGAGCAGUCCACCCCCAAUCUUAGUGUUCCGUGCAAUGCACGGGUAUCUACGCACGGGAAAUUAUGUCGAACAGGGCUAGUUGUAAGCAGGCUAGCUCUACAACCAUGAUGAUAGUGACUGCAAACAGUGAGGCUGACUAUGGUAUGCCGAACACGGCGCCUAUACUCAGGUGUCAUCUCCGGCACAAGGUCUUGUCAGUUCACUGUGAGGAGCAACACGUAAUAAUUUGACCAAUGGGUAGUACAGUGCUAGUACUCCUAGGAGUACUACAUUGGUAGUACUACUACUAGUACUAGUAGCACCACCGUCUGGAUUUAGGAGUACUACCACGUCCAUCUGGAUUUUAGUAUUUGACUAGCAAUAUCUAGUAAUGCAUGUCACAAAAAAUGUACUACUCCCUCUGUAAAUAAAUACAUGGUGUUUUAUUCCUAUCUGCGAGAGAACUUAAUGUUUUCUUGCUAACUAGAGUCUUAAUAGGAUUACAUGCAAUGAACUAAACACUGCAUGUCAUGUUUGGUAGUCUCAAUUCAUUGAAAGCAUGCACGGCCCACAUCUCUCAUUGGUUGAUAUGUCACGAAAUAAGAAACAAGGAGGGAGUUAAUGCACCGUGCCUAAGGGUUUUGGGAUUAUUUGGUUUUCGUAAUGUGACUUACACAACAUUUUUGUUUACAUGCAUUAAAAUUUUAUUAGUUAAAUCAAAGGUCAAAACUUGGCGCAAAAUGCAAAGGGGACCAAUAAACUAGUAAACAUCAAACUUCUCUCGUUUGGCCCCAACUAGAGGUCCGGUGAGAUGACUAUACUGCACCGACAUAUAGGGGGGCGUAGCUUCAUUGACUUACGGCAACUGCCUUUGGGUGAGUGACACGUGGGACCAGGGGGUUGCUGGCCCACCUAUCAUACAGCCAAAGGCAGGUGCAGUAGAGGGCCGAGGAGUAGUACGAAAUCCUACGCACCUAUGCACGCUAACCAAGGGCAAGAGUGAUCACUCGAAUUGCAAGAUCAGUUGACUAGUAGAAGCUAAGCUAGACCCAUGGAGGCGAUGAGCGUGAGCAUCAGCCGCCUGUGCCAGAUGGUCCACGAUGCCGGCCUGCGGCCCGGCAAUGAGGAACGUCUCCAGGUAGUAUUGCUUGAGGCCGGCAUGGUGAGGGGCCGCUUGGACGACAGCUUCGUCUCCUUGUUCAACGAGGUCCUCAUCGGUUUCCUCGACAAGUUCACCGUCGUGAAGAAGCUCGCGGACGACUAUGACGUAAGCCUUCAGCCGACGCGCCCAGGCUCUACGAUGCCCGGCACCCUCAACGGACACUAUGGUGACAACCUCUUCGACGCACUGGUGGCCCUGCGACUGCCUGCCGUCACACCGGAGAAUGUCCACCUUGAGGUCGCGCUCGCCGCGCAACGCCUGGUGUAGCAAGACACCAUGGACAUAAUCACCCACGUCUGCGCGCAUGCAAGAGGAUGACGAUAGGACGCUGGCCUUCUUGGACCGCAGUGCAACCUUGGACGCACUGUUCAGAAGCACGUUGAGCUCGCCGCCAACGCUGCUGCUCCUCACACGUCUUUUGGUGACCCGGCGCACUAGGGCGUGAGGAUGUCGUUGAUGGAUCCAUAUGUAUUUUUAUCUUUCCGUCAAAUCCAUGUAGUAGUAUAUGAUACUACAGUAAUUAUCUUAGCUUUUGCAUCAACUUCAUAAUUUUCGUACGUACUCCAUGCAUGAACGGCGCCAGAACCAAACUUCUCAUUACUCUAGGCAAAAUUGUUAUUUUCUAUCUAUCGAUCGCGCCAUGGAGCAGAACCAAAUUUUACAAGUUAUGAGUUCAAAAGGAAAAGCCUGUCGUGUUCGCGUCGCACCCCCACACGGUUGGUCUGGCACGCCGCUCAAGCGGGAAUGCGUGCGGUGUUGCAUUUUCACUUAAAAGUGGGACCGUAGUUGAGCAAACCGACUAUCGGCAAACCCCCACCCCGCCCACCGUGCGAUGGCUGAGAAAACACGAGGGAGAAGAGAUGGCUGUAGCACGGACUCCAAGAAAAUUGGUGUCGGAUGGGACUCGUGUGGGUGGCAUGUGCCGUAGUGCUAGACGUGAAUGCUAGUUAUGGCCCAUGCCACCCCACUAUAUCGAGCCUAUAUCGAGGUACAAUACAUAGAAUAAAUUUCCUGCAGUCCGUGCUCAGCACUCCUCUAUCUCUCUUCUCAGCCAGCCAGCGGACACGCGGAGCCCAUCGUCUGUUUGGUCACAUGCGGUCCCACAUGUCAGUGAAAACGCAAGCGGACCCACUGAACCUGCACAUCUUUCACCUCGACGUGCUGGUGAUGAAAAACAAAUCCAAGAAAGAUCUUCGGUGGCCGCUUUUGGAGUUACUCAAGAGUAGUAAGAUUCUAUUUACAAUUUAACCCAAGAUGCACAUAUCGUGGCUUCAACUUAUCAACUACCCCUCUAUUUUCUUUCAUGACAUGACCUGGAUGCUGGAUGUCCCACGUGUCGGCAAAAGGAGGAAGAACCGACCAAAUCUUCGGUUGUGCUCUCGGACUAGACUAGUUGUGCUAACUUAAAUUUUUUAUAGUGUACUCCCUCCGUUCCAAAAUACUUGACUUCCAUUUGUCCAAAAAUGGAUGUGCCUGUAUACUAAAACAUGUCUAGAUACGUAUAUAUUUUGAUAAAUAGAAGGCAUGUAUUGUGCAACGGAGGGAGUAGAAUGGAUGCAAGUUUUUGUAUUGGGAAGAAGAGUACAUCCAUAUAUUCAUAGAGCACAAUUUAGUAGAUGUUCUAUCACUUUUAGCUAGCACAGAGGCUAUAGAUGAGAUUAGUGCACUUGUUGAUACUCCUAUUUGGUAUGCGUGUUGCUGCUUAGACGUAGAGAAAAACGGACCAGAGGGAGUACUAGAAUAGAGGCUAGACAUGAGACUAGAUGCGAGGAAGCAACGUCUACUUCUUUACACUCGAAGAAGAAAGAAGCACGCAAGAUCGAGCCUCUGCAGAUCAACAAUGAAUGCAUCGAGAAGGCACUAAUCCAACUUACAGGAGUAGUAAAAUGUAUUCUUGUGGUUCUUGUUUUCUUUGGUCUUGCUUUUCUAGUUAAAAUUAUCGUUGGAGUUCGUGCAAAACGGAGGUCUUUUUGGGGUCGUGCGUUGCAGUUGGCCUUACAAGUGGGACCGCAGUUAAGGAAACCGACUAUCGGCAAAUCCCCACCUCGCCCGCCGCGCGAUGGCUGAGUUAGAGAAACGAUGAGGUUGAAGAGAUUGCUCUAGCACAGACUCCAAGAAAUAUGAUGUCAGAUGGAAGUCGUGCUGGUGGCGUGUGUCGUACUCCUGGACGUGAAUGCUUGUUCUGGCCCAUGCCACCCUACUACUCCUACUAGUUAGUACUAUAGGCCCUGUUUGGAUCAUGGGGUUAGAGCUAAUUUAGGUUAGUUGGGGGCUCAAAUAACCCAAAAGUAUCCAAACAGGGAGGGUUAGAGUGGGUUAGUUCCAUCUAACCCAACUAUCCCGAUGAAGAGGAGCUUAUUUGGGUUAGAGUGGGUUAGAAAAUAACUCUAACUCUAACUGUGUUAGAGUAUCCAAACAGGUAUAGUACUACUAGUAUCGAGGAUUCAAGGUGCUGGUUACGUAGUAUAGUAUGGCUAUAGUAAAAACACCCGCACGACGCGCAAAGCAUGUGAAGCUAGUACAAAUAGUGUACUACUAUUGUUGAUUGGCCCCAUCCGAUAACCUGUUGCAAUGCAAGUACAAUUUUGUAUUCGGAAAAUAUAUUUUUUGCCUCGUCGCACCACUCACUCAUAGAAGCAACUCAAAAGCCAUUCAUAAAUUUAGUAAGUUUCUCACAGGCCUAUCAUUUUAUUACAUACAACAGGUCAUCAACCCACAUCGACAAUGCAACAAAUAACAAGCAAUGAAAUGAACUUCAACUCAACCAUUCCUCGGUGUUGGAAACACUUGCUUUGAACCACAAGUGAUUCUCUCGGACGGGCCAUCCAUUGUCGAUCUGGAGACCAACGCAGGACUGAUCAUCCAGGCUGAAGCGGCCUACUAUAUCAGUACCAGGGUAGGGAACCAACCAAAUGUCCGAGGUAUAGACACAGUUGCUUCUCAUAAAUGGUAGUAACAUUGUGUCAACAAUAGUUGGAUCGCCUUUCACCAUCAUUGGAUAGUUUUGUCCAAGGAAGAGCGAGUUUUCUCCAAGACUAUCAAUUCUGUACCUGGGAGAAGGAGUUGGCGCUAGCACACUAGUAUCCAUCCCGAAUACCAUGCAACGGGUGUUGGAAUAGGUCUGGAGAGUGCGACCAUGGGAGACUACACCUGCUUCCUUAGCAGUAACAUCACCAGUGGGCUGUAUACACAUGAGAAGAGGUGAUCCAUCGGAAUUAGUUGCCAGGCGCCAAACAGUAUAUGGGCGCUGCUCGUCCUCAUGCUCGUGAUCAUCACCAUCAUCAUCUCCCCCUUGGUUAUAAAAAUCUUCAAGUAUAGGUGGUGGAAUGUUCACAGGACCUUGAAAACACAAGAAGAAGGUUAAUUAGUAAGGCUGGCCAUAGUGGGGGUAACAUAAGUAGUAUCAUGCACUUGGGACUCGCAAACAUGCUUAUGUGGCAGGCAAUUAAAGAGGAGAGAGAUGGUUAUAGUAACAUAGGUAGACACCGUAACAUAAUAAAUGUGAUGCUACAAUGUGUCAUGCAUGGCAAUAAAUGAGCCACCUAUGAUACUAAUCUAAGAUACUAUGCACUAUAGAGGUAGUAACAUAAACUAGUAACAUAUGCAUGUUACUAGUCUAAGUUACUCCCCACUAUGACCAGCCUUGCUAACCCGCAUGCAUGUGGAUGAAACAAUUAUAAUUACGGUGGAAGACAAACGUACCGAAACAACGAGGAUGCCAUGCAAAAACCGUGCCACGAGUGGUGGCAGCAAACACAAGGCCCUCGUAUUGAAUUGCAUCACAGUACUCAUCCGUGUACAGAAACUUGUUUUUGAGCAAUAUCCAUCCAGUCAAACCACUAACGACGGCAACAAGCUUGUCGAAAAUAGCAACAACUUCAUAGUUGUUGUAAUUCCAAGAGCGGUUGGGGACUCGAGAAAUUGCUAUCUUCCGUAGAAGACCGUCACCAUGAUUGUAGUUGAACGUGCGUACAAUAUCGGUGUGCUCAGCCUCUGGGCAGUCUGCUGAGAUUUUUGGAAGUGGAACCCGGUCACGAGUGUACACAUUCACAAGUUCCCACUCGCAGUUGGCCCCAAUGUAAACAACCCAAUCUCCAUUUGCACCUGCCCAAGCCUUUCCCUCAAGCGAUGGCAUCUUAACAUCAUACAUAUCAUUAUCAAGCGGCAUCAACUUGCACAGCGCGAGGCCUCCGUCGUGACGGUGCUAGUCAUCAGGGUCAUGGCGAAGAAGAUAGGGGAGAUCAAACCGCUCCUUGACUCUGGGGUUCCUUGUAAUGAUGUUAUUAGUUGAGUCGAGAAUGGGCUUGAACGAAUCUGCCAUGCUAGCCGAGGUGAUGACGUUGCACCAAUCAAUGAGUUCCUCCACCACGUCAUCUUUCAGAUCGGGGCAAGAAUAAUGGGGUCGUUUCCGUCCUGUUCCCUCCAUGGAGAAGACGAUCGAACAAUGGCAGAAGAAAGGGUGAACGGCUGAAGGAAAAUGGAGGAGGGAGAGGAAGAGCGUACGACAGCAGUUCCAAAUCGAGAGGGAAAGGCGAAUAGUCGGUGGACGGUUGCCAGUUUGCCACGGUUCACGAAGGGGCGCCCCGGCCUACACGUCGGUUCGGAAAUACUCCUACUACUCGCCGUUGUCUCACUGAUAUGUGGAACGGGACCACAUGUCAACGAGACAUGGUGUGUAAUUUCUCGUGAAAAAUGCGAUCUGGCCGCGUUGGCCCGAGGUGCCGCAUUAGUUAUCGGCCUUUAUUUUUUAAUGGCGCGCCGUUCAGUUUUGAAGCACGACUAACAGGUAUUGUACUCAGAGAAAAUAUAAACUACUCUACCACUACUCCUCCUCCAGUACUAGUAGUAUAAAGAAGAUAUAUAGGUUGGAGCUUCAGCGCUUUCUUGCCAAGGGCUGCCGACUUGCUUCUCACACUACCACCCUCUCUCCAGAUCUAAAAAAGACGGCCCCUCUCUCCCUCCACAACGGUGGUCACAGAUCCGCCGGGGAAGAAAAGGACGUGCAGCAUUGACACACUCAUCAUCGGCGAGCGAGGUCACGCACUGACGACAAGGCCGUCCUCUCAGAGCUAGCGCCCGCGCGGGAUCGCUGUCGUAGUGUGUGCGGAGGACAACGACCACGAGCGAAGCCAUUUCCCGCUGACCCUAAGGUUUGCUACCUCUUUUCGAACCAUACCCUUGUUCUAUUGCCCCAUCUGACACGUCAUUGCUUGUGGAUAUUUUUCCACUCCACCAUCUUCCCAAUUUGCUAUCCUCUGCUCUGCUGGCCACGCAGACGAAAACCAUAAUUUGCACUAUUAAAGGAAACCCUACUUCAUGCAGACUAAUGCAUGUCUGGGUUGAAUAAGGAAAGGAAGGAGACUGUAUUGUCCAAGAGAGUAGGCAUCAAACCAGCAUCUAGGUUGAAAAGGGGAAAAUCAGUAGCUAAGGAACAAGUCGCGUGUCUCUUGGUUGAAGAAGGGUAGAAAGGCAUGACAAUGCAGUAGAGAAUGACCAGGUCGAUCGGUUUGUUGUCCUCACAUAGGAAAAAGGUGGCUAAAGAGAACAAAAAUGGGACGUAAUCCACAUAUGCUUCCUGGAUAUUUGUUACUCUGGGCAACCAUACCUCCCUCACCACUCUGCGUCCAUGGAGGUACAUCAUACUGGUGCGCCCACUGUCCGAAUGGGCCUCCCAUGCUCUUAUUGCCACUUUUUUUGCUGUUAGUAUAACGCCAGCAGUCAAGUCAUGCAAUGCUACUGCUAAAGUGAUGCCACAUUUAACUAAUGCCGCUCUCAGUCUAAUGCCACAGAUAAAUUUAAGCAGUGCCAUUUAAUGUCACUGGAUCAUUUCAGGGUUAGUUGUUGAUUGUGGAUGUAUUAAAGAUUUUUCAGCUAAGGCAUUCUAAUGCUGUUGCACAGCCAGUAUACCAACGAUGAAACUUGUUACUGCCUUCAGAUUUUUGCACUGUUAAUGCUUAUAGAUUACAUACCUCACUUUCAUGAGAUAAGUUAAUUUUUUUGUAUAGUGUCACCAAAAUGGCAAGGCGCUGAUGUCAUUUUAUUUUGGUUAAACUACACAGACAAUUAUGAAGACAAGAGGAAAGGUCAAGAGUGGGCACCUCCUCCUCUGGUUGUUCUCUUGAUUAUCACGAGGAAAGAUCAAGUUUUUAUGUUUGAUCGAUUUUCAAGAUUGGGAUAGCAAUUUUUAAGGUCCCCCCUAGUUCGAAAUGAUAUAUACCUUGGAGGUACAUGGUUUGCAAUUUUUUUAUACUGUCAUUAGUUAAUAAUGCUAGUUACCUUCAGGCUUUUCUAUUUGGUUUAAUGCUCAUGCACAGCUAGUAUACCAAUGCUGAAACUUGUUACCUUUACAUUUUGUAUUGUUAGUUCUUAUAGAAACCUUCCAGUGCUAGAGUUUAUUGAAAUCUGUUCAGUAAAACCAUUGUAUUGUACCCUGUAAUAAACUAACUACUCUACUGUUGCACUAGCCACUGGAUGACUGUAUAUUUGUAGUAUUCGAAUGGUGUUGCAUUAGCGUAUGGACAUAAAUAAAGUGCGGCAAGAUUUCCCACAUAUGUGCUCAAGAAAACGACUACCUGUUUUUCUAAAUACUAGACGUUUGGGUACUUUGAAUUGAACCGCGAACAUGUCUUAUAUUAAGGAACAGAGGGUGUAGAAUUCACUCAAAUUAUCCCCGUAAAGCUAGUCACACCUUUGUUAAAAUUAAUGUUCAUUAUGUUAUCGGAGGAGGUCUGUAUGUUUGUCUCUAAUGCCUGUCUACUACAUACCCGGCAUCAUGAUGUAAUGUUAAGUCAUUUCCUUUUGUACAGUGUAACUAAAUUGUCAAGGUGGUGAUGGCAUUUUAUUUUAGUAGAACUGCACAAAAUUUGCUUAAAAGAAGAGGAAACGUCAGGAAUGGCUCAGUUUUUUAGAAAAAAAUAUGUAUGCCUUCCUGACAUUUGCCGUUGUUGAUUUAUUUAUUCCUUCGAACAGGUGGUUAGAAAUAGUCUUGCUACCUUUUCCCAUUAAGAAAUUGGAAUGCUUAUAUUUGUGAGUCUAUGCUUCAACUAGUGCCACUUUUAUAGUAAUCACACUUUCAAUAUCUAUGCAAACAGGGAUGCUCGAUUUUAGUGGAGCUGCACAAAAAGUCCAACUGGUUCAACAUUAGGAGCAUGUUUUUUUCCAAACCUUUAUAUCCAAUUGGUGGCACUAUGAGCUGUUCAUUACGAAAGUACAUGGUUUGCUACUAUCUUGCUACUCUUUUUGUACUGUCAUUAGAUAGUAAUACUAGUGGUUUGCAUGUGAAUUUAUUGGCAGGGUGGACCUACAUUGGAGGUGCAGGACAGGAUUCAAAAUUUGGAUGCUCAAUUUCGGUUGUAUCGAUUUUACCUCUUCCAUCACUGCGAACAUGGUGUGGUAUUUGUUUACUAGCUACUUGAUAUUUGUGCAGACAGAGAUGUCUGCCCGUUGCUAUUUGGGAAACAAACAAAGUGUCCGCAAUUUGGUUGAACUGCACAAGAGAAUAGCAUAGUCGCUGCAUGCAGUGCCAUUUUAAAAUAGAUACAAAGAUUGGAUAGUCACUUCAUGGACUGCAGAAAAGUAGUACUGUACUAUUUACUAGCCAACAGUUGUGCUUCAUUGCUUUGGUCUGAUUAUACAAUGGGCAUCAUUUUCCCUAAGUUAAAGUUUGUAUUCUGAAAAUAGUAUCGCGGUGUGAUCGAGAGAAGACCAAAUCAUAUGUGGAUGUUCCUCCAUCAUGUGUGGUUCAUUCUCAUGGUUCCAGCUGUUGGUGAAACCACUUACGUUUGCAAGAGGAAUUGUAGACUUCACAAACAAAUUUGUUUUUCAGUCUGUACUGAAUGUUGGCCAAGAGAAGCAUCCAUGUUAGUAGGAAGAACAAAUGUUUUUUCUAGAUCUUUGCUUUUGGAGCUACAUAUUUGUAUAUGAUCUGUGAAUCAUUGAGAUGCAUUAACAUGUUGAUCUUAUGUAUGGGAAUCGUACUAGUUAGUUUUAGUUGCGACGCAUGAUCCGAGCUGGCUGAUCUUUGCUUUUGGAGCUACAUAGUUGUAUAUGAUCUAUGAAUCAUUGAGAUGCAUUAACAGUUACUUAUUUCUGUCCGCUCAGUGUUUACAAGUUACUGAUCGAUCAUUAGCUAGCCUACAAAUGCGCACCUGGCAGUUUUAUUUGCGACGCAAGAUGCGAAGUGGAAGUUUUUUGAAUAAAAAUGCCUACCUCUGAAGAAACUGACAAGCUACACUAUCAAUCCUACACGGAUAAAAUGCCUACCUCUGAAGAAACUGACAAGCUACACUAUCGAUCCUACACGGAUAAAUAGCGUAUCACGCACGUACUACCUCCUUUCCGGUUUGCAGGGCUCAAUUCAAGAAACGACCUACUCGAUCCUACACGAAUAAAUAGCGGAUCACACACGUACUAGUACCUCCUUUCCGGUUUGCAGGGCUUAAUUCAAACCUCUCACCAACCAAGGUACUCCCUCCGUCCGGGUUUAUUAGUCCCGUGAGCAAAGCAGCAAGACCAAGGCAUGGCAAUAAUUAACGGCAUGCAGAAGUUUAUGCCUAAUUAAUUUCCAACGAUUUAAGUGGCUGCAUACGUGCCCUCAACUGCGACUUGUUGCAUGCUGCUUCGCGUACUGCCUGCGAGCGAUUCUGAGUGCCUGCAUGCAGCUGGCCAUAAUUAAGGCAGCUAACUGAUGUGAAAAAAGAUACGCUUUAAUUGUUGCGGGCUUUUUCAAUCUGUGAAAUCAUUAUUGACAAGGAGGGAGAUGAUUCGAGUGCACUCGUUUGACCGCCAUGCCGGUGUGCGACCCAGACGGGACGGGACGGCAUAGUCAUAAUUUCAGUUUCCCUUGUUUUCCACAGCAAGCUGGCUCGCUAAGCCAUUAUGCAUUGAAUUCCGAUGACCGUCGCGCUACCUUCUCCCUAUAAGUACUGUUUCCCGGCAUUCUCCAGUGCCAACAUGACCCAACUCGCCAUAUCCUCAUAAGCCCCCACCAUCCCGACAUCGCUUGCCACGUCCGCCAUGCCCCUGCCCGUCCGCGGUAGGCGACGUAGGAGGCGGUCAUCGCCGGAACUAGUGUUCGGUUUUUCACCUGAAGGCAGACAGAGUCAGGAGGCAUUCUAUAUGUCUUUAGAUGGCAAUGCGCAGAUCGAGGAGUUGUUGGAGCGCGACCACAUGGCGGAGGAGCAGGAGUUGUUGGAGCGCGACCGCCUGGCGGGGGAGCAGCGUAACGCCGAUUUGCGCCGCCAGCGGGACAUGGAGCAGCAGCGCACCGACGCCCUGAGUCGCGAGGAGAGCGCCCGCAACUGGGCCUACUACGUGGAGGUCGGCACCCGGCAAAUAGCCCUGGAGGCUGUCGGGCACGCACCCGUUCGCGAUGCCGAUUUUUACUACCAGCUCGUCAAGUGGGUUUCCCGCUUGGAUGCCGAAGCUUCGGUGGACCACGCCGGCAUGGAAAGGGCCAACGCGCGCGAGCAACACACCCUAUCGCACCUCUGGCAAGUCUGAGGCGAGGCGCAGGAUGCCGGUGCCGGUGUUUAGCGUGUACGGCCGGCAUCGUCUGGUUAGCUAAGAGUAAGUUAGUACUUGUCUAGUGGGAGUAGAUAGUUAACUUGGCUAUGAUGGUUGUCAACGUGGAAGUUCAGUACUCUAUAUGUGGAUCAAACGUGUUACUUUGCUCUGAAUGUUGAAAUUUCCGUUUGAACGUAUGGAAUGGGUUGUUAUUUUUUUAAAUGGGUUGUACUUGUCCUCCACGGGUUUAGAGGCUGACUUGUGGGCCUAGCAAGUUGAUGCGUACACAAUCAGGAGAAGAUUGUACGUGGAGAGGAUGACAGCAGGGAGGUCAUGGCAGUACACAAGCAAGUGCCUCCUUAUUUCAAGCCAAUAAAAAAAUGGCUCCUCCUAGUGGAUUUCUGACAUCUGGGUCCCAUGCCAUUGUCAAUGUAGUCAAUAAACGAGAGAAUUUCACAACCAGCGGCUGACACCAGGGACACAACAGCUCGCCCAGUUAUUUUUGUUUUGGGUUAAUUUGAUAAAUGCCUCCGAGAAAUGCCACUGAAAUUUCCAAACUUUGAAAAAUGCCAUUUCAUGCCAUUUCUAGUGGAAUUUUUUGAAGUCUAGAGUGGCGUUUUUCAAAGUUUGCAAACUGUAGUGGCGUUUUUCAAAGUUUGCAAAAAUUCUAGUGGCAUUUUUCAAAGUUUGGAAAUUGCAGUGGCAUUUUUUAUGAAUUGCCAUAAUUGGAGUGGCAUUUAUCUAAUAUGUUUUUGAGACGGAAGCAGGGUAUCAACUGGGCUGUGCGGGACACUCUGGCCUGUCUAGACAGCCUUUUCUUUUAUGUUUACCACAUACCAGCCCAGUAGUUUUUUUUCUUUUUGAAAAUGGCUAGCCUAGUUUUUUUGUGAUUUGUCAAGUAAGUCACUGUAUCAGGCCUGUUGGGCUAGACGAGGAGAGCUUCAUUCGGCUGGCGGAGAAAAUGGCCUAUCAGUAAUGAGAAAUGGGCUGUAAAUUUUAAAACACAUCAAACCAGCAAUUAGUUUCAAAUAUCUUUUUUUCAUUUCGAGAUUUUAAAUUGCAUUGAUAUUUAUGCGUGGAUGAUUUAUUGGAUUUUAUAUUGAUAUACAUUUAUUUUUAAAAUCAGUCUGAAUGUGACUCGAAAUUUCCGGAAUAAAAACAAUUCAGACCGCACCAACAUAUGCAAAAUUUCGUAUAAUUUUUUAACCGUGGCCACAAUAUGGGAUGUAAUGCUACCAAAAAGAAUAUGCGCUCCAAAAAACCAUAAGAAUUAGCAAAUGGGCUGUAAACUAUUUGAAAUAAUGGCAGAUGGGCUGUAUGCUGUUUUCCACAGAUUUGAGGCUUUCCACAGAUGGCCUGUAUACUGUUGGAUGUCCAUCCAACGGCCGUCGUGCUUCUUCAAUCUCUUCUCUUCCUGCUCCAGCCGCUCAAACAAGCGCCGGCGGGACUGCCUGCUCCCUCCUCCCCGCGGAUGGCUGUGCUGCCGCGCAGGCCUCACCGCCCCACCGUACUCCCAUCGCUGGCUUAGCUAUCCCUCUACUCACCAUCAGUCCCACACAUGUUGUUAUUCUCCGGCGACGGCAGACGAACCAGUAAACCCUCGUGUACUCCUCCGCGUGGGAAAUAACUGCCGAGUAUUCCCUAGCUCCGUGUCGUUCCCUUCCUAGGCCUCUCCGUCGUCCACUACCCUGGUGCUCUCGGCGCAGCCUGGUCAACGUGGUCAAUGAACGACAUCCAUCGGAAGUGGACUGUACUUGGAGAGGCUGACAGCUGGGUCCACAACCGCACGCAAGGAAAUGCCUCCUUAUUACGCGCAAAAUAAUGAUUCCUCCACCUGACAUCUGGAACCCACCGAAAGGGCCUCUGUAUUUCGUGAAAAAAAUGUUACCGCCGCUGACAGCUCGGACCCACCAGCUAUAUCUUUGCACGCAAGGAAGUGCCUCCUUAUUACGCCCAAAAAAAGAAUACUCCCCCUGCUAGCUGGGACCCAGUAGUGGGCCUACUAAGUGGAUGGGGACGAAGGGAUUUUUCAACUUAGUCAAUAUGCACGAUUCUAGCUCGACUGACCAUACGAUGUCCAUCCAACGGCCGUAGUGCUUCUUCAACCUCUGGUCUUCUUGCUCCAGCCGCCCAAAGCAGCGCCGGUCGUGCCACCUACUCCUGCCUCCCGUGGCCGGGUGUGCUGCCGCGGAGGCCUCACCGCCCCCAUACUACUCCCAGCGCUAGCCAGGCCAUCCCUCCACUCCACUCACCCACACCCCCUAUUAUUCUGCAGCGACGGCAGUGCAACCGAACCAGUGAACCCUCGUACUCCUCUCCGCGUGGGCAUCCACUACCGCAUCUUCCCCGGCUCUGCGUCGUCCCCUUCCUAGGCCUCGCCGUCAUCCACCGCCGUGGUGCUCUUGGUGCAGCGUGGUCAAUGUGGUCAACGACCGAAUUCCAUCGGAAGAAUACUGUACGUGGAGAGGCUGACAGCUGGGUCCACGGCAGCCGCAAGGAAGUGCCUCCUUAUUACGCGGAAAAUAAUUAUUCCUCCACCUGAUAGAAGGGAUCCACCGGACGGGCCACCAGUAUUUCGUGAAAAAACGUUUGUCCCUGACUGCUGAGACCCACCCGACGGGCCACCGUAUUUCACGAAAAAAACGUUCCCACUGCUGUCAGCUCGGACCCACCGGAAGUGCCUCCUUAUUACACACAAAAAAAGGAAUACCCCCCCCAGCUAGCUGGGACCCACCUUGGUGGGAGGCUGACUUGUGGGCCUACUAAGUUGACGGGGAUGGAGGGCUUUCUCAACUUAGUCAAUAUAAACGAUUCUAGCUCCAGGGACCAUAUGAUGUCCAUCCAAUGGCCGUAGUGCUACUUCAACCUCUAGUCUUCUUGCUCCAGCCGCCCAAAGCAGCGUCGGUCGUGCCGCAUGCUCCUGCCUCCCGUGGCCGGAUGUGCUGCCGCGGAGGCCUCACCGCCCCCUACUAUUCCCACCGCUGGCCAGGCCCUGCGGCGAGGGCAGCCUAACACCACUGCCGAACCAGUGAACCCUCGUACUCCUCUCGGCGCGGGCUUCCACUGCCGCGUCUUCCUCGGCUCCCCAUCGUCCCCUUCCCAGGCCUCGCCGUCGUCCACCGCCCUGGUGCUCUCGGCGCGGCGUGGUCAACGUGGUCAAGGAAUGGCUUCCAUCGGACGUGGACUGUACGUGGAGAGGCUGACAGCUGGGUCCACGACCACAGCAAGGAAGUGCCUCCUUAUUACGCGCAAAAUAAUUAUUCCUCCACCUCACAGCGGGGACCCACUGGGCGGGCCACCGUAUUUAGCGAAAAAACGUUUCCUCCUGUCUGCUGGGACCCACCAAUUACAUCUUCGCACACAAGGAAGUGCGUCCGAAAAAAAAAGAUUCGCCCCCUGACUGCUGGGACCCACCAGCUACAUCAUCACACGCAAGGAAGUGCCUGACAGCCGGGACCCACCUGGUCGAAGCGUACGUAGCGUUGUCAUUCUGGUAGCGAACGUGUACAUACAUAUAUACUGGUGGAUGUAGAGGCGCGCACGUGUCGUGGUAGAUGCGCGCACGUAGCAUGUACACGUACGUACAGCGGCGAGGGUGCAAGAAAGAAAAAACGGCCACGUGCGUACAUACGGGCAGGAUCUCUAAUGCCUAUCGCGCAUACGUACAUGGCUGGGUCGGAACGGAGAAACAGCGUCAUCGUCGUGUUCAUGGGGAGCCAACCGGCUGGGUCGGAAUGGAAUGCGUGGUCGUGUUCAUCUGGAGGGCUUGGACGGAACAGGCGAUGGAAAAGAGGCCUGGCGUACCGCACAACGGAGGAAACGACCUUGUGUUCAACCGGCCACGUUCGAAACGGGGUCCUGUUGAUCGGGAGGGGCCUGGCGUACCGCAAAACGGAGGAAACGGACCUCCUACAUUCAAAACAGGGGUCCUGUUCAUCGGGAGGGGAGUGGCGUAGCGCAAAACGGACAAAACGGACUUGUGUUGGAGCGCUACGGUCGAAACGGGGGUCCUGUUCAUCGAGAGGGGUGUGGCAUACCGCAAAACGGNNNNNNNNNNNNNNNNNNNNNNNNNNNNNNNNNNNNNNNNNNNNNNNNNNNNNNNNNNNNNNNNNNNNNNNNNNNNNNNNNNNNNNNNNNNNNNNNNNNNNNNNNNNNNNNNNNNNNNNNNNNNNNNNNNNNNNNNNNNNNNNNNNNNNNNNNNNNNNNNNNNNNNNNNNNNNNNNNNNNNNNNNNNNNNNNNNNNNNNNNNNNNNNNNNNNNNNNNNNNNNNNNNNNNNNNNNNNNNNNNNNNNNNNNNNNNNNNNNNNNNNNNNNNNNNNNNNNNNNNNNNNNNNNNNNNNNNNNNNNNNNNNNNNNNNNNNNNNNNNNNNNNNNNNNNNNNNNNNNNNNNNNNNNNNNNNNNNNNNNNNNNNNNNNNNNNNNNNNNNNNNNNNNNNNNNNNNNNNNNNNNNNNNNNNNNNNNNNNNNNNNNNNNNNNNNNNNNNNNNNNNNNNNNNNNNNNNNNNNNNNNNNNNNNNNNNNNNNNNNNNNNNNNNNNNNNNNNNNNNNNNNNNNNNNNNNNNNNNNNNNNNNCCCGGAGGCAGCAUCAAUCGGCUUCAGUUAGCAGUAGUAGCGAAGGAAUCGCUCCAUCGGGUUUAGUUAAUAGCCAUCGAUCGAUCGCUCGGGUCCAGUAACGCGUAGCCUGCAGUGCAAUCGCUCGGGUUCAGUUAGAGCCCAAUGCCUCGCUCGGCUUCAGUUAGAGGCAACUCCUCGCACACACGCGUGUACGUACGAGAGAAACGUGCAUCGCUCCGCCCUCGACCUCCAACCGUAACCGGCAACUCCCCGAAAUUUUCCUCCCCCUCACUUCUACCACGAUUUUUUCUGUCAUGGACAUCCCAAAGAAUGUCAUGCAGCUGCGUCUCCGGCCCGCCCAAGACGAAAAGCCCAUAGUUUGUCAUAAUUUUUUGUCAUAGAAGUAGGAGCCCACCACAUCUAUGAUGAUACCGGGUUUUUUCACAAUUAUCAUCAUAGAAGUGUCAUAUGUAUGACAGGAAAAAAAUUCGUUCGGCCCAAAAUGUCACGGAUGUGUCUUUUUUUUGUAGUGAUUGGGUGUGUGGGGGACAUAAGAGACUCUUUGUUAUUUGGUUGCAGGGUUGUUUGAGAGAGACCAUCUUCAUCCUACGCCUCCAACGGAUUGAUAAACCUUAGGUCAUCCACCUGAGGGAAAUUUGCUACUGUCCUACAAACCUCUGCACUUGGAGGCCCAACAACGUCUACAAGAAGAAGGUUGUGUAGUAGACAUCAAGCUCUUUUCUGGCGCCGUUGCCGGGGAGGUGAGUGCUUGAAGGUAUAUCUUUAAAUCUUGCAAUCGAAUCUAUUUGUUUCUUGUUUUAUCACUAGUUUAGUUUAUAAAAGAAAACUAUAAAAAAUGGAUUUGAGUUUGUCUCAUAUCUUCCGUGAGAAUGAUGGGAAGGAAAAUUGUGCUCAAGUGCUAGAAGAAGAAUGCAUUAAAAUGCUUGGUACUAAAUCUUUGAAUGAUGAGCAUAUUUGCAAUGUUGUUAGUAUGAACUCUUUGAAUAUCCAUACUCCAUAGUACUAAUGAUGAUUGUAGUAGUUAUGAUGAAAAUAUCUCUUAUAAGCAUGUCCUUUUUUUUGGAGUUGAUUGGGUUUGCAUGUACACACCAAAUAGGGAAAAUAGAUAUUGCAAGAGGCAUAAGUAUUUAGAAACUAAAGGGUUGCAAGAAAGGCUUAAUGUUAGUGCUAAAAAUUGAAGAUAUUUUCACCGUACUUGUGAACUUUGCAAUGAACAUGGUCAUUUAAAUCUUCGAUGCAAAUUAUUUCAUGAUCGAAUCAUGUCCAAAAAUUGUGAUGAAUUGAUUUCCCUUGCGCAUCAUAAUGAACUUAGUUUGCUUUUGGGUUAUGAAGAAUUGAAACGUGCAACUAAGCUUAUUCCAUAAUUUAAUCUUGAGAAUUUCCAUGAUAUUGACCUAGAGGAAAUUUAUAUGUAUUGUGCGGUGAAUUGCAUUGAAAAUCCUUAUAUUGCCAAUUACCUAAAGAAUAGAAAGCAAAUAGAAGAUGAAGAGAAUGCUAAUGAAAGGGAAGAGACUUCCCAAUAUCCUCCUAUUAUUUCUUAUGAUGAAUGCGGUAACGAGGAGGAGCUUUCUAUUCAACCAAUCUCAUCAAUAAGGAGCUCAAAAAAGAGGGAUAAGCUAUACUAUAACAUGUUGUGAAGAAGAAAAAGAAACGAAGGAGCAACAUAGGUAAAAAGGUAUCUAUCUCAAAUGAUGUUGCUCCUACUACUCAUUGUGAUGAUCAUAAUUGCCAUACUAUUGGUGCUAUCCAUACUAUUAAUGAUGAGAGUGAUUAUGCUUAUGAUAUGAAAAGGCCCAAGCUUGGGGAAGCUAUGUUUGAUGAGUAUGACAUAUUUGAGACUAUAUUUGCUGAAAUUAUUGUUUGUCCCUAGCUUGGGGAUGCUAUGUUUAAUGAAGAUGAUAUUUUCAGCAUCCCAAGUUUUGAUAUGCAAAGUUGUUAUGAUGAUAGCAUGCCUCUUACUUAUGAUUAUAUUGAUGAAAGUGGGUUUGGAAGAGUGUCAACUUUAGGAAGUAAUGAUCCCACUAUUUUGGAGGAUGUUGAAUCUUAUUGUGAUGAAUAUGAAAGUGGAUUUGGAAGAGUGUCAACUUUAUUUAGUGAUGAUUCCACUAUCUUGGAAGAGGUUUCAAUCGAUUAUGAUGAGAACCAAGUUGCUACUUAUGAUGAUUAUUGUGAUGAAACUUAUGCUAUAACAAGUAGUGAUGAUUAUAUUUAUAAAACUUGUCAUGAUUAUGAUUACCCUUUCUCUGAACAUUACUCUUUUAAUGUGUAAUCAAUUUAUAGUAUUCAAGUCUCUUAUGAUACUCCCACCAUUCUGAAUGAGAAGAAUUUUGCUUAUGUGGAGAGAAAUAAAUUUUGUAUGCUUGUAGAUCAUGAAAAGAAUGCUUUAGGUGCUGAUUAUAUUGUUGAAUUCAUUCAUGAUGCUACUGAAAAUUAUUAUGAUGGUGGAAAAUAUGCUUGUUGGAAUUGCAAUAAUAUCAAGUAUCCUCUCUAUGUGCUUAAAAUUUUGAAGUUAUGCUUGUUUUGCCUUCCUAUGCUAGUUGAUUAUUGUUCCCAUAACUUGUUUGCUCACAAAAUCCCUAUGCAUAGUUGAUUAUUCUUCAUGAUGCUCUCUUUAUGUUUCAAUUCUUAUCUUUUAUGUGAGGACCAUUGUCAUCAUCAUGCCUAGCUAAGGGCGUUAAACGAUAGCGCUUGUUGGGAGGCAACCCAACUUUAUUUAUUUCCUUGCUUUUUAUUCCUGUUUAGUAAUAAAUAAUUCAUCUAGCCUCUGGUUAGAUUUGGUUUUAUGUUUUAAUUAGUGUUUGUGCCAAGUAGAACCUUUGGGAAGACUUGGGUGAAGUCUUUAUGAUCUUGCUAUAAAAAAACAGAAACUUUUGUGCUCACGAGAUUAGCUGCCAUUUUUUUACUGGAGAGUGAUUUUAGGUUGAUUAUUUUUGCAGAUGUUUAAUAGACAAAUUCCUCAGGUCCACCAAUUUAUUUCAGAAUUUUUUGAGUUACAGAAGUAUUCAAAUGAUACAGAUUACUACAGACUGUUACAUUUUUGACAGAUUCUGUUUUCAUUGUGUUGUUUGCUUAUUUUGAUGAAUAUAUGAGUAGUAUCGGAGGGUAUGAACCACACAGAAGUUGGAAUACGGUAGAUAUUACACCAAUAUGAAUUUAGAAUGAGUUCACAACAGUACCUAAGUGGUGAUUUAUUUUCUUAUACUAACGGAGCUUACGAGUUUUGUUUUGAGUUUUGUGUUGUGAAGUUUUCAAGUUUUGGGUGAAGAUUCGAUGGACUAUGGAAUAAGGAGUGGAAAUAGCCUAAGAUUGGGGAUGCUCAAGGCACACCAAGGUAAUAUUCAAGUUCAUCGGUAACUUUACUUAGAGCUAUAUUUUUAUUCACCACAUGAUAUGUGUUUUGCUUGGAGCGUCAUUUUAUUUUGUUAGUAUUUGCUUGCUGUAAUUUAGUGUAAUCUUUUGCAUCUCUAGUUUCAAUAAAAAUGUCAAGGAUAGCCUUUACCAUGCUUAUUUUGCUAGUAUACAUGUUGCUGUUUGAAAACAGAAAGUUUACCGUUGUUGCAAAAAUUCCGUAGAAAAGUCAGAGAGGGAUAUAAUGUUGAAUCUUUUUGAAUAUUGAGAUCUGAUAAGUCUUCUACAGCAUAGUAUUUUUCUCAUAAUUUUUGGAGUUAGGGAAGUAUGAUCAAUCUGGCAUUCUUUACAGAUUAUACUGUUUUGGCAGAUUGCUGUUAUGUUUGCAUGUGUUUGCUUGUUUAAUGAUUCUAUUAGAGGAUAGGAGUAUUAAAUAUGCAGAGACAUAUAGUAUGCAAUGUUGAAUAAUAAUCUUAGUGAUUUGCUACAGUACAAAAUGAUAAGGCUUUUGCACUGAUUUAUACUAACUUAUCUCACGAGUUCUUGUUGAGUUUGGUGUGGAUUAAGCUUUCGAGAUUUAGGAAAUCGAGGUAUAAAAGGAAUUAAGGAGACACAAAAGCUCAAUCUUGGGGAUGCCCAAGGCACCCCAAGAUAAUAUUUCAAGAAGUCUCAAGCAUCUAAGCUUGGGGAUGCCCCGUUAGGCAUCCCACCUUUCUUAUUCAACAACUAUUGGUUACUAUCGGUUCAACCUAAGUUUUUGCUUCUUCACAUGAGUUGUGCUAUCCUUGCAAUAUCAUUUUAUUUUGUUUUGCUUGCUGUUUGAAUAAAAUACCAAGAUCUGAAAUUCUUAAAUGAGAGAGAGGCUUCAUAUAGCUACAUAAUUAUUUAACUACUCAUUGAUCUUCACUUAAUCUUUUUGGAGUAGUUUGUCAUUUACUCGUGUGCUUGACUUAUAUCUUUUGAGCCAGAUAACUUUUGCUCUAGUGCUUCACUUAUAUCUUUUAAAGCAUAGUGGUGGCUUAAUUUUGAAAAAAUUGUUGAUCUCUCAUGCUUCACUUAUAUUAUUUUGAGAGUCUUUUAGAACAGCAUGGUAUUUGCUAUGGUUAUAAAAUUGGUCCUAGAAUGAUGAGCAUCCAACUUGAGUAUAAUAAAAACUAUCAUAGAAAGUGCAUUAAACACUAGGAUCAAUUUGAUGCUUGAUAAUUGUUUUGAGAUAUAAAGGUGGUAAUGUUAGAAUCAUGCUAGUGGGUAAUUAUGAAAUUGAGAAAUACUUGUGUUGAAGUUGGCAAGUCUCGUAGCAUGCACGUAUGGUAAAAGUUGUGUGACAAAUUUGUUACAUGAGGUAAUCUUUUGAUUGUCUUCCUUAUGAGUGGCAGUCGGGGACGAGCGAUGGUCUUUUCCUACCAAUCUAUCCCUCUAGGAGCAUGCGUAGUAGUACUUAUCUUCGAGGGAUAAGUAGACUUUUGCAAUAAGUAUAUGAGUUCUUUAUGACUAAUGUGAGUCCAUGGAUAUACACACACUCACCCUUCCACUUUGCUAGCCUCUAUUGUGCCGCGAAAAUUUCGCCAGUAUCAUGCACCCAUAAUUUACCUUCCUCAAAACAGCCACCAUACCUACCUAUUAUGGCAUUUCCAUAGCCAUUCCGAGAUAUAUUGCCAUGCAACUUUCCACCAUUCCGUUAUUAUGACACGCUCCAUCAUUGUCAUAUUGCUCUUUGCAUGAUCAUGUAGUCGACAUUAUAUUUGUGGCAAGGCCACACUCAUAAUUUUCAUACAUAUAACUCUUGAUUCAUUGCAUAUCCCGGUACACCGCCGGAGGCAUUCAUAUAGAGUUAUAUUUUGUUCUAAGUGUUGAGUUGUAAUUCUCGAGUUGUAAAUUAAUAAAAGCGUGAUGAUCUUCAUUAUUAGAGCAUUGUCCCAAGUGAGGAAAGGAUGAUGAAGACUAUGAUUCCCCCACAAGUCGGGAUGAGACUUCGGACUUUAUAAAAAUAAAAGAGGCGAAAUAAGCCCAUAAAAAAAGAGGCCUAGGAAGCCCACCAAAUAAAAAAAGAAGGAAAAAAAGGAGAAAAAAGAAAAGAAAAAGAGAAAAGAAAAAAUGAAAAGAGAGAAAAGAGAGAAGGGACAAUGCUACUAUCUCUUUUCCACACUUGUGCUUCAAAAUAGCACCAUGAUCCUCAUGAUAGAGUCUCUUGUGCUGUUACUUUAAUAUACUAGUGGGAAUUUUUCAUUAUAGAACAUGGCUUGUAUAUUCCAAUGAUGGGUUUCCUCAAAAUGCCCUAGGUCUUCGUGAGCAAGCAAGUUGGAUGCACACCCACUUAGUUUCCUUUGUUGAGCUUUCAUACAUUCACUACUAGGGAAAAGGCUAGCAGCAGCGCGGGUUUUAGAUGUAUCAGUAGUGCGGGGAUAGGCGCUACUAAUAAGGCGCUACAGCUAACAGAUAGCAGUAGCGUGUGCUCACCGGCGCUACUGCUACAGAAGUGUAGCAGCAGCGCUGUUAGCGAAAUCUCGCUACUGCUAGUAGCUCUAGCGCGCUUUACCUUGACGCGCUACUACUAUCGCGGCGCUGCUGCUAACUUUUAUACACUCGCUAAUGCUAAUUUAAGUAGGUUUUUUUGCAUAUUUGUUUUGUAUUUGAACAGGCUUUAUAGAAGAAUCUUUAGCACAUAGAAAUGUCAUCAUGAUACACAUACAAAUGCCUGCGAGACCACAAAUGUAAUCAUAGCCUGUACAUACAAAUAGUCUCAUCAUAAUCAUCAUCCAACACAAAGUGAUAUCUUGUCAUCAUCUCGAAAAUAGCGAUACAUGCAAGUCUCGAAUACUUGCAACUACAACAACGUCAUCCAUCUAAACAAAGGUAUACGCAAGAAGUGCUAUCACUAUGAGUGAGAGCGGAACUAUGCAGUACAUGAGGUCGCGGUUACGAGUCCUCUCUCGCACUAGCGUGAACCUCAAUUAACUAGCUUCUCCUUCUUGUCUGCGUUUGAAGCCUUUAUGGCUGGCGCCCGUUAACCCAUUCACUUGUGCCUGACACUCAUGCCACUCGUUGUACACCCCCGAAACCUUCCCUUUGUACAUGACAUAGCGAUUCCAUCUCGCCAUCAAGAAACUAGGUACCUGUUAGAGAUGCAUGUUCAUGAAGAGGAUGUACAAUCAUAUAUAUGCAACAAAAUAUACUAGAGCAACACCGAAAAAGAAAGGGUUAGCAACUAGAUGCAACAUACAGUACGCAAAUUAAUUAACUAGAGGUACGCAGGUCAUCGUACGCAAACUAACAAAAUAGCAUUACGCAAGUUCGGCAUGGACCGUGGACAUCACAAAGUUUCAUCGCUACAAAAAGUAUACAAGUUCAACUGACACAUAUCAUCAUCAUUGGCAUCAUAAAUCACUAGAAGUUCCAUCCUUCCAUAUCAUCAAGGACGAACCCUAGCUUCUUGAACGGCGUGAGGUCUAGACGUUGCAUGCCUAUGCGAGUUCGGACAUCAGCUCGCGAUAUAGGGCCGUGAUGGAACAUCCCCUUCUCAUCGAGGACUUCUUUCAUGAUGAUCGUCGCAAUGUCGCUUUGGAUGCGAAAGAAGUCAUCUCUAAGUUUAUAAUCCGCUUCUCCAUGAGAUUCUAGCCACUUGUGGAUACGAUCAUCAUUUCUACUGUUAAUGCGAAGCUUUUGGUGAUCCGUGUUGAACUGAAUCAUGAGAUGGACGAUGUAGAAUCCAUCCUUCCUGCUUGUUUUUGGGACAUGGAUGCAGGAGAAGUUAGUUUUAUGCGCGAAACCCAUCUUCUUGUUCCUUUGUUUUCUUGAUCUGCACAUGGCCACCUCUAAAGCUGAAGCCUUGGAGAGCAUCAUCUAGAAUAUUCAUUAUGUGAGUGUAGUCUUUUUUCUCGUAGUCUCAGGAAGGGUCAAAAUACACGGCGUGGGAGACUUGCGGGUAAAGAACGAUAAGGAUGGUGCCCCUUAUGAGAGAGAAGGAAUGAUUGAAAUGUACGAAAGGGUUGUCCAGAACUGACUUACUUUGGAUGAUAAGGCACGAGGACAAUUUCCCGGUCCUUAUUCUGUACCAUGAAGUUUUGGAGGUACUCCCUAGCAGUUUCAAGCUCAAAGUCGACGAGACUCAAUAAAGACUCGUGCAUGUAGUACGGAUCCGCCACACAGAUUUGCAGGACUUCUUCACUCUUCAUGACGGAGCUCAUAUGUAGAGCAAAAAGGCGGACGAUGGUAAAAUCAAGCCGCCUUGUUAGAAACAUCUCAAAGAUAUGGUAAAACCGCAGGAAGAACACCUCCGCGGGAUGUGUGUCGACAUAGCACUUCCCCUCAGGCACACGAGCCGCGUAUGUCGGAUAUCUUGGAUGCUUUGAGGUUAGUAGGCUUUUCUCAGUCCACAACACAUGGUCGUGCAGUCUCCUAAGAUACCCUGAUAGUGCCUCCAGCGGUUUCGGCGGUAGCAUCGGCUCGCCCGUGAGAUGGAACAUGACCGCACUUUUCACGGGUACACGCUCUUCAGAAUGCAUCGUUUGGCUGCUAUGUGCUCUGGCUUGUUUGGAGGCAGUUACCUUCCCCGAUCUCUUCCUCUCCUUUUUCUUGGGCACACCUUACAGACCCUUCCUUAACCCCUACCCCAGUGUUCCCGGGCUAAGUACUAUACGACCCUCGCGCCCGGCUAGUUGAUCCUGUGUUGAGGCGGCAUCUUCAGGCGUGUCCUGUGAGGAUUUCAUGAAGAGAGACUUUUUGCAAGCUGAUAGCCCGAUUCGUCACAUGGUUGACUCAUCAUAUCUAUGUCACAGUCAUACGCGUUUGUAUUGAGGUAAUCCAUAGGGUCGACCUCCGUCUCCUCAUCCAUUCUCUGCUCUAUAGGAGAAGUUACAUCAGCCAUAACUAUUGCACCCCCUUCAUCAUGUCGUCCGCCGCUCUCACCCGGCACUACAGGAGCUGGUAAUUGCGUAGGCGGGGUGGUGGUCUUCGCACGUGCUUGUUGAUGUGUGGUAGUUAUUGGUGUGCUCUCGGCCGGCUCCAAACGAAUAAGAUUCUUUGGCCAUAGCAGCACCCAAUUCUUGCAGCUUCCAAUCCGCGGAGGGGUCUCGUCGUCCGCUCCCACAUGCUGUACUGGAGGAGGCAAAUCCUCAUGCCCCGAUUUCACACUGGUCAAGCUAACCCUGAAGUUCCCAGCAGGGAUCGGCUGGUUGUGGAACGUGCGUUGAGAGGGGUCCAUUAUCAUCCCCUUUCCCACGUAUGGCCACCUUCUGGCCUUUGAUCAAGUAGAGUAUGGUGCACGGGGUUUCUUUCGCCUGCAAACACAUAUGUGUCUGUGGCGUAAAGCAACCGAAAGGCAACAAAAAUGGAAUGUUAUAUAUAUAUAUAUAUAUAUAUAUAUAUAUAUAUAUAUAUAUAUAUAUAUAUAUAUAUAUGUUGGUGCGACAUGUAAUUACCGUGACGGCGUCAAGAUCAGCCAAACACGAAGGCCCACCUACCGCGCCUGAGACUGAGGACGGGCUGCUAUGAGCGGGAGCAGCUGCGAGAGGAGGCCCAGUUGCGUGAGCAAGUGAUGGUGCGAUGGUGUUGUUGUUCAUGGAGUUGCUCCCGACGAAACUGGGCAUCGGGAAAUCAUUUACCGUCUUGUUUGGAUUUUCCUUCGCCCAGUUAAUGAUAACUGGAACCAAGUUAGUAGCGAAAUCAUUUCUGUAGGCAGUUACAGCUGCAUUGACUGCCUGUUGUAGAACUCAUAUUUGUCCUCGGCUGCUUUUUUCGCGUCCUCAGCUGCUUUUUUCUCGACCGCAAGCUUCACCUUCGCGUCGAUGUCCGCAUGACUAAACUUCUUUUUCAGCUUCUUGGCCUCCGGGCCCUCGUUGUAAAACACCUUCCACGUGGCGCUGUCUCUAGCGCCGUGCACACAACCAUAUUGCGGACGCUGAUCCAAAGGGAGUCCCUUAAGUUCAUUCAAGGCCUGGUUGAGAGGGGUGUCCCACUUGGGCCUCAUCGGAGAAGUAGGGCUUUCGGCUGCAAGCUGGUGUUCCUUCUGCAGUAGUCUAAUCAAUUUCCUCGUGAUCUUGUUCGUGUAAAAAACCUUUUUCUCCUUGUCCCACUUGUAGCGGGCCUUGAUGAAGUCAUGCUCCAAGGGGUUGGUGAACUUCACGAAGGGGUCUGGGAGACCCGCGGCUUCACGUUCCGCGUCCUUCUUAUCCCAUAUGGGCCUUUUACCGAGGUAGCCACGGCUUCCAAGGCGAUGCUUCCCCGCGUUCCUUCGCUGAAGGCUCUUGAAUUUCGCAGCCUUAGCCUUGGCUGCCUCGGUAGCGCAAGUGUCCUUGAACUUUUCGAACUCCUCUUCCGUAAGUGUCAGAUUUUCCUCCAGAAUCUUGGACAGGGGUUCAUCAGCCUCAAUAGCUCAUUUCACCCUUGUUUUCCAGGAGGCCAAAUCAUUGCUGAACAUGCCCAUGGCGUGAUUGUUAAUAUUUUUCAUCUUCGGAUCAUCCCACGGUUGUUCUAUGUUAUCAUCCCGGUCGGGGAACUCGAAUCUCUUGUGCAACUUUGUUAGGAGCAACUGCGUCAAAUGUUCUUUACUCCUUAAGUCAUCGUCGUUGAUGCUCGCGCAUUCCCGUAGGAUGCAUCCUACUUGCUUCCCAUAGCACUUGCGAGGUUCUUCCGGUUGUAACGGCUCAAACUUGCCCGGUGCCAUCUUUGUGAUCACAAGUCGUCCAAUCCCUAGUUUGUUAGGUUUUCGUAUCCUCUGCUUCUUAUGCUUCCUCUUUUCGGUAGCGGCAUCGGGGCCGGUACCUUCCCUGCCGGUACCUUCCCCACCGGUCUCGGUGCCGCCAUCGGUGCCGGUGCUGUCGGUGUCGAUGUCGGUGUCAGUACCAUCAUCGAGGCCGACCUGCAAACAUUGCUUAGCAGUCAAAUAGUCGAAGUACUCUUGUUCACCCUCAUAAUCCAUCUCGUCUGCAUCUUGGUCAGAAGGCCCAGUUUCUUCGUUGUUCGACAUUUUUCCUAUGAUUAAGUCUCUUCAUUUAUUUCUAAAAGUAUGAAUAAAUGAGAAAUGACAUAAAAAGAAAUCUAUGUGCCAGCACUCGAUAUGCCAACUAUGUAGCACAAAAUCAUGCCUUUAUUCACGGGAAAUUUCGGCAUGACCUUUGCUAAAAAAUGGACAUAUCGAGCGCCUGAAAUCACCGGAACGGAAAUGAAUCAACAUUCCGGCGUAACAUAGGCCACUCGGAUCAUUUUCCAAACAUGACAUGUCCAAAACAUGACAUAUGCACAUAUCACAUGUCCAGCUCAAAUUUGCACAUAUCACAUGUCCAGUUCAAAUUUUGAAACCUAGCUAAAUUAAUAACUAAAUAGAUAACCUAAUUAACAUAUUGCCCUAACUAAAACCUAAGUAAAUUAACCGAAGAACCCUAGCAGAGAGAGAGGGGGUGGGUUUACAGAGGGUGCAGGGGCGAGGAGGCAGAACCGACGGCGGCUGGGAGUGGAGAGGAGGGAGGCAAGGGCCGACGGAUCGGGGGCGAGCGCACCGGGGUCGGGGGCGAGGGCCGGGUCCGGGGCGAGCGCCGGGGUCGGGGUCAGGGGCGAGGGCCGGGUUGGGGGCGAGCGCCGGGGUCGGGGGCUAGCGCCGGCGCCGGAGUCGGGGGCGAGCGCCGAUGCCGGGUCGGGCGCGGCGGUGCGACGGGGGAGAGUGGGGAUUUGAGGGGGGGGGGAAGGCGGGAUGAAGCAGGGGGGUGAGAAUUUUGGGUUAAGUGGACGUAGCAAUAGCACAUUUGGACAAAACGCGCUGCUACUACCUUCAGUAGUUGUAGCGGUUUAUACAAAAUUCGCUUCUACUAACUUCAGUAUAUGUAGCGGUUUAAGCAAAACGCGCUGCUACUACCUUUGCUACUGCCAGUUUCCCUUUUUAUUUUCCUUUAUUUUAUCCCACUUUUAUUUCCCGAGGGCAGUGAACGAAGGGAGGGCGAUGUAUAUUGCAUCAUUUGACGGUUAAAUAUGUAUGCAAAAUAGGAACAUAUAUAUUACACAUCAUUGGACCCAUGCAUAAUAAUGGCUAAGUGUGUAUACAAAAUAGGAACACAUAUAUAUAUAUAUAUAUAUAUAUAUAUAUAUAGAUAUAUAUAUAUAUAUUACAUCAUUUGACCGAUAACAUAAGUUUCCUCAGUUCUGACAUUUUCGUUUUUGAGUCAGCUUCUUUCCCUUCUUGUUCGUCGAAGAAUAAUUGAGCCCCUCAUUUUGACUUUGCCUUUUCCAUGGAGUAUGAUUUUUCUUAGGUAAUGUAGUAUUGAUUCUUCUUUUGACGUAUACUUCAUAAUCAUCGUCAUCUUCCCUCAUUGGGUUGCCGUACUGAUCAUAGUCUUCCUCGUUGGCGACUCCAUCCAUUCCAAUGAUGUUCCUUUUGCCUCUCCUCAGGACAACACGGCUGGGAUUGCGCGGGUCAGUUAUGAAGAAGCAUUGUGUCAUGUGCUUAGCGUGUACCCAUGGCUCGUUUUUUGUGAUAGCGUUCACGGUAGCGCUCUUGGCGUCGGGUAUAGUCAUGGUAGUGAAAAUUCGGCUUUCCCUUUCGACAUUCUUAGCCCAUCUGACACAGAACAUCGUUGUGUUGUGCAGUCCAGAGUAGUCAAGCUCCCAGAUCUCCUCGACCCUUCAAUAAAAUCGUUCAGUUGCGCCGUUGUCGCUGCCGGUCAUGCAUUCCAUCGUCACCCCUGAGUUCUGAUCAUCAAUGUCCAUAUCUUUGGCCUCCGUGUAGAACGUGUAUCCGUUGAUAUCAUAUGCCUGAUAGGUUACGAGGUUGGGCGAGGGGCCAUGUGCUAAGGCGUAUAUGAGCAAUCCUUCCUUAGAGCCCUCCUCUGGAGGAUUAGCAAUAAUAUGCUUUUUGAACCAAUGCAGGAAAGUGGAGUUGUGCUCUCUAGUAACUUCGUCGUCCGUCCUGCAUACCCCCCCGGUCACGAUACUUCUUUGCGAUAAUUUCUUUGUGCAGUGCCACGAAAGGAUCUAUAUCGUCUAUGUGUUGUAGCACUACCAAGUUUGCUCUGUCAAAGUCGCUGCGUCGAUCUGAGUAUGCCACGUGCAGUUCCCUGCGACCGUUGCAGUGACCAUCUCCUUCGAGCCUCCCAUCAUGCUUGUUAACGGGCAAACCAACACUAACAACAGGCGGCUGGUCUGCACCAUAUAGAAAAUUCUCACAGAAAGAGAUGCACUCUUGUGCCAAAUAGCUCUGGACGAUGCUUCCAUCCGUACGGGACAUUUUACGAACGAAUCCUUUGAUGAUCCCAUUCAUACUCUCAAAUGGCUUCAUGUUGUGCAGGAAUGACGGCCCCAGGUCUAUUAUGUCAUCCACAAUAUGGACACACAGAUGCACCAUCACGUCAAAGAACGCGGGCGGGAAGUACAUCUCAAGCUCAUUAAGUAUCACAACGAUCUCUUCCUGUAGCCUUUGGAGCUGCUUCACACUGAUCGACUUUCGAGAGAUGACGUCGAAAAAGUUGCAGAGACCAAUAAGCGUGUCACGGACGUGCUUGUCCAUUAUCCCUCUAAGGACAAUAGGUAGUAUAUGCGUCAUCAUCACAUGACAGUCAUGAGACUUCAUCCCGCUGAACCUUUUCUUGUACGUGUCUAGAUAUCUGCUUAUCUUGCCACAGUAACCGGAACUAACUUUGACUCCGAUAAGGCACUUAAAGAAGGCAUUGAUCUCAGCCUGACUUAAGGUGAAGGAAGAAGGGGGGCAAUAAUCCUCUUUCUUUAUUUUCCUGCCCUUCUUCUCCCGUGCCUCUGUCUCCGUCUUUGUCUCGUCUGACAUUUUACGGGGCGGCAUGUGCAGAUCUUCCCCAAUUUUCAAAUCUUGCAAGUCUUUUCUUGCCUUCGGCCCAUCCUUGGUCUUAUCCGGCAUGUUCAUCAGUGUUGUGAGCAAUCUCUCAAGGACAUUCUUACAGAUAUGCAUUUGAUCAAGGCAAUGAGGUGUAUCGAGUUUGUGCCAGUACUCCAAGUCCCAGAACACAGACCUCGUCUUCCAUACCUUCAGGAGCGGCUCCGGCGCCUUUCUCAUCAUCUUUCCCGGCGUGGGGCACUCGUUCUAGUUUUUCAACAGCUCUUCGAUUUCGGCACCGCUCCGCUUACGUGGAGGUCCUCGAUGCUCAGCGUGACCAUUGAAUAGAUCUUCAUGGGUCGUCCUGUUCAAGCCAUCUUCGAUGCCCCAUCUACACGAUUUUCCCAGACUCGCCAUCUUUCCUUGACGUUAGCUGCUGAGACAUCGUAUCAUCCAUGCACUGCGUGCAUCCGUAAUAUCCAUGGCACACCUGGCCUGCCACAUAUCCAUAACCAAGAUAGUCCUGCACUGUCGUGAUCAGCGCGGCUCUCAUGUUGAAAUACUCACCUUUGAUGGCGUCCCAUGUCUUGGCCGGUGUUUUCCAUAACGUGUCUAACUCCUCUUGAAGUAUCCCUAGAUACAAAUUAAUAUUAUUUCCUGGUUGUUUCGGCCCUUGAAUAAGCAUGCUCAUGUGAAUGUACUUCGAUUUCAUGCACAACCAGGGGGGAGGUUGUACAUCCAUACAAACACGGGCCAUGUGCUAUGGUUGGUGUUCUGGUUGCCAAACGGAUUCAUGCCAUCGGUACACGCGCCGAGCAUGAUGUUCCUUGCAUCACAUUCAAAAUACCAAUAGAAGUUGUCCAAAGCUCUCCACUGGCUUCCAUCCUUCAUGUGUCUCAGCUUGGGAUCAUCUCCAUCGUCGGGCUUCUUCCUCUCCACGUGCCAGCGCAUUAGCUUUGCUUCCUUGGGAUAUACAAAAUUAUGCAAUCGUUGAUGCAUGCAUGGUAUCUAACGUGUGGCAGAUCAAGAGGGCACACGAUCUUCUUGGCCUCAUCAACACUGGCAGGACAUAAAUUACCCGCGGGAAGAACAUCCUUUAGGUACUUGAGAUGCUCAUCGAGGCUAGUGUUGGUCCAUUUGUUUUUAGCCUUCGUCUUCAGGAGUUGGAGCGUGAAACUCAAGCGGGUCAGCUCAAGAUUGCAGCCAUCAUACAAUGGAGUGUUGGAGUCUACCACCAGUUGCUCCAGCUUAGCCUCCUCUCUAGAAGCAGCUCUCUCAGUACUCGUCUCCUUGCGAAGCAAUGCUUGAACAUGAGGGUCCCGCACGAUUGAACUUAGUACCGACGAACUCUGCUGCGUGGAGUCCAUGUCGUUCUCUCCGCCGCCAUGUCCGGCCCCUUCUCCUCCGCCAUGCCCGGCCCCUUCUCCAAUGCCAUGCCCGACCUCUUCCCCGCCGCCAUUAUCGAUCAUCUCUUCGUCUUGCCCCGUGUCAUCAUUGCCUGCCCCACCAGCAUCCUCAACAUCGUCAUCCUCAUCUUCAAUUAUCUGCCGAGUAUAGCCAUCCAUGAAACCAGUCUUGAGCAGGUGCGCUUCGACCAUCGUCAUGGGGGUGGAGCCAAACUAUUCCUUUGCAUUUUCGACACGGACAUAAAACCUCUGUCCGGUUAUUUUCUUUCAUGUCCCGCACCGCCGACCGCAACCACCUGUCAACCAUCGUGCCAUUGACCAUCGUCAACUCUGCACGGUAAUAAUAAACAAAUUGAUUAUAAAAAUGCAUGCAUGCAUCAAAGUCAUACAAAAAUUUGGCAUGACCUUCCCAAAAAAUAGGACAUAUAUGGAUCUAGAGUUUGCCCGAAAUUCGCCGAAACGGAAAUAAAUCGACAUUUCGGCAAAACAUAGGCAACUCAAAAGCACAAUUUGGCAUGCCACACACACAAUUUCCACAAACAUAUCACACACACAUAAACAUAUUUCCAUUUUGCAAAAGCAUGAAAUUUUCAUCACCUCUAUCUCGAUCGAGAUCGAGCACACGGUGGAGAUGAUAUUGUAGGGAGAUCAAAAGUGCACAAAGCUCUUGUUGACAAAGAUAGAUCUAGUUAGGGGGCAAAUAGGUCACUUAACUAAAUCCUACAUCUACCUAGCUACCUAAUUUGGGAGGAGACAACUUCAACUAGUGGAGGGGGAAGGAAAAAGAGAAAGGAGAUGCAUUAAUGGAGGUGGUGUAGUUAGGUAGGAGUAAUGAAGAGAGAGAAAGGUGGAUAGAAGAGAAAGAGUAAUGGGGAGAAGUAUUGAGGAUGAAGAAGAGUGAGAGUGGGAGCAUGUGGGGGAGGUAGGGGGAAGGGAAGAGAGGAGGGGAAGGGGAGGCACGGGUGGGGAAAGGUGUGGUGGGUUGGUGCGGGUUAGCAGUAGCGCGGGAGCAGAAACGCGCUGCUGAUAUAGAAUUAGCAGCAGCGCGCUUUAGGCCACGGCGCUACUGCUAACAGUGACAAAAAAGUUCCAAUUUGAAAUGUAGCAGCAGCGAUCUCAUUAAAAGCAUGCUACUACUACAUCUGUAGCAGCAGCGCGGUUCGGGCCACGGCGCUACUGCUAAAUGGAGCUAGGCGAACACCGCCGGUCGAUAUUUGUAGCAGCGCGGUUUACACAGAGCGCGCUACUGCUAAAAACUUAGCAGCAGCGAGUUUCCCGCGCACGCGCUACUACUAAUUAGCAGUAGCGCUCCUUUUUGAGCCGCGCUGCUGCUAAGAUUCCGUGUAUAGGCUUUUCCCUAGUAGUGAUUUAUAGCUCUAUUGCAUCCGUUACAUGGCAAUCCCUACUCACUCACAUUGAUAUCUAUCGAUGGGCAUCUCCAUAGCCCAUUGAUACGCCUAGUUGAUGUGAGACUAUCUUCUCCCUUUUUGUCCUCACAACCACCAUCAUAUACCACCAUAGUGCUAUGUCCAUGGCUUAUGCUCAUGUAUUGCGUAAGAGUUGAAAAAAGCUGAAGCGUGUUAAAAAGUAUGAACCAAUUGCUUGGCUCGUCAUCGGGAUUGUGCAUGAUGGGUGUAUUUUGUGUAAUGAAAAUGAAGCAUGGCCUAACUAUAUGAUUUUGUAGGGAUAAGCUUUCUUUGUCUAUGCUAUUUUGAUAGGACAUGAUUAUUUGUUAGUAUACUUUGGGUAUUACUAUUUUUAUGUUUUAUAAGAUUUUAUCUUGAAUCAUUUGCACCAGAACAUUCAUGCCACAAUAAAGAAAAUUACAUUGAGAAAUAUGCUAGGUAGCAUUCCACAUCAAAAAUUCUGUUUUUAUCAUUUACCUACUCGAGGACUAGCAGGAACUAAGCUUGGGGAUGCUUGAUACGUCUCCAACGUAUCUAUAAUUUUUGAUGGUUCCAUGCUAUUAUAUUACCUGUUUUGGAUGUUUAUGGGCUUUACUUUAUACUUUUAUAUCAUUUUUGGGACUAACCUAUUAACAGGAGGCCCAACCCAUAUUGUUGUUUUCUUGCCUAUUUCAGUGUUUCUAAGAAAAGGAAUAUCAAACGAAGUCCAAACGGAAUGAAACCUUCGGGAAAGAUAUUUUUGGAACAGAAGCAAUCCAGGGGACUUGGAGUGCACGUCAAAGAAGCUUCGAGGAAGCCACGAGGGUGGGGUCGCCCCCCCCCCCCCUACUGGGCAUGCCCCUUGUCUCAUGGGACCCUCGAGCGUCCCCUGACCGACUUCUUUCACCUAUAUAAGUCCAUAUACCCUAAAACCUUCGAGGAUGAAGAUAGACCGGGAGUUCCGCCGCCGCAAGCCUCUGUAGCCAUCAAAAACCUCUCGGGAGCCUGUUCCGGCACCCUGCCGGAGGGGGAACCCAUCACCGGUGGCCAUCUCCAUAAUCCCGGCGCUCUCCAUGACGAGGAGGGAGUAGUUCACCCUCAGGGUUGAGGGUAUGUAGUAGUAUCUAUGUCUUUGGUCUCUCUCUCUCGUGUUCUUUCUAUGGCACGAUCUUGAUGUAUCGCGAGCUUUGCUAUUAUAGUUGGAUCUUAUGAUGUUCACUCUCUUGUAAUGGAUUGAGUUUUCCCUUUGAAGUUAUCUUAUCGAAUUGAGUCUUUAGGGUUUGAGAAUACUUGAUGUAUGUCUUGCCGUGCUUAUUUGUGGUGACAAUGGGAUAUUGCGUGAUCUACUUGAUGUAUGUUUUGGUGAUCAACUUGCGGGUUCCAUGAACUUAUGCAUAGGGGUCGGCACACGUUUUCAUCUUGACUCUCCGGUAGAAACUUUGGGGCACUGUUUGAAGUACUUUGUGUUGGUUGAAUAGAUGAAUAUGAGAUUAUGUGAUGGAUAUCGUACAAUCAUGCCCACGAACAUUUGAGGUGACAAUGGAGUAUCUAGGUGACAUUAGAGUUUUGAUUGAUUUGUGUCUUAAGGUGUUAUUCUAGUACGAACUCUAUGAUAGAUUGAACGGAAAGAAUAGCUUCAUGUUAUUUUACUAUGGACUCUUGAAUAGAUACAACAGAAAGGAUAACUUUGAGGUGGUUUCGUACCCUACCAUAAUCUCUUCGUUUGUUCUCCGCUAUUAGUGACUUUGGAGUGACUCUUUGUUGCAUGUUGAGGGAUAGUUAUGUGAUCCAAUUAUGUUUUUAUUGUUGAGAGAACUUGCACUAGUGAAAGUAUGAACCUUAGGCCUUGUUUCCUACCAUUGCAAUACCGUUUACGCUCACUUUUAUCGCUUGCUACCUUGCUGUUUUUAUAUUUUCAGAUUACAAAUACCUUUAUCUACUAUCCAUAUUGCACUUGUAUCACCAUCUCUUUGCCGAACCAGUGCACCUAUACAAUUUACCAUUGUGUUGGGUGUGUUGGGGAUACAAGAGACUCUUUGUUAUUUGGUUGCAGGGUUGUUUGAGAGAGACCAUCUUCAUCCUACACCUCCCACGGAUUGAUAAACCUUAGGUCAUCCACUUGAGGGAAAUUUGCUACUGUCCUACAAACCUCUGCACUUGGAGGCCCACCAACGUCUACAAGAAGAAGGUUGUGUAGUAUACAUCAGAGAACUCCGAUAGCAUGACGGCGUGGUUGUGGAGCUCGUGGUUCUCCGGCAGGGCUUCACCAAGCACUACGGAGGAGGAGGAGAUGUAUGAGGAGGGAGGGGCUUCGCCAGGGGAAGGGUGUGCCUGCCCUCCCAGACCCUCACUAUAUAUAGGGGGAAGGGGAGAGGGGGCCGGUCCCUCUAGAUGGAUCUAGAGGAGGGGGCGGCGGCCAGGAGAAACCCUAGAUGGGUUUGGGCGCCCCCACUCCCUAGGAAACUUCUCCCCCAAGCCUGGAGGGGCGGCUUCCCUAGGGGUGGCUCCCCCACCUCUCCAGGUUACAUGAGAUGGGGUGGAAGGGGCGCCAACCCCUUAGUGGGCUGGCGUGCCCCCUCCCCUUGGCCCAUAAGCCCCCCCCCAACACUUGUCCGAGCGUUUGAAACUCCUUUCGGUCACAGUGGUUAUCACCCGGUACCCCCAGAACAAUUCCAGACUCCAAUACCCUUCGUCCAAUAUACCGAUCUUCACCUCCAAACCAUUCCGGAGUUCCUCGUCACGUCCGGGAUCUCAUCCGCGACUCCGAACAACCUUCGGUAACCACAUACUAUUCCCAUUACAACUCUUGCGUAACUGAACCUUAAGUGUGUAGACCCUACCGGUUCGGGAACCAUGCAGACAUGACCGAGAUACCUCUCCGGACAAUAACCAAUAGCGGGAUCUGGAUACCCAUAUUUGCUCCCACAUGUUCCAUGAUGAUCUCAUAGGAUGAACCACGUUGUCGGGGAUUCAAUCAAUCCCGUAUACAAUUCCCUUUGUCCAUCGGUAUGUUACUUGCCCGAGAUUUGAUCGUCGGUAUCCCUAUACCUUGUUCAAUCUCAUUACCGGCAAGUCUCUUUACUCCUUCCAUAAUGCAUGAUCCCAUGGCUAACUCAUUAGUCACAUUUAGCUCAUUAUGGUGAUGCAUUACCGAGUGGGCCUAGAGAUACCUCUCCGUCAUACAGAUUUAAAAAUCCCAGUCUCGAUUCAUGCCAACCCAACAGACACUUUCGGAGAUACCUGUAGUGCACCUUUAUAGCCACCCAGUUACGUUGUGACGUUUGGUACACACAAAGCAUUCCUACGGUAUCCGGGAGUUUCACAAUCUCAUGGUCUAAGGAAAUGAUACUUGACAUUAGAAAAGCUCUUAGCAAACAAACUACACAAUCUUGUGCUAUGUUUAGGACUGGGUCUUAUCCAUCACAUCAUUCUCCUAAUGAUGUGAUCCCAUUAUCAAUGACAUCCAGUGUCCAUUGUCAGGAAACCCUAUCCAUCUAUUGAUCAAGGAGCUAGUCAAAUAGAGGCACAGUAGGGACAUGUUGUGGUCUAUGUAUUCACACAUGUAUUACGGUUUCCAAUUAACACAAUUAUAUCGUGAACAAUAGACAAUUAUCAUAAACAAGGAAAUAUAAAAUAACCAUUUUUAUUAUUGCCUCUAGGGCAUAUUUCUAAUAUUCUCCCACUUGCACUAGAGUCAAUAAUCUAGUUCACAUCACUAUGUGAUUGUAAUGAAUCCAACACCCAUGGGGUUUCAUCAUAUCUUGCUUGUGAGAGAGGUUAUUAGUCGACGGGUCUGAACCCUUCAGAUCCGUGUGUGCUUUACAAAUCUCUAUGUCAUCUUGUACAUAUAGCUACCACGCGCUAUUUGGAACUAUUCCAAAUAACUGUUCUACCAUAUGAAUCUGAUUUACUACUCAGGAGUCAUCCAGAUUAGUGUCAGAGUUUGCAUCGACGUAACCCUUUACGACGAACUCUUUUACCACCUCCAUAAUCAAGAAAAAUUCCUUAGUCCACUAAGGAUAACUUUGACCGUUAUCUAGUGAUCCAUUCCUGGAUCACUCUUGUACCCCAUGAUUGACUCAUUGUAAGGCACACUUCAGGUGCGGUACAUAGCACAACAUACUGUAGAGCAUUGGGGACGACCUUCGUCCUUUCUCUGUCCUAUGUCGUGGUCAGGUCUUGAGUCUUACUCAAUACUCACACCUUAUAACGCAGCCAAAAAUUCCUUCUUUGCCGAUCUAUUUUGAACUCCUUCAAAAUCUUGUCACGGUAUGCUCAAUGUUCAAGUAGCUCAAUCUAGGUUUUCCAUUGAAAAACACUUUUCAAAUAACCCUAUAUGCUUUCUAGAAAUUCUAUAUCAUUUCCGAUCAACAAUAUUUCAACAACAUAUACUCAUCAGAAAUUCUAUAGUGCUCCCACUCACUUCUUUGGAAAUACAAGUUUCUCAUAAACUUUGUAUAAACCCAAAAUCUUUGAUCAUCUCAUCAAAGUGUAUAUUCCAACUCCGAGAUGCUUACUCCAGUACUUAGAAGGAUUGCUGGAGCUUUGCAUACUUGUUAGCAUCUUUUAGGAUUGACAAAACCGUCUGGUUGUAUCACAUGCAACCUUUCCUCAAGAAAAUCGUCGAGUUAACAAUGUUUUGACAUCCUAUCUACAAGAUUUCAUAAAUAGUGCAGUAACUGAUAAUAUAAUUCCAACAGACGCUUAGCAUCGCUACGAGUGAAAAAGUCUCAUUGUAUUCAACUCCUUGAACUUGUCGGAAAACAUCUUAGUGACAAGCCGAGCUUUCUUAAUGGUGACACUUACCAUCAUUGUUCGUCUUCCUUUUUAAAAUCCAUCUGUACCCAACAACCUUACGACCAUUAAGUAGUUCUUCAAAAGUCUACACUUUGUUUUCAUACAUGGAUCCUCUCUCGAAUUUAUGGCCUCGAGCCAUUCAUCGGAAUCUGGGCCCAUCAUCGCUUCUCCAUAGCUCGCAGGUUCAUUGUUGUCUAGCAACAUGACCUCCAAGACGUGAUUCUGUACCACUCUGAAGCAGUAUACGUCCUUGUCGACCUACGAGGUGUGGUAGUGACUUGAUUUGAAGUUUCAUGAUUACUAUCAUCGGCUUCCACUUCACCUGGUGUACGCGCCACAGGAACAACUUCAUGUGCCUUGCUACACACUAGUUGAGGUGAUGGUUCAAUAACCUCAUCAAGUAUCCACCAUCCUCCCAUUCAAUUCUUUUAAGAGAAACUUUUCCUCGAGAAAGGACCCGUUUCUAAAAACAAUCACUUUUGCUUCCAGAUCUGAGAUAGAGGGUAUACCCAACUAUUUCAGGUGUCCCAUGAAGAUGCAUUUAUCCAUUUUGGGUUCGAGCUUAUCGGGAUGAAACUUUUUCACAUAAGCAUCACAGCCCCAAACUUUCAAGAAACGACAGCUUAGGUUUCUCUAAACCAUAGUUCAUACAGUGUCAUCUCAACGGAAUUACGUGGUGCCCUAGUUAAAGUUAAUGCGAUUGUCUCUAAUGACUAACCCAUAAACGAUAGUGGUAAUUCGAUAAGAGACAUCAUGGUAUGCAUCAUAUCCAAUAGGGUGCAGCUAUGAUGUUCGGACACACCAUCACACUAUGGUGGUCCAGGCGGAAUUAGUUGUGAAACAAUUACCAUAAUGUCUUAGUUUUGUACCAAAGUCGUAACUCAGAUAUUCAUCUCUAUGAUCAUAUCAUAGACAUUUUAUCCUCUUGUCACGACGAUCUUCAACUUCACUCUGAAAUUACUUAAACCUUUCAAUAAUUCAGACUUGUGUUUCAUCAAGGAAAUAUAAUUAGCAUCUACUCAAGUCAUCUGUGAAGUAAGAACAUAACAAUAUCCACUGCGCGCCUCAGCACUCAUUAGACUGCACACAUCAAAAUUUAUAACUUCCAACAAGUUGCUUUCUUGUUCCAUCUUACUGAAAACGAGGCUUUUUAGUCAUCUUGCCCAUGUGGUAUGAUUUGCAUGUCUCAAGUGAUUCAAAAUGAAGUGACUCCAAACGAUCCAUCUGCAUGGAGUUUCUUUAUGCGUACAUACCAAUAGACAUGGUUCGCAUGUCUCAAACUUUAUUUUAAACUGGGUGAGUCCAAAGAUCCAACAACAUGGAGCUUCUUCAUGCAUUUUAUACCAAUAUGACUCAAAUGGCAGUGCCACAAGUAGGUGGUACUAUCAUUACUAUCUUAUAUCUUUUGGCAUGAACAUGUGUAUCACUACGAUCGAGAUUCAAUAAACCAUUCAUUUUAGGUGCAAGACCAUUGAAGGUAUAAUUCAAAUAAACAGAGUAACCAUUAUUCUCCUUAAAUGAAUAACCGUAUUGCGAUAAACAUAAUCCAAUCAUGUCUAUGCUCAACGCAAACACCAAAUAACAAUUAUUUCGGUUUAACACCAAUACCAAUGGUAGAGGGAGCGUGCGAUGUUUGAUAACAUCAACCUUGGAAAUAUUUCCAACACAUAUCGUCACCUCGCCUUUAUCUAGUCUCCAUUUAUUCCGUAGCCUUUUAUUUCGAGUUACUAACACUUAGCAACUAAAACGGUAUCUAUUACCCUAGUGCUACUAGGAGUACUAGUAAAGUACACAUUAAUAUAAUGUAUAUCCAAUAUACUUCUGUCGACCUUGCCAGCCUUCUCAUCUACCAAGUAUCUAGGGUAGUUCCGCUUUAGUGAUCGUUCCCCUUAUUACAGAAGCACUUAGUCUCGGGUUUGGGUUCAACCUUGGGUUUCUUCACUAGAGUAGCAACUGAUUUGCCAUUUCAUGAAGUAUCCCUUCUUGCCCUGGCCCUUCUUGAAACUAGUGGUUUCACUAACCAUCAACAAUUGAUGCUCCUUCUUGAUUUCUACUUUCGCGGUGUCAAACAUCGAGAAUAGCUCAAGGAUCAUCAUAUCUAUCCCUAAUAUGUUAUAGUUCAUCACGAAGCUCUAGUAGCUUGGUGGCAGUGACUUUGGAGAAACAUCACUAUCUCAUCUGGAAGAUUAACUCCUACUCGAUUCAAGUGAUUGUAGUAGUCAAACAAUCUGAGCACAUGCUCAACGAUUUAGCUUUUCUCCCUUAGUUUGUAGGCUAAGAAGCUCGUCAGAAGUCUCAUACCUCUUGACACGGGCACGAGCCUGAAAUCCCAAUUUCAGCACAUGGAACAUCUCAUAUGUUCCAUGACUUUUCAAAAAUCGUCUUCGGCGCCUCAAUUCUAAACCCUUUAACAUUACUGAAAUAUCACGUAGUCAUCAAAACGUGUAUGUCAGAUGUUCGCAACAUCCACAGACGACGUUCGAGGUUCAGCACACCGAGCGGUGCAUUAAGGAUAGAAUCCUUCUGCGUAGCAAUGAGGAAAAUCCUCAGUUUACGAACCCAGUCCGCAUAAUUGCUACUAUCAACUUUCAACUAAAUUUUCUCUAGGAACAUAUCUAAAACAGUAGAACUAAAGCACAAGCUACGACAUAAUUUGCAAAGACCUUUUGACUAUGUUCAUGAUAAUUAAGUUCAUCUAAUCAAAUUAUUUAAUGAACUCCAACUUAGAUAGACAUCCCUCUAGUCAUCUAAGUGAUACAUGAUCCGAGUCAACUAGGCCCUGUCUGACCACCACGUGAGACGGACUAGCCAUCAUCGGUGAACAUCUCCAUGUUGAUCGUAUCUACUAUACGACUCAUGUUUGACCUUUCGGUCUCCCGUGUUCCGAGUCCAUGUAGGUACAUGCUAGGCUCAUCAAGUCAACCUAAGUGUUUUGCAUGUGUAAAUCUAGCUUACACCCGUUGUAUGCGAGUGUUAGAAUCUAUCACACCCGAUCAUUUCGUGGUGCUUCGAAACAAUGAACUUUCGCAACGGUGCACAGUUAGGGGGAACACUUUCUUGAAACUUUAGUGAGGGAUCAUCUUAUUUAUGCUACCAUCGUUCUAAGAAAAUAAGAUGUAAACAUGACAAACAUCACAUGCAAAUCAUAAAGUGACAUGAUAUGGCCAAUAUCAUCUUGCGCCUUUGAUCUUCAUAUUCGAGGAGCGGCAUGAUCACCUUCGUCAUCGGCAUGACACCAUGAUCUCCAUCAUCAUGAUCUCCAUCAUCGUGUCUUCAUGAAGUUGUCUCGCCAACUAUUACUUCUACUACUAUGGCUAACGGUUAGCAAUAAAGUAAAGUAAUUACAUGGCGUUUACAUUGACACGCAGGUCAUAAAAUAAAUUAAGACAACUCCUAUGGCUCCUGCCGGUUGUCAUACUCAUCGACAUGCAAGUCGUGAUUCCUAUUACAAGAACAAGAUCAAUCUCAUACAUCACAUAUAUCAUUCAUCACAUCCUUUUGGCCAUAUCACAUCAGAUAGCAUACCCUGCAAAAACUAGUUAGAAGUCCUCUAAUUGUUGUUGCAUGUUUUACGUGGCUGCUAUGGGUUUCUAGCAAGAACGUUUCUUACCAACGCAAAAGCCACAACGGUGAUAUGCCAAUUGCUGUUUACCCUUCAUAAGGACCCUCUUCAUCGAAUGCGAUUUGAGUAAAGUGGGAGAGACGGACACCCGCUAGCCACCUUAUGCAACUAGUGCAUGUUAGUCGCUGGAACCCGUCUCAUGUAAGCGUACGUGUAAGGUUGGUCCGGGCCGCUUCAUCCCACAAUGCCGGUGAAUCAAGAUAGGACUAGUAACAGUAAGCAAAUUGAACAAACCAACGCCCACAACUACUUGUGUUCAAUUUGUGCAUAGAAUCUACGCAUAGACCUAGCUCAUGAUGCCGCUGUAGGGGAACAUAGUAAUAAUUCAAAAAUUUCCUACGUCUCACCAAGAUCAAUCUAGGAGAUACUAGCAAUGAGAGAGAGAGAGGGAGUGCAUCUUCAUACCCUUGAAGAUCGCUAAGCGGAAGCAUUACAAGAACGCGGUUGAUGGAGUCAUACUCGCGGCGAUUCAUCUCGCGGAAGAUCCGAUCUAGCGUCGAACGAACGGCGCCUCCGCGUUCAACACACGUACAGCCCGGGGACGUCUCCUCCUUCUUGAUCCAUCAAGGGGAGAGGAGAAGUUGAGGCAGAACUCCGACAGCACGAGGGCAUUGUGGUGGUGGAGCUCGUGGUUCUCCAGCAGGGCUUCGCCAAGCACUACAGAGGAGGAGGAAAUGUAUGAGGAGGGAGGGGCUUGAUGUCUACUACACAACCUUCUUCUUGUAGACGUUGUUGGGAAUGCAAGUGCACAGGUUUGUAGGACAAUAGCAAAUUUCCCUCAAGUGGAUGACCUAAGGUUAAUCAAUCCGUAGGAGGCGUUGGAUGAAGAUGGUCUCUCUCAAACAACCCCGCAACAAAAUAACAAAGAGUCUCUUGUGUCCCCAAAACACCCAAUACAAUGGUAAAUUGUAUUGGUGCACUAGUUCGGAAAAGAGAUGGUGAUACAAGUGCAAAAUAGAUAGUAGAAAAAGGUAAUUUUAAUCCAAAAUUAUAAAAACAGCAAGGUAGCGAGCGAUAAAAGUGAGCAUAAACGGUAUUGGAAUGAUAGGAAACAAGGCCUGGGGUUCAUACUUUCACUUGUGCAAGUUCUCUCAACAAUAAUAACAUAAAUAGAUCAUAUAACAAGCCCUCAACAUGCAACAAAGAGUCACUCCAAAGCCACUAAUAGUGGAGAACAAACGUAGAGAUUAUGGUAGGGUAUGAAACCACCUCAAAGUUAUUCUUUCGGAUCGAUCUAUAAAAGAGUUCGUACUAGAAUAACACCUUAAGACACAAAUCAACCAAAACCCUAAUGUCACCUAGAUACUCCAUUGUCACCUCAAGUAUCCAUGGGCAUGAUUAUACGAUAUGCAUCACACAAUCUCAGAUUCAUCGAACCAACAUAAAAGUACUUCAAAGAGUGCCCCAAAGUUUCUACCGGAGAGUCAAGAACGUGUGCCAACCCCUAUGCAUAGGUUCCCAAUGUCACGAAACCCGCAAGUUGAUCACCAAAACAUACAUCAAGUGGAUCGCAAGACAUACAUCCAGUGUUCUCAUAAAAGACUCAAUCCGAUAAGAUAACUUCAAAGGGGAAACUCAAUUCACCACAAGAGAGUAGAGGGGGAGAAGCAUCAUAAUAUCCAGCUAUAAUAGCAAAGCUCGGGAUACAUCAAGAUCGUGCCAUAGAGGGAACACGAGAGAGAACACGAGAGAGAGAUCAAACACAUAGCUACUGGUACAUACCCUCAGCCUUGAGGGUGAACUAGUCCCUCCUUGUCAUGGAUAGUGCCGGGAUGAUGAAGAUAGCCACCGGUGAUGGGUUCCUCCUCCGGCAGGGUGCCGGAAUGGGCUCCCGAGAGGUUUUUGGUGGCUACAGAGGCUUGCGGCGGCGGAACUCCCGAUCAAUCUUCUGUUCUGGAAGUUUUAGGGUAUGUAGGUAUAUAUGGGUGCAAGGGGUACGUCGGUGGACCUCCGGGGUGCUCACGAGGCAGGGGGGCGCGCCCUAUGGGGGUGGGCGCUCCCCCACCCUCGUGGGCAGCCCUGGACUCCCCUGACAUGCACUCCAAGUCUAUCAGGUUGCUUUCCUUCCAAAAAUAACUUCUCCAAUUGAUUUCGUUCCGUUUCGACUCCGUCUGAUAUUCCUUUUCCUCGAAACACUAAAAUAGGCAUAAAACAUCAAAUCUGGGUUAGGCCUCCGGUUAAUAGGUUAGUCCCAAAAAUAAUAUAAAAGUGGAUAGUAAAGCCCAAUAUUGCCUAAAAUAGUAGAUAAUAUAGCAUGGAGCAACCAAAAAUUAUAGAUACGUUGGAGACGUAUCAAGCAUCCCCAAGCUUAAUUCCUACUCGUCCUCGAGUAGGUGAAUGAUAAAAAAAAAUUUGAUGCGGAGUGCUACUUUGGCAUAAUUUCAAUGUAAAUCUUCGUAAUUGUGGUAUGAAUAUUCAGACCCGAAAGAUUCAAGACAAAAGUUCAUAUUGACAUAAAAAUAAUAAUACUUCAAGCAUACUAACUAAGCAAUUAUGUCAUCUCAUAGCAUGGCCAAAGAAAGUUAUCCCUACAAAAUCAUAUAGUCUGGCUAUGCUCCAUCUUCCCCACACAAAAUAUUUAAAUCAUGCACAACCCCGAUGACAAGCCAAGCAAUUGUUUCAUACUUUAAUAAUCUCAAACUCUUUCAACUUUCACGCAAUACAUGAGCGUGAUCCAUGGACAUAGCACUAUAUGUGGAAUAGAAUGGUGGUUGUGGAGAAGACAAAAAUGUAGAAGAUAGUCUCACAUCAACUAGGCGUAUCAACGGGCUAUGGAGAUGCCCAUUAAUAGAUAUCAAUGUGAGUAAGUAGGGAUUGCCAUACAACAGAUGCACUAGAGCUAAAAAUAUAUGAAAGCUCAACAAAAGAAACUAAGUGGGUGUGCAUCCAACUUGCUUGCUCACGAAGACCUAGGGAACUUUUGAGGAAGCCCAUCAUUGGAAUAUACAAGCCAAGUUCUAUAAUGAAAAAUUCCCACUAGUAUAUGAAAGUGACAACAUAUGAGACUCUCUAUCAUGAAGAUCACGGUGCUACUUUAAAGCACAAGUGUGGUAAAAGGAUAGUAGCAUUGUCCCUUCUCUCUUUUUCUCUCAUUUUUUUGUUUUUUUUUGUUUGGGCCUUUUCUCUUUUUUUAUGGCCUCUCUCUUUUUUUAUAUAUAUUUCGUCCGGAGUCUCAUCCCGACUUAUGGGGGAAUCAUAGUCUCCAUCAUCCUUUCCUCACAGGGACAAUGCUCUAAUAAUAAUGAUCAUCACACUUUUAUUUUUCUUACAACUCAACAAUUACAACUUGAUACUUAGAACAAAAUAUGACUCUAUAUGAAUGCCUCCGGUGGUGUACCGGGAUAUGCAAUGAAUCAAGAGCAACAUGUAUGAAAAUUAUGAAGGUGGCCUUGCCACAAAUACAAUGUCAACUACAUGUUCAUGCAAAAAGCAAUAUGACAAAAGUAAUGUGUGUCAUAUGAACGGAAAGGUGGAAAGUUGCAUGGAAAUAUAUCUCGGAAUGGCUAUGGUAAUGCCAUAAUAGGUAGGUAUGGUGGCUGUUUUGAGGAAGGUAUAUGGUGGGUGUAUGGUACCGGCGAAAGUUGCGCGACACAAGAGAGGCUAGCAAUAAUGGAAGGGUGAAAGGCUGCGUAUAAUCCAUGGACUCAACAUUAAUCAAAAGAACUCAUGCACUUGUCUAUUAAUCAUCUUCAAAAAGAAUAAACCUAAAAGAACUCUACAGUAAAAAUGGCAGCUAAUCUCGUUAGUGCAAAAGUUUCUGUUUUUCACAGCAAGAUCACAUAAACUUCACCCAAGUCUUCCCAAAGGUUGUACUUGGCACUUUAUUCAAACAAAAUCUAUAAAACAUGAUUAAUAAAGUAGCAUAAUCAUGUGGACACACAAAAACAGUAAGGGUAAAUAUUGGGUUGUCUCCCAACAAGAGCUUUUCUUUAAUGCCUUUCUAGCUAGGCAUGGUGAUGACAAUGAUGCUCACAUAAAAGAUAAGAAUUGAAACAUAACGGGAGCAUCAUGAAGCAUAUGACUAGCACAUUUAAGCCUAACACUCUUCCUAUGCAUAGGGAUUUUGUGAGCAAACAACUUAUGGGAACAAUAAUCAACAAGCAUAGGAAGGUAAAACAAGCAUAAGUUCAAGAUUUUCAACACAUAGGGAGGAAACUUGACAUUAUUGCAAGACAAGCAUAUAUUCCUCCCUCAUAAUUAUUUUCAGUAGCAUCAUGAAUGAAUUCAACAAUAUAACCAGCACCUAAAUCAUUCUUUUCAUGAUCUACUAGCAUAGAAAAUUUACCACACUCCACAUAAGCAACAUUCUUCUCAUUCGGAAUAGUGAGAGUAUCAUAAAAGACUUGAACACUAAAAAUUGUUUCGACAUUAAAAGAGUAAUGUUCAGAAAAAGGGUAAUCAUAAUCGUGACAAAUUUUAUAAAUAUAAUCAUCACUACUUUUUAUAGCAUAAGUUUUAUCACAAUAAUCAUCAUAAGUAGCAACUUUGUUCUCAUCAUAAUCGAUUGAAACCUCUUCCAAGAUAGUGGAAUCAUUACUAAGUAAAGUCAUGAACUCUCCAAAUCCACUUUCAUAAAUAUUAUAAGAUUCAACAUCCUCCAAUAUUGUGGGAUCACUACUUCCUAAAGUUGACAUUCUUCCAAACCCACAUUCAUAAAUAUAAUCAUCAUAAGUAGGAGGCAUGCUAUCAUCAUAACAACUUUGCAUAUCAAAACUAGGGAUGCUAAAAAUAUCAUCUUCACUAAACGUAGCAUCCCCAAGCUUGGGAGAAACAUUAAUUUCAGCAAAUAUAUUCUCAAAUAUGUCAUCCUCAUUAAACAUAGCUUCCCCAAUCUUGGGCCUUUUCAUAUCAUAAGCAUAAUCACUCUCAUCAUUAAUAGUAUGGAUUGCACCAAUAGUAUAGCAAUUGUCAUAUUCCAAGCAAGUUCGAAAAAGAUUUUCAAGAUCAUAAGAAGUAUCAUUAUCUUCCCAAUCAUAAUCAUCACAAUAAGCAAUAGGCAUAACGAGAUCAUCAUCAAGUGCAUCAUCUUCCACAAUUAUUUUUGAUUCAUUUUCAUGAGGCACAACAAUAAUAGGAGCAACUUUAUUUGGGGGAGAUACCUUUUUACCUCUCUUCCUUUUUACUUUCUUCUACUUCACCACAUCAUGUGUGGGUUCAAUCCUCUUUUUGGAGCUCCUUAUUAAUUAGAUUGGUUGAAUAGAAGGCUCCUCCUCGUUACCUGAUUCAUCAUAAGAAAUAAUAGGAGGAUAUUGGGAAGUCCCUUCCCUUUCAUUAGUAUUCUAUUCAUCUUCUAUUUGUUUUCUUUUCUUGAUGUAAUUGGCAAUAUAAGGAUUUUCAAAGCAAUUCACCGCACAAUGCAUAUAAAUUUCCCCUAGAUCAAAACCAAGAAGUUUAUAACUGGCAAAAUCUGGGAGAUAGUUGGUUAUACGUUUCAUUUCUUCAUAGACCAUAAGAAAACUAAGUUCAUUAUAAUGUGCAAGGGAAAUCAAGUCAUCACAAUUUUUGGACACGAUUAGAUCAUGAAACAAUUUGCAUCGGAUAGCUAAAUGACCACUUUCAUUGCAAAGUCCACAAGUACGGCCAAGAUAAUUUAAAUCUUCAACACAAACAUCUAGCCUUUCUUGCAACAAUUUAGUUUCUAAGUACUUAUGACUCUUGCGAUACCUAUCUUCCCUAUUUGGCGUGUACUUGAAAACCCAAUGCACUCCACAAAACUUGACAUGUUUAUAGGAGGCAUUUUCAUCAUAACUAGUGCAAUCAUCAUUAGUACUAUGGAUAUUCAAAGAGUUCAUACUAACAACGUUGAAAUCAUGCUCAUCAUUCAAAGAUUUAGUGCCAAACAUCUUAAUGCAUUCUUCUUCUAACACUUUGGCACAAUUUUCCUUUCCAUCAUACUCACGAAAGACAUUAAAAAGAUGAAGCAUAUGAGACAAACUCAAUUCCAUUUUUUGUAGUUUUCUUUUAUAAACUAAACUAGUGCUAAAACAAGAAACAAAAAGAUUCGAUUGCAAAAUCUAAAGAUAUACCUUCAAGCGCUAACCUCCCCGGCAACGGUGCCAGAAAUGAGCUUGAUAUCUACUACACAACCUUCUUCUUGUAGACGUUGUCGGGCCUGCAAGUGCACAGGUUUGUAGGACAGUAGCAAAUUUCCCUCAAGUGGAUGACCUAAGGUUUAUCAAUCCAUAGGAGGCGUUGGCUAAAGAUGGUCUCUCUCAAACAACCUUGCAACCAAAUAACAAAGAGUCUCUUGUGUCCCAAACACACCCAAUACAAUGGUAAAUUGUAUAGGUGCACUAGUUCGGCGAAGAGAUGGUGAUACAAGUGCAAAAUAGAUAGUAGAAAGAGGUAACUGUAAUCUGAAAUUAUAAAAACAGCAAGGUAGCGAGCGAUAAAAGUGAGCGUAAACAGUAUUGCAAUGAUAGAAACAAGGCCUAGGGUUCAUACUUUCACUAGUACAAGUUCUCUCAACAAUAAUAACAUAAAUAGAUCAUAUAACAAGCCCUCAACAUGCAACAAAGAGUCACUCCAAAGCCACUAAUAGCGGAGAACAAACGUAGAGAUUAUGGUAGGGUACGAAACCACCUCAAAGUUAUUCUUUCAGAUCGAUCUAUAAAAGAGUUCGUACUAGAAUAACACCUUAAGACACAAAUCAACCAAAACCCUAAUUUCACCUAGAUACACCAUUGUCACCUCAAGUAUCCGUGGGCAUGAUUAUACGAUAUGCAUCACACAAUCUCAGAUUCAUCCAACAAACAUAAAAGUACUUCAUAGAGUGCACCAAAGUUUCUACCGGAGAGUAAAGAACGUGUGUCAACCACUAUGCAUAGGUUCCCAAUGUCACGAAACCCGCAAGUUCAUCACCAAAACAUACAUCAGGUGGAUCGCAAGACAUACAUCAAGUGUUGUCAUAAAAGACUCAAUCCGAUAAGAUAACUUCAAAGGGGAAAGUCAAUUCAUCACAAGAGAGUAGAGGGGGAGAAGCAUCAUAAGAUCCAACUACAAUAGCAAAGCUCGGGAUACAUCAAGAUCCUGCCACAGAUGGAACACGAGAGAGAACACGAGAGAGAGAGAACACACACAUAGCUACUGGUACAUACCCUCAGCCCCAAGUGUGAACUACUCCCUCCUCGUCAUGGAUAGCGCCGGGAUGAUGAAGAUGGCCACCGGUGAUGGGUUCCCCCUCCGGCAGGGUGCCGGAACGGGCUCCCGAGAGGUUUAUGGUGGCUACAGAGGCUUGCGGCGGCGGAACUCCCGAUCUAUCUUCUGUUCUGGAAGUUUUAGGGUACGUAGGUAUAUAUGGGUGCAAGGGGUACGUCGGUGGACCUCCGGGGUGCUCACGAGGCAAGGGGCGUGCCCUAGGGGAGUUGGCCCACCCCCCACCCUCGUGGGAAGCCCGGGACUCCCCUAACGUGCACUCCAAGUCUAUCAGGUUGCUUUCCUUCCAAAAAUAACUUCUCCGGUUGAUUUCAUUCCGGUUCGACUCCGUCUGAUAUUCAUUUUCCUCGAAACACUGAAAUAGGCAUAAAACAACAAAUCUGGUCUGGUCCUCUGGUUAAUAGGUUAGUCCCAAAAAUAAUAUAAAAGUGGAUAGUAAAGCCCAAUAUUGCCUAAAACAGUAGAUAAUAUAGCAUGGAGCAAUAAAAAAUUAUAGAUACCUUGAGACGUAUCAGGGCUGCGCCAGGGGAAGGGUGUGGCUGCCCUCCCACCCCCUCACUAUAUAUAGGGGGAAGGGGAGAGGGGUCCGGCCCCUCUAGAUGGAUCUACAGGAGGGGGCGGGUGCCAGGGGAAACCCUAGAUGGGUUUGGGCGCCCCCACUAACUAGGAAACUUGCCCCCCAAGCCGGGAGGGGUGGCUUCCCUAGGGGUGGAAGGGGCGCACAACACCUUAGUGGGCUGGUGUGACCCCUCCCCUUGGCCCAUAAGGCCCCCCAACACUUGUUGGGGCCUCCGAAAAUCCUUUCGGUCACACUGGUCAUCACCCGGUACCUCCGGAACAAUUCGGGACUCCAAUACCCUUCGUCCAAUAUACCGAUCUUCACCUUCGGACCAUUCCAGAGUUCCUCGUCACGUCCGUGAUCUCAAACUGGAAUCCGAACAUCCUUCGGUAACCACAUACUAUUCCCAUUACAACUCUAGCGUAACCGAACCUUAAGUGUGUAGACCCUACGGGUUUGGGAACCAUGCAGACAUGACCGAGAUACCUCUCGGACCAAUAACCAACAGUGGGAUCUGGAUACCCAUAUUGGCUCCCACAUGUUCCACCAUGAUCUCAUCGUAUGAACCACGAUGUCGGGGAUUCAAUCAAUCCCGUAUACAAUUCCCUUUGACCAUCGGUAUGUUACUUGCUCGAGAUUCGAUCGUCGAUAUCCCUAUACCUUGUUCAAUCUUGUUACCGACAAGUCUAUUUACUCGUUCCGUAAUGCAUGAUCCCAUGGCUAACUCGUGGGGUCACAUUGAGCUCAUUAUGAUGAUGCAUUACCGAGUGGGCCCAGAGAUACCUCUCCGUCAUACGGAUUGACAAAUCCCAGUCUCAAUUCGUGCCAACCCAAUAGACACUUUCGGAGAUACCUGUAGUGCACCUUUAUAGCCACCCAAUUAUAUUGUGACGUUUGGUACACCGAAAGCACAAUCUCAUGGUCUAAGGAAAAGAUACUUGACAUUAGAAAUGCUCUUAGCAAACGAACUGCACGAAUCUUGUGUUAUGCUUAGGAUUGGGUCUUGUCCAUCACAUCAUUCUCCUAACGAUGUGAUCCAGUUAUCAAUGACAUCCAAUGUCCAUGGUCAGGAAACCAUAACCAUCUAUUUAUCAAUGAUCUAGUCACCUAGAGGCUCACUAGGGACAUGUUGCGGUCUAUAUAUUCACACAUGUAUUACGGUUUCUAGUUAAUACAAUUAGAGCAUGAACAAUAGACAAUUAUCAUGAGCAAGGAAAUAUAAUAAUAGCCAUUUUUAUUAUUGCCUCUAGGGCAUAUUUCCAACAUCGGGACCAAAGGCCUCUUUUCAGCAGCCCAAAGGACGGGAAGCAAAGGCGUUUGGUCCCGGUUGGUAGCACAAACUGGGACUAAAGGAGGGCAUUGGUCCCGGUUGGUGCCACGAACCGGGACUAAUGGCUUUGCUAUAUAAGAAACACUUAGGAAAUUUUCAGAUUCAUCUCUGCAGUUUCCUGCCCCGAUGAUGCCGCCAGGCCGCCCGACCUCCCCCCAUCGACGCCGUCACCGUCCCUGCCGCCGCUGUCGCCCGCGCCCGUCGUCUCCUGCCAUCCCCGCGCCACCCCUGCCCCGACGUCGUCGCCCAACACCGUCGUCGCCGUCCCUGCGCUCGUCGUUGCCGCCGUCUGCCCCCUGCCCCGCCGCUGUCGCUCUGCCUCGUCGUCGUGCGCCGUCCUUGCUGUGAGCGCCGCCGGCCUCUUUUUGUAUGAUUUUUUUUGUUGUAUGCAUUGACGUAUUUUGAUGUAUGAUUUCUUUUUUGUUCAUAUGAUGUAUGUUUUUUUUCAUAUAUAUAUAGAUGAUGUCUGUUUUUUUGUUAGGUUAGUAUGGAUAUUAGGUUAGUGGAGAGGAAAAAGAAAAAGAAGGAAAAAGAAGAAAAGAGGAAGAAGGAAGAAGGAAUAAGAACAAAAAGAAGGAGAGGAAAAAGUAAAAUAAGAAGAGGAAGAAGGAGAAGAAGGGAAUAAGAGGAGAAGAGGAGAAAAAAAAAGAAGAGGAACAAGAAGAAAAAAAGGAGAAGAANNNNNNNNNNNNNNNNNNNNNNNNNNNNNNNNNNNNNNNNNNNNNNNNNNNNNNNNNNNNNNNNNNNNNNNNNNNNNNNNNNNNNNNNNNNNNNNNNNNNNNNNNNNNNNNNNNNNNNNNNNNNNNNNNNNNNNNNNNNNNNNNNNNNNNNNNNNNNNNNNNNNNNNNNNNNNNNNNNNNNNNNNNNNNNNNNNNNNNNNNNNNNNNNNNNNNNNNNNNNNNNNNNNNNNNNNNNNNNNNNNNNNNNNNNNNNNNNNNNNNNNNNNNNNNNNNNNNNNNNNNNNNNNNNNNNNNGAGGGGUCGAGGGUCGAGGGUCAUCGAGAGUCGAGGGUCGUUUAGAGUCUAGGGUCGAGAGGUCAUCGAGGGGUCGAGGGUUGAGGGGUCGAGGGAUCGAGGGUCGAGGAUUGCCGAGGGUCGAGGGUUUCCGUUUACAAGAAAGCCCCCAUUAUGGAUGUGCACAAGUUCAUUUUUUUCUGAUCUCAUCCAUGGCUACAUCAUUUGCUGGAAGUAACAGGAGUAUGACACUACGAAACUCUUCAAACUUGUUUUGGAAAGGAGUUCCGAAUAGGAUGAUUCGCUUUUUUCUAUGGAUUUCAGCAAAGGCCUUCCAAAUAGCGAUAUUCGGAAGGCUCUUGCUGAACUUCGUACCAAAAAGAGAAUUUUCCUAUCCGAGACUCCGUUCCAAAACAAUUUUGGAGAGCAUCGUACCGUUAUCCGCCCGUUACUUUCGGCAAAUGAUGAAGCAAUGGUUUUCUUGAGAUCAGGAAAAGUAUGGACCAUUUUAUGCACAUCCAGAAUGGCACCAUCUUAUUAAAUCCCUUAAAGGUUAAGAGAAUCCGAGCAUUCGAGGAUCGGAAAUAGCUAGGGUAGGGGGUCAAGGGUCGUCGAGGGGAUGAGGGUCGAGGGUCUCCGUUCAACAAGAAUGCCCCCAUGAUGGAUGUGCACAAGUUGAUCCUUUUUUUUCUGAUCUCAUCCAUGGCUAGAUCAUUUGCUGGAAGUAACAGGCGUAUGACUCUAAGAAACUCUUCAAAGUUGUUUUGGAAUGGAGUUCCAAAUAGGAUGAUUUGAUAUUUGGUACGGAUUUCAGCAAAGGCCUUCCAAAUAGCGAUAUUCGGAAGGCUCUUGCUGAACUUCAUACCAAAAAGCGAAUUAUCCUAUCCGGGACUCCGUUCCAAAACAAUUUUGGAGAGCUUUGAACCGUUAUGCGCCUGUUACUUUCGGCAAAUGAUGAAGCAAUCGUUUUCUUGAGAUCAGGAAAAAUAUGGACCAUUUUCUGCACAUCCAGAAUGGCACCAUCUUGUUAAAUCCCUUAAAGAUUAAGAGAAUCCAAGCAGUCGAGGAUCGGAACUAUCUAAGGUAAGGGGUCAAUGGUCGCCGAGGGGAUGAGGGUCGAGGGUCUCCGUUUAACAAGAAUGCCCCCAUUAUGGAAUGUGCACAAGUUUAUCCAUUUUUUUUCAAUAUCAUCCAUGGCUACAUCAUUUGCUGGAAGUAACAGGCGUAUGACGCCACAAAGCUCUUCAAAGUUAUUUUGAAACGGAGUUCCGGAUAGGAUGACUCGCUUUUUGGUAUGGAUUUCAGCAAAGGCCUUCCAAAUAGCGAUAUUCGAAAGGCUCUUGUUGAACUUCGUACCAAAAAGCGAAUUAUCCUAUCCGGGACUCCAUUCCAAAACAAUUUUGGAGAGCUUCGUACCGUUAUGCGCCUGUUACUUUCGGCAAAUGAUGAAGCAGUGGUUUUCUUGCAAUCAAGAAAAAUAUGGACCAUUUUAGGCACAUCCAGAAUGGCACCAUCUUGUUAAAUCCCUUAAAGGUUAAGAGAAUCCGAGCAUUCGAGGAUCAGAACUAGCUAGGGUAGGGGGUCAAGGGUCGUUGAGGGGAUGAGGGUCGAGGGUCCUCGAGGGGUCGAGGGUCGAGGAUCGCCGAGGGGUUGACAGGGGGACGUCGAUCAACCCCUUCUCGCUCGACCAACUCUCGAGGACACCCAAACCAUAGAAAAAAAAUGUUGUCGAUCUCAUACCCCCUAUCGCCCCUACCUGACAAACUCUCUCGUGAUUUAUAAGAGAUUUAUCAAGAAUGCCCCCAUUAUGGAUGUGCAUAAUUAAGUUGAUCCCUAUUUUUUCCUGAUUUCAUCUACCAUUCCAUAUGUGCGCGUUCUCUUGAGUCAAAGUAUUGAAUCGUUUGACACUACUAGACAACGUGACAUAUAGAAGGGUAGAUGAGAUCAGGAAAAAAUAGGGACCAUUUUUUUCUGCACAUCCAGAAUGACGCCAUCUUGUUAAAUCCCUUAAAGGUUAAGAGAAUUUGAGCAGUCGAGGAUCGAAACUAGCUAGGGUAGGGGGUCAAGGGACGCCGAGGGGAUGAGGGUCGAGGGUUGUCGAGGGGUCGAGGGUCGAGGAUCGCUGAGGGGUCUAUGUUUGCCACUAUUAAUAUAUCCAUCUCUCAUGUUUGUAUAUUAAUUGCCAUGUUGUAAUAUUUGGAGAAACUAUGGAUCAACAAAGAGACUUCGGACAAGAAGAGAUAUUGGGGGACAUAAUCUGCGAAGGAGGUGAUUUCUUGUUGUUUCUCAACAACCUUGAAGAAGGUCUGGAAGGAGAGAAAUCAGGUUACGGUGAUCAAACAAUGGAGGAGGAAAGUCAUGAUCAUGAUGGUGGCUCCGGCGACCGUGAUGACGGCUCCGGUGACCGAACGGAGUCGGGAUCUACUGUUUGCAAAGUACGGCGAGGUAUAGCCUGUGCUGACUAGCUAAUUGAUUCAUUAAUUGUUUUGGUAUAUACAUAUAUUAACUCUUCUUUCUUCUUUUAUAGCCCUCCGGAUCGAGCAAAACUUCGGUAACGAGACGAGGCCCGAAGAAAAAGUUGGGCCCGGAUGAAAGGUUCACGAUCACAGAAAUCGCGCGCGAUGGCCAACCGAUUAAACCCCUCGAGACCAAGGAAGCAUUUUCUGCUUAGUGCGGGGUUCUUGUUAGGGACAUGAUACCGAUCAGCAUCCACCAAUGGUAUAAGCAUAAGAAGGAAGACCCUCAAGUUUCUUUUGUCGAAGAUAGACAGAAAAAUGAUCUUUGGACCGCGCUGAAAGAAAAUUUCACCCUACCGGCAGAGGAGGAUCCGGAGAAGCCAGUUAUAGAGCCAUUGAUCAAGGCUCAUGCUCUCAACAAGAUGGCAGAUCUAUUCAGGAGGUGGAAGAAUGAUUUGAAAUCAAUGUAUGUCGACAAAAACAAGAGUCCAGAAUUCACCGGUCGAUUUGAGAAUAUAAGAGAUCACUGGACAAUACUUGUGGCCCACAAUACAUCGGAGAAGAGUAAGAAGAUGUCAGCAAUUAACAAUAUAAAUGCUGCAAAGAACGAGCAUCACCAUCUCACAGGGUCAGGUGGCUACCUCAAAUCUCGGCUGUUGCGGGACAAGGCUGAGCAGGACCUGAUUGCCAAAGGGGUCAAACCAGAGACAUUGCACUGGCCAGACCGUUCAAGGACUUGGUUAUUAGGGGUUGGGGGAACCUUGGACCAUGAAAUAGGGAAGUGUUGUUGGACGGAUGAGCAACUUGGAACACCCAUCACGAAGCUUCAGAAAGCAAUCAAGGAAGUGCGGGAAGGGAUGUUCGUUCCCCACAGAGAGAACAACGAGCUCACAAAGGCCCUCUGGAAUCCUGAGCACCCUGGACGAACAUGAGGCACGCUAGGCUCAGUUGCGUGGAAGGUUGGGUUUCCUGAGGCAGGUGGUUACAAAACCCAAGAGAGGAGGAGGAAAGUGGAGCAGAGCGAACUGAGCAGCUUCAGGAAAGGGUAAGAAAGCUAGAGGAAUGACAAGCUGUUGAGAACCAGCGAGAUCCUAUCCAAGCUACCCUAGAAGCUACCCCGCCAUGUCAGCGGAGAAGCAACGUGACUUCCACAGAGCUCAUUCAGCAGCCUGCUUCACGGGUCCUAGCUACCCCGUGGAUUUUAUCACGGAUUCACACCAGUGCCAUCUUAUGACGCAAUGGCUUCAGCUCAAAGUCAAGGCGGUUGUCGGCUCUGUGUUCCCUCCUUCACCCGGAGCAACUUUUCACUGUCGUCCGAUUCCACAAGGCUAUGUUGUUGUGACGGUGGAUGAAAUAACAGAGGGAUUUGAGGAUCUCUAGCUUGACCACCCUACAGGUGAUGGGGAGACUCAGCUGGGUCUUUCUCUGAAGACUCCGUUCCUAUGGUGGAAGGAGCACAUCAAGCUUCUGAACUUCACGCCUCUAGCGAGUCAGCUGGGCACUCCGCCUCCCCCACCUCCUCCGACGAGUGAUCGGGUCACUCCGCCUUCUGCUCCGGUGCGUGAGGGUGGUAGUACUCCGCCUCCUUCUCCGCCUGUUCCGGCUCGUCCAAGCAGCCCACCUCCUCCUUCGCCGCCUCGUAAGCAACGGCGACGGAGGAACACAGGCGCCGCUGCUCGGGCUGCUACGACGUGUCGUGGCAGUCCGCCUCCUUCUUCUCCGCCUCGUAAGCAACAAAAUAAGACAGCCGCAGCCGCUCCGGCUGCUCCGGCAUCUAGCAGUACAGCUAGAGGCGGGAGGUAAUACAGAUUUGGUCCAUCGUCUCUCAAGCCUCUAGAGAAUUACCAUACGAGAGGAGCGAGGAGGAAAACCAUAAGAUCUGUGAAGGCCAAAUGAGGGACUUCUUUGAAUUGGUAAAAGCUAAGAAACAUCCACCUCCGGAGGAGAAGAUAGAUCCGGUGAAAGUGAAGCGCACUUUGGAUGCCUGGCAGCGACCAUCGCCACCUCCGCUGUAAUCCAACUAUGACCGUGUUAUUGAAAGGACAUAUAAGGAAGCAAAGCGGUCGGGAAGUACUUGCACUAAUCAAAGGUUAGCAAAACAAAGAAGUGGGAAAAAAUUCCCCAGCUCGGCGAACAAGCGAAGCAAUCGUGCCCCCCGCUCAAUGUGUCUAGCGAUAUCGUUGCUAAUCUUUUGGGGAUGCUGCCCGGUACCAAUCCUGGAGAUUACAUGCCCGACGAUGCACUUUUUGAUACAAUGGAGGUCGACACAUUAAAAUUCCGGCACGGGAAGCCUCUCGUCAAACCUGGUACUCCUCUAACAACGAUGAUGUGAAGAUUCCAUGAUUGGUACAUGGACAUCUGCAGCAAGUCUGGGACGGAUACUUUGACGCUGAGAGUUAAAGAGGAGCACGACCUCAUUGGAAUUGAUCUGUUGUCUGUUCUAUAUUAGGAGUUCUUCCAGUUUUUCAACCAAAAGGCCCUCGAUAAAGCAAUCAUCACUUGCUACUGUCUGUAAGUACUACUUCUCUGUAAUUAAUUAAGUCUCUAUAUAUAGCUCAGCUCUUUCAUUGCAUGUAUAUAUAAUUAUCCUCACUAUAUUAUGCAGAUUGAAGAUCGCCGAAUUGAAGAAAAGACAAAUAGGUGAUAUUGGGUUCAUUAAUAGAAAUCUCAUGGAUGAAUGGAAUGUUACACAUGAUGCCAAACUAACCGAGGCCAACUUGCUCGCAUCGUUACUUUGAAAUCAAAACAAAGAUACAAUACUCUAUCCUUACGAAUACAGGUGAGUGUUAUUGUCUUGUGCAUAUUCGGUUUCCCUUAUUACUCGAGGUUAUAGUAAUGUAAUUGAUGAGUUAUGGGUGCGUGCGCAGCUUCCACUUUAUUCUGCUAGAGAUUAAGCUUGAGGAGGGACUAGUAAACGUCAUAGACUCGAAACGAUAAAAUCCCGAGGAGUAUGCGACCACGACUAAAAUGCUCGAGAAGUAAGUCCAAUAGAUCAUUAUCGCACCAUAUCAGCAACUUUGUUCAUUUCCUGAUAUCAAGUAAUUGUUUUCUUUGUCUGGCAGGGUUUGGAAAAAAUUCACUGCACACAAGCUCCGGGACUGCCGGCGGAGCUGCGUUUUAACCACCCGAAAGUAAGUACUACUAGCUAGUUCCGCGCAUCUCCCAUUGAUUCUAGCUAGUUUCGUCAACACCAUUUAGCAUGCUUGCUUAUCAGUUUGAUUCACCUCUAUUUCUUGUAAAGUGGUUGUGGCAGGAACCCGGGAAUGAUUUUUGUGGAUACUACAUUUGCGAGUUCAUCCGCCACACGACCUGAGGGGGGCUACUCUAAAAAACAAUACGAAGUCCGUAAGCCAUAAUAUUCACAAUUUUAUUUUGUUACCAUCAUUUGUGUUGAGUUUCAUUCAUAUAUAUGUAUUGACCCCCUUCUUCAAAUUAGAUGUUUUAGAUGCGGGAUGAACUCAUACCACAAGAUCACAUAUGAGCAAUUCAAGAGGAAUUGGCGGGAUUCGUUCUUGACCACGUCUAUCAACAAAGACGGAGAAUACCAUGUGAAAGUUGAGUUCAGAUGUAGGGGAUUGUAAGAGAUCUUAUAUUGUAUAUAUGUAGCCAGUAGCGUCGGAUAGAUAUACGAAAACUUAUGGUUCGACCAAUCUCUCAGAGAAGGAGAGGUCGAUCACUUCUCUUUGUAUAUGUUCACGACGAUCUUCUAUACUUAGUGGUUUCCUUCAUUUGCUUACUAGCUAGCUAGCGUGUUGAGACCUCUCUAUACGUCUAUACGUAUAGUACGUAGCGUCAACCAAGCACGGAGAUAAAAGAGGACACUUCUCAAUAUAUGAAACCCCNNNNNNNNNNNNNNNNNNNNNNNNNNNNNNNNNNNNNNNNNNNNNNNNNNNNNNNNNNNNNNNNNNNNNNNNNNNNNNNNNNNNNNNNNNNNNNNNNNNNNNNNNNNNNNNNNNNNNNNNNNNNNNNNNNNNNNNNNNNNNNNNNNNNNNNNNNNNNNNNNNNNNNNNNNNNNNNNNNNNNNNNNNNNNNNNNNNNNNNNNNNNNNNNNNNNNNNNNNNNNNNNNNNNNNNNNNNNNNNNNNNNNNNNNNNNNNNNNNNNNNNNNNNNNNNAAAACCGCAGCCCAUGAACUGCUGAUGCGUGGAAGCCUUUUGGUCCCGGUUGGUGGCACCAACUGGGACAAAAGGCCCUCCUUCCUGGGCAAGCCGCAGUGGCCAUGUGGAGCCCCAUCUGUCCCGGUUCGUGGACGAACCGGGACUAAAGGUGUUGGGCUUUAGUACCGACACUUUAGUCUCGGCUCAGAAACCGGGACAAAUGGGCCUUAUGAACCGGGAAAAAUGGAGCUUUUUCUACUAGUGACACUUUCCAACUUGUAAGCUACAAGAAAUCCGCAUAGCCUACAUCAACGUUGUAUUGUUGAAUACACUAGUACGAGAUGUUGAAAUCUCAUAGGAGUGCGAAGAUGCAUCUUUCUAUAGUGUCGAUGCAUAAGGGUAGGAGACAUGGGAAACAUAGCAAUAUUAAGGGCACUGCAAAUUUGUGAAAGUUAGUCUCACGACGCUGUUUCUUAGAGCUAUGUCCCUAACAUUGUACUCCCUCAAAUCCUAACUAGUGUCUAUUUUUUUUCCAUUUUCCCAUCAAUACUCUGCGUGGUCCAGAGAUUCGGCGAUAGUUUCCUAUCAUGCCCCUGUUUUAGGUUCGAAUGCAAUGUCUCAUAAUUAUCGCACGCAGAGAGAUAGGUUUAUUCAGGCAUGCAGGAAAUAAAAUCUGCAGGCGCAUGGAAAAAUAGUCAAGAUAAUAUCUUGUUGGCACUAAGGCGGACGAAAUGAUAAAGAACUAGAUGAUGCCCCACGUGUUGCUGCUGGAACCCUUAGUCCUACGCAUAUAUGAUAAUACAUAAAUUGGAUUCCUAUGUUUGCAUAGUAGAUAUAUGAUCUCAAGAUAGUGAAAUGUGCAUUAUGUGAUAUUUUUAUUAAAUAUAGUGGUACGGCAUAAUUAAUCUCAUAUAAUUUACAUACAUACCAAUGUAUAUAUACACAUUAAGUACAGAGAUUAUAAAUUGGAGAUGACAUAAAACAUUAUGUACAAAUUGUCAUUUUGAGAUACUUACUAUGUAUUAUCUGGUUACUCCUGUUGUAAAUCAAUCUUCUGCAUUUUACUACGUAAGUUGUACGUAGUAUAGCCAAGUAGGUAUUACAGAAGUUUAUAGCAGGAAGCAUUAAGACAAUCUGCCAGAGCACAAUCAACCAAAUUUUAAAAAGUUGAGUGGAAAUAACACUACCUGAGAAAUCAAAUGCAUAAUAGAGGAAAACACAUUUUUUUACGGAGUAGAGGAAACUAAUUACGCAUUUACGCUCCUGGUUUCAAUCCAGGACUUCAAAGCUUGUGUGGAGUCAUCUAGUAAGCACCUCCCUACAAAGAAGCAUCAGUAUUAAAUUUGAUAAGACAAUUUGAUAACAAUACAGAAGAAAAACGAGUGACCAUGCAUCGUUGGGAUAGCAAAUAAUUAGGUAUUAAGGUAAGGGAUUAUACUACGGGCUCAUGGGCGUCGUCAGCACCAUCGAAGGGAAGGUGCUCCCGAACGACACCAAGAUGCGUGUCGGCGCAUGGUAAAGUACGUGCCCUUCUCCAUGGGGGCGGAUCGAGAACAAUUGGGGGCCCGACACCGCUAGCUUCGUGCAAGCGGUGGAUCGGCGACAACGGGACGUUCUGCAACGCGUUGCCGUUCAAGUUCAUGGCGUCCCGGCUCUGACUAUGCAAGGACUCGGUGUACCUGUAGAUGAAGAUGGCGUUGGCCAUUCUGUGCAGGUUCUUUAGGUUAGUUGAUGACCACCUUCUCCAUGGCACACGACCUGAAGUUUCACAUCUCCAGGUUGCAUUUGUUUGGUGUACAAGAUGGCGAUAAUCUGUUGUAGAAGAUAAACAAAGCCAUGGAAAAUCAGUUGGUAGGGGAAUAAGCAAAGCCAUGGAAAAUCAGUUGGUAGGGGAAUUAAUUGGGGUGAUGAAGGAGAUUUUCUACCAUAUACUGCUAGAAGAUAAAGAGAGCCAUGGGAACUCAAUCAGCGGGGGAGUUAAUUGGGGAGAGAUAGGGAAACGUUGGGGCUAACUGCGAAUAGGCCUUGUGGAGCAUGGAGUAAUUAGUGUGCGAUUACCACAAAAGAAAAAUUGGUUGGUAAUAUAUAGGUAGUUUGUAAGAUUAACUGAAACCACAAAAAUAAGUAAUAACAUAGAUGGAACAUAUAUAUACAAUGCCAUAUAUACCUUUUUAAAUUUUUCAGUAAAAAUGACAUGAAAUAAAAAAAUUGUGUAACUGAUAGUAGUACUAUAGGCGGUGAAUAAACCUCUCAAGUACGACAUGAAAUAACUUGUUCCUACCCACACGUUGUAUUUUCUUAUUUAUACAUCAUAUCACAUGCUUUCUUUACAAAGUUAUCCCGUGGAUCGAACAACUCAAAAACACACAUGUUCAUCUAUAAUUUCCAGGCGUUCUGUAUACGAACCUCUUGAAACAGGGCUUAAUGCUAUCGAUUCGAAGAUCCCUAUAGGGUGCGGUUAGCGAGAGUUCAUUACUGGGGACAGACAUACUGGCAAAACAACAGUAGCCACAGAUACAAUUCUCAAGAAAAAAAGGAAAGGAUGUAAGAAAAACUAGAGCGAGCCUUCACGAAAGAAAAUGCAAGUGAAAGAGAAUUGUAAAAAUGUCCUAAAAGUGGUGGUUCUUUUCUUUAUGGAUCGGGUAGAUCCAUAUUUUCUGAGGGGGAGACGCUACCACUACUACACCCACUAUCACUAUCACUACCACUACCAUCACCACCACUACUACUCCUACUACUAUCAAUGGCACGCUUUGGGGUUGGUAAGAAUAUGGUCAUUAUUGUAGUUUGUCGAUAGUGGACUUGAAUGCUUUGCACUUUCAUUUUUUGCUCGCUUCAGCAUAACUUGGGUCUUUUAUGACUUCUUUAUUGGCCGGCAAAUUUGUUUGUGUGUGUGUGUGUGUGCGCGCGCGCCUUCAUCUUGGCUGUGUUCAUUCUAUCUGUGGAGCUCAUUGUGUUUGUAUUAUCUUGAUGCUUCAUUUUGAGUCAUUAAAUUCAGUCUUCGUUGGAGAAAAACCAAGGUGAGGGACAUGAUCGACAUAAAUUACUUGUCUAUCAUAUAUUACUUCUACAAUUUUUCCAGUUGCAAUGCCCAGUUACCUUACCAGUGUCUGCUGACAAAUGGCUAAAAAUAGCAGUUUUACUACCAGCAUGACUCAAAUAUAAUGCUCAUCAUCUCUUAUAAUUUAAACCCGUAAGAGAUCCUCUGCAUUCACUUUAUUUCCAUCGUAUCUCACGGUAGUUAUGUGGAAUAAAAUAUCAGGAGAAAUGAUUAUAAGUAUAAACCAUAUACUGGAAAUGUACAUGGUAAAACAUACAAUAAAAUCUCGGUUCUACACAAAUGGCUAAAAAUAGCAGUUUUACUACACAAAUUAAACUUCUCCGCUCUCUCAUUUCACACACACCUCCUACCUUGUACUGCUACAAGGAAUUAAAACCCAACUUCUUUGGGCAAAGUUAAAAAAACCAACUUACAUCGACUUUCUAGUCUUCAACAUACCUGCACGGGAUUUUGAAAUGAGAUAGGAGUACCUGGAUGCAUCUUCCUAUAGAUUCAAAGCGUAAGAGUAGGAGCCAUGGGGAACUUAGCAAUAUCUACGACACCCCAAAUUUGUGCAACGGAGACUCGCGAAACAGUUUUUGACAGCUACGCCCUUAUACUAUAAAGCUCACCUUUUUCCUUGGCCUGAGAACCACAUAUGUGAUGGAAAUGCGAUGGUAAUAAGGCGGACCAAAUGAUAAAUCAAACAUUUUGCAAGACAAUGGCGCGUGCCUAUGAAGAGAAUAGAAACCCAACAUCUUGUCGUGCCCCGCCGUAAGUUUUCGCACCAAGGCCUUCUCUGAGAAAAUAUGUUAGACCAGUUUUUUUAGUAAAUUUACAUAUUUCUAUUUGUACUUCAAUCGAAAUAUAUGUUCAUAUUUUCUGCCAAAACUAAAAUUAUAUCAAAACUUACAUACCGAUCUGUAUUCGGAAAAUUCUAAAAUUUUAGAACUUUUAGCACUAAGAUAAUUUCUGAGAUACACAUUUUCGGCCACAUUUUUACUAAAAUCACUUGAAUAAAAUUAGAUAUAUCUAUUUGAACUUCAAUAAACAUAUGGAGUUCAUAUUUGCUACCGAAGUUGGAUAGUUAUCUAAAUUCGGAUACCAAACUGUAUUUGUAAAAUUCUACUGCCUCUGAUCCAAAACAAGUGUCGCAGCUUUAAAUUAAGGUUAGUUAAACCUUAGCUCAAAGAUGCGACACUUAUUAUGGGUCGGAGGGAGUACAGUUUUUGAUGGAAAAAGACUGAAAUUAUGUGGUUGUGUGAUAUUGGUAAGCAGCUGACGAUCAACUAUCCACUUUCAAUGUGACACAACAUAACUUUCUUGUUAUUUUUUAUACCAUAAGCAUUUAGUCCACGUACUCCAAGCUGAAGGCUAUCACUAAAAUUUACUAAAACUGCACAAGUAAUUGAUAACAUAGACUUACAAUGACAUCAAUUUUGUAAUAUUCUAACAGUGUCUGAUUAAAGUUUUUAAUAUUCAAUCUAAAAUGCCUGAAACAAUAAGAAAAAUCUGUGCAAUUUAUAGUUGCAAUGCAGGCAGUGAACAAAUCUCUCAAUCAGGAAAUGAAAAUAAAUUGUUUAUUGCCGCAAGUUAUGUUUGCUUAUUUUGGUCACAUUACAUUAUUUCUUUCCUGAACUGAUCUUGCGAUUCUGUCUAGUCAAAAACACAAAAACAACAUAUUGUAGUUAAAGGCUUUACCAACCAUCAUCGUGGGGAAAGUCAUCGUCAAAACUGUUUUUCAUAAACUAAAUAAGCAUCAUCUUUUUUUCCCUGAAAAGUUACCCAUGAUUGUCUUUUUUUUCAUGUGGAUGAGGAUACAACAUAGAAAAAGAAAAUUGAUCAUCCCACGGUUACUUAAGCCAUUCCGGAUCGAGCUAUGUUGAGAUGAAAAAGGUCGAACUUCAGUAUAAAUGCUUACAUGUAAAUAUAUUUCAGGUAUAGUAUAUUUUUGGAAAAAUUCAAACACCUGACUCAAAUUAGCAUGGAGAGAAUAUGUCCAUCCGUGCGCCUCCUGUAAAUAAGGAGAAAAUUCUAUUAUUCCCAUGGUCCACCUAUAGCGAAAAGUAGAUAUUAACUUUCUAUUUGUGCAAGUAUUUAGUGCCGCAGUCCACUCAGCUUUCUUAUGUCGUACCCUGUCAGAACGCCGGUUUAUUACUGUGAUUGGAUCCAUAAUUACAAGUUCAUACUCUCCGAUCAAUUUAUAACAAACAUGAAGUAUAUUGUACGUACUAUCACAACCAAGAGUAUUCCAAUUUUUUGCCCUACAAGCUAACAACCAGUGUCUAAUUAAUUGACAUCUCGCUGGAUGAUCUUUCAUGUACACUGUUUGAAAUUUACCUUAAUCUGUCUAGAAGUAUAUUGCAGUGUAUUGGAUGAUGGUGAUUUAAGCAGUUCUAAGUAUAUUCUGAUUUCUUAUAAUUAAGCCAGUAGGAGUUUUUGUUGGUGGUUGCAUUCACUAGAAUUCUGUGUGUUUUGUUGAGGAACCAAAGUGAGUGAAAUGCCAUAGUUCCAUUCCUAGUAAAUUGUUGGGUUCAUUCCUACGUCUUGCUUGGAGCAACAAACUGGAAUGGAAUGCUUUCCCAGUCUUGCAUAUAUCAAAAGUGCUGAAUAACAUGCGCACGCAAGUAGAGCUGAUCAGCUGAGUAUACAAUCCAUAUAUCAAAAGUACACAUGGUACAAAGUACAGCAAACUCGGGGAGUGGAAGAACAACCAAACAUCGAUACAACAGUGUGGCCGGCCAUGCAGAGCUACUUGGACGUACGUACUCCUCUCUCUCUCACGCAGUGAGAUAAUAUGAGAGCAUUUAUUCAUAUAUAUAUGUGGGUGUGCGUGUGUGUGACCUCAACGUACUAAGCGUAGAUCCAGCAACGAUGGCGUAGGGGACGAUGGCAACAGCGAUGGCAGCAAGUGCUCGAUCAGCGAAUCUUAGAGCAGUCGACCGAAGAGCUGAUGGCGUAAGGGACGCUAACGCCGCACUUUGUGGGGAUGCCGGCGGCCUUGCCAGCGUUGAGCCCAGCAGCAGCGCUCUUGAUGCACUUGCACGCCGCUUGCUUGUCAGCGGUGCUCCGGGCUGAGCUGGCUAGACUCCUAACGCCGCUGCAGCAGGCCGCAGAUGGGCUGGCGCCGUUGCCGCGUGCAUAGGAGAUGCAGGGGCUCAAGGCAGAGCUCACCUGACCGCACGAUACAGCCGCCUCCGUGACUGCGAGGAGCAUAGCAGCCACCACGGCGACGAGCACGACCUGAGCAAUAGUAGUGGUAGUGAGCUCAGGCAGAGAUGAUGAGAUAGCUAGAUUUGCUAAGUGAUUGUAAUGGUGAGGAGUUUCGUGGGGAUGCAUGGGCUUAAAUAGGGCUUCUUACCAUCACGGGAUUCCAUUCGGAAUAAACAGUGUAGUUUCUUGGUGUCAAGUAUUGUGUCUACGUGUGCCAAUUCAAUUGAUGCGAGCAAAUGCAUGAAUUUAGGUUGUUGGAUGUUGGAAUUGAUUUAUGGGUGUUAAUGCAUUUAGGAGAUAGUUGGUUGUUACCGUUUGGUUGGGCCGAUGGAUGGACCAAGCACUACAUCCAGGCGUUCUAGCGGUGGAAUGUGGUUGAUUAGCGUGUACACAGCAGAUUAAUUAUGAGACUAAGACAUGUACGCAGUCAUAUAGUGGCCGACCAUGGAGUAGUUGAGUGCAUCUAUGAUGGUGAGCACGACCAUUGAACUGUGCAUAUACGUACAUCAUCAUUUUUACCCAAAAUACGCUCUGGCCUACCGAAUCCAAUAGCUCAGCUUCAAAGCGGAAACCGGAUUUGCUUCCAAUAGAAGCACAGCCGUGCAUCUCGGAAAAGGGAAAAAAAAUGUUUUUUCCAUCCACAAGAGGUACUGAUUUACUUCUCGUGGAGUCAAGAAUUUGCUUAUGCGAGAGGGAAAAAUCUUGGAUUUUUUCGACCAUGAGAGGCACUAAUUUACUUCUCGUGGAGGCACGGAUUUGCUUCCACGACAAGCACGGCCGUGCCUCUCAGAAAAAGACAAAAUAUGUUCUUUUCCUUCCACGAGAGGCACUAAUUUAGUUCUCGUGGAGGUGCGGAUUUGCUUCCGCGAGAAGCUUGGUCAUGCUCUUGGAAAGGGAAAACCGUGCUCUCGGUUCGAGUUUUUUUCGUCCGAUUUUUUCGUGGAAAAAAGUUCGUCGAAACCUAUCAACAUACGAUCUAGUUUUAUAGAUCUCGACGCGAGGAAUCCAACGGUGAAAUGGUUUAGGAUUUGGACACAUGGUUGAGAGAUAAAACAUUUUGAAUAAAAAAUCUACGAAAAAGGAAAAAUUCCAGGUUGCGACAAGUGGCGCACAUGCAGUUCGACACAUGUUGCACCAUGGGAAGGUGUGAGUGACAUUUACAAAGAGUACUCUUUAAUCAGUGAUUUCGGUAGUUGAGUGCAUUAAUUAUGAUGAGCUCGACAAGUGAACUAUAUCAAUCUAGUUGUGCAUGUGGUCAUGCAUGCCUGGGGAUCAUCUACCUUGCCUUACUUGGUUCCAAUAUCACAGCUUAACAUUCAUUGGUACCAUAUUCAGAGCUACAUUUCGAAUUUUUAUUUGUACAUCAUGCAUGUUUUAUCCGAAGGUGAUCCCACGAUUCUAGCAACUCAAAAACACAAAAGGACACAUGUUCAUGUUAAGACCUUUAUGUCCAUCAUCUUCUUGGUCGUCGUUACUAUUAUAGUCAUUAUUAUUGUUAUUGUUGUUCUUGUUGUUACAAUUUAUUUGUGGGGAACGCCAUUGCCCGUCUUGUUCUAAGAGAAAACAAAGGAACACUAUCUCUUGUUUCCUCACAAGAUACCCUUGCCUGUCUUUUUCGUUCACGUGGAUGUGUGUACCACCUUCAGAAACGAAAUUGAUCGUUCCACGUUAACUCUAGUAAUAUAUCAAUGGAACUAAGUUGGUAAAAACCGGACGAUAUUCGAUCUAAAUGCAUAUAUAAAUAUAUUAUUAGUUAAUAUAUUUUCAGUUGUUUUACAAAUACACAUUCUAAAUUACCACAGAGCAAAAAUGUGCACUUGGGAGACUUGUAAUUCAGCACCAAAUGUCACUGUCCCCUUGGUUCACCUGGAGUGAAUAGAUGUUAACUUGCCUCUGUGCAAGUAUUCAGUGCCAUAGUCCACUCGGCUUUUUAUUAAUGGUAAGUGCCUCAUCCGUCAAUGUAGCAGCAUGUCUCAUGAUGAUUUAGUAAUGCCGAUGGAUGCGUCAUUAGAGCAUCUCCAUCCACAAACACACUAAGCAGGCCCCAAAACACCCGCGGACGCGUCCGCGGACAGUGACCGGACAGCACAGCAAAAACGUCCGCCACAACCAUAAAACUCAAAUUUCGUACCUCCGUACCCAAAUAGCACAGCCAUGUAAAUAAAAACCUAUGUACUACGUACAUAGCUAAAAGAACUAUUGUUGGAGAUGUUGACGGUCUCCUUGCCUGGGGCUAGGUAGAUGGGAAAGUGCGGUAGCUCCUGCGCCUGUGAAGACUCUGGCCCCUCUCCACCUCCGCCUUCCCGUCCAAUUCUAUGAACAGUGCUUCCAUCGACGCCUGUUUAAUUCCGAUGAACUGUCGGUUAGCCUCGACAUAGACCUCGUCCAGGAUGGACUCAUGGACGGCGGUCUGUUCUACCAUCUCCAUCGCUUGGGCGGCCUCGUACUCCACCUUGGCAUCCGCCACGGCGAAGCCCGCAGACAGCCACACCUCCACCUACUCCCCUCUGGCUCCGCUACCUCCUUCUUCACGGGCUCUGCUUUCGACAGCCGCUCCCCCUCCUCCUUCUCCUCCUCCUCCUGCCCCACCUGCUCCUCUUUAUCCUCCUCCUCAUCCGCCACCACCUCCUCCAUGAGAUAAUACGAAGGCUUUUUUUCGUGUGUGUGUGUGUGUGUGACCUCAACGUACACAUGGUGACCAUUGGUUGAUCAACAAAUCUUAGAGCAGUCGACGGAAGAGCUGAUGGCGUAGGGGAUGUUGAUGCCACACGCUUGGAGGGAAUGUUGACGACGUUGCCAGCGUUGAGCCCACCGGGAGCGCUCUCGAUGCAGUUGCACGCCACUUGCUCGUCAGCGGUGCUCCGUGCUGUGCUGGCCACACUGCUGACACGGCUGCAGCAGGCCACAGUCUGGUUGGCGCCGUUGCCGCCGGCAUAGGAGAUGCAGGGAUUCAAGGUAGAGCUUACCUGUCCACAGGAGAUGGCCGCUUCGGUGGCUACGAGGAGCAUAGCUAGCGGCCACUAGGGCGACCAGCAUAAGCUGAGCAACUGCAGCAUGGGCCGUCUUGAUCUAGCUAGCAAUAGUAGUCAACUGAAGAUGAUAAGAAGGCUAGAUUCGCUAUGUGAUUGCACCGGGAGAAGUUUCGUCGUGGGGGUGGGUGUGUGUGUGGUGGUGGUGGGGGUGGGGACCCAUGGCGUAUGCACAACAGAUUAAUACAAGUGACCGGUCAUGGAAUUUUGUGCAUUUACGACGGUGUGCUUGAUUACUAAGGCUGCCCGUAACGGGAGUAUCAUAGGUAGUAUCAUGCAUGCCAACUAAGCAAUUUUGAUGAUGUGGCAUAGAAUUAAAUGAAGAAAGAGAGGCUUGAGUAUCAUAUUAGAGCAAGUACAAUAAGUCCUAGUCAGCUGGCUAUAUGGUGUUCCACGUCAUCAAAGUCAUUGCUGGAGGAGAGAGAAUGGAGGAAAGAGAAGGAGGCGGGCGAUUCAGCUAGCGCCGGCUCCAGCACAAGAAACAAGAAAAAUAAUUCUGCAUGCAGUCUUGUGAGCCCACAUUCCUCUCUUCUCACCAAUCACAUGUCUCUCUUUGCCUUUCCCCACUUGCAAACAUUAAAUACCAAUAGCUAGACUAUAGCUAAUCUGUUGUACUGGUGGGCUCUUAUGAAGGCUUUAUGUGACAUGGCACUCAUAUAUAGCCAGCAACGGCUUUCUUAUUAAUCAUGCUCUUAUGAUAAAGUAUCAUAUUAAAUGAUGUGUUAUUUUGUGUCAUGCAUGGCAAUAAAUGUAGUCAUCUGUGAUACCAACACAUGAUACUAUGCAUUACGGAUGUAGUAUCAUAUGCAUGAUACUACUAUAUGAUACUCCCCAUUACAACUAGCCUAAGGCUACUCAUAGUGAGGAGUAUCAUAUACUAGUAUCAUGCAUAUGAUACUAGUAUAUGAUACUACCUUCAUAGUGCAUAGUAUCAUAAAGUAGUAUCAUAGCUGACCAUAUUUAUUGCCAUGCAUGACACAAAGUAGUAUAGCAUUUAACAUGAUAUGGUAUCUACCUAUGUUACUCUAACCCUCUCUCUUCUUUAAUUGUGUGCCACAUAAUUAAGCAUGUUUGCUAGUCCCAAAUACAUGUUACCGGUUAUGUUACCUCCACUAUGGCCAGCCUAAAGUAAAUCAAUCUGACAGUACAUAUGGCCGUGCAGGACGGGCGAUAAACCGCCUUUCCUUACUCUGUUCUCCAUGUCACAGUUUAACAUUAUAAUGCUGUAUUGAUUUAGUUUAUAUGAUAAUAACGUGUUUGAGUAAAUAACAAUGUAUUAGUACUAACUACUCCAUCCAUCUGCAAGUUUAUUGGUCCUGUUAGUAUUUUUACGCCAAACUUUCACGAUAGACUUAAUUAAGAAAAUAAUAAUGCAUGUCAUAAAAAAUCAUAUCAUUUGAUUCGUAUUUGAAUAUAGUUUGUAGUGAUUUUUUUCAUGCUUUAACAUUUUAUUAGUUAAAUUUAAGGUCAAAAUUAAGCACAAAAUGCGAACAGGACCAAUAAAUCAGGACGGAGGUAGUAGGACAUAAAUUUCAUUUAGCAAAUGGCUUCGGUGCACCAGGAUCUUAUAGCACACGUCAUGCGGGUGUGUUGUUCCGGCUAUAGUUUCUCGAUCCACAUACGACAUCAUUGGGAACAGAGUUCGAGAGGUGCAUAUUUGAAGACGGAUCCGCUGUGUUUCAUCCUACGAUGUGCCACUGCUGCAGGGUCUCGAUCCAUACACGACGCCAUGAGGAAAAGAAGUGAAGAGGAAUAUAAUUAUGGACACUAAUGGAAAAGAAAAAAAAACACUACAUUUCCUUCUACCGGUAGGUUCCCUACCUGAAAACAAGCAAAGGCCAUCUCUAGGUCUUGGCCCAGCAAUAAGCAAGACCCAAGAGAGUGGCCGAAUGAAGCGGGUUGCAGCUGACAUGCAUGAAGCCCUCAAUAAAGAAAUAAACCAAAAUAUCUUUUUUUCUUGAAUACGCACGAGUGUGCGUAUAAUAUAUUGAAGAAGGAGAGGGGUGAAGAAACCCCAUCCAUAGUUUACAUAGUUCGCGUUACAUCCACAAUCGCACUCCACCCAUCAAGAAAAGGAAAAACGUGGAGACUACUCCCUAUCUGCCCAGACACCUAUCCCAGCCAUCCAGGGCUCUAAGUCGCUAUGAAUGAUCCCUGCCUUCAUCCACACCGCGCACUCAGCGGCGAUCCUCCGCAGAAGUGCCUGCACGUCCGGUGUCUUCCCCUCGAACACAAUAGAAUUCCUGUGUUUCCACAAUUCCCACAUGAUCAGGAGAUGUAGUGCACGCAAGCAUUUGGCAUGCCGCCCGACCAACGGUCUAGUAGUCCAGGCCAGAAGAUCAUCCGCUGCUGUUGGGGCCUCGCCAAUGAUACCAGUCGCCUGGCAGACCGCGUCCCAGGUUUCUCUAGCAAACACACACCGGAUGAGGAGGUGGUUAAUAGUUUCAUCGUCCUGGUUGCAAAAUGGGCAGCGUUCCUGAUGUGGGAGGCCUCUUCUCGCCAAUCUAUCCGAGGUUCACACCCGAUUUUGAAGGGCCAGCCAUGCGAAAAAUUGACAGCGCAGGGGUGCAUGCGAUGACCAUGUGAAAACUGCCGUGGGGGAGACCUGAAGCGUUGCAAAUCCUGCCGUGUAGGAAGAUCGCGCCGAGAAGGCUCCGUUCUUCUCCCAUGACCACGUCAACUUGUCUGGUGUGUGUUCCAAUAGUGCGACGCUUUCCACCUGGGGCCAAAUCCCAAGGUACUGUGCUAGCGCGUGCUCGUCCAUGUCUGGGCCCAUGUCCCGAGCCCAAGAUGCAUUAGUUAGGGCAACCACCACCGUUCGGGAUUUCCUCGUCCGUUCAGAUAUUCUGUCAUAUACGGCUGGCGUGAGCUCCUGUAUGCGGUAUCCUGUCAGCCAUCGGUCAUCCCAGAAAAGGGCGGUACAUCCAUCACCAAUGGUCAUCCUCGCAGCUGCCCGAAAGAGCCCUCUGGCCUCCUCCGAUAUGUUCAACUUGAAUUCCACCCAUGGCCUAGAGUGAUCAAUACGCUGUAGCCAGAGCCACUUGGUUUGCAAGGCGAUGUUCAUCCAUCACAGGUUUGGAACUCCAAGUCCUUCUACCUACCUCGGUCUACUCAAUGAUUCCCAUGCCACAGCACACUUGCCACCACCUGCUUCUUCCUUUCCACACCAUAGGAAACCCCUACAGAUUUUGAUCAUCGCCUUCAUGGUCUUCGGUGGCAACCCCAUUGCAAGCAUUGAGUGAACUGGGAUAGCACUCAGGACAGACUGGACAAGCAGAAGGCGGCUGCUCUUGGGCAGCGUCGCGGCUUUCCAGGUCGGUAGACGCGCUGCCAUCUGGUCGACCAUCUCUUGGAACUGCGCAGCCGUCUGCUUCCUUAUCGAGAGCGGGAGGCCGGGAUACCGGAAAGGAAAAGAGCCACCCCUGCAGCACAGCAGCCCUGUCACCGUCUGCAUAUGCUCCUGCGUGCACCUAAUUGGCAAGGCCGCACUCUUCUGCAGGUUUAUCCGGAGGCCAGAUGCGUGUCCGAACAGGUCCAGCACGCACUACAAGAAAUAUGUCAACUUGUGACCACCACUAUUGGUCACUGAAAGGUCAUGGUUUUUCAUUUGCGACCUUUUUGUGACCAAAAAGAGAAGGUCAAAAGCUGGCAGUCGUAAACUGACUAUAGCGACCUUUCUUCUGGAAUGGUCGAAGACGUUUAUGACCAAAAUAUGUCCAUUGUGGCGUUUUGGUCACUAGCAACCUCCCCAGGUCACGUAGGCAUCCAGCGUGGCAAGCUGAUGUGGCACAAGAUUCAGCCCGGUCCAAUUUGGUUUUCUACAUGGGCCUAGCCCAACAAUUCAGCCCAUUUAUGAUUUUUUUCCUUUUAAUUUUGGUCAGCUACAUUGGCCUAGCCCAAUAAUUCGGCCUUUUUAGUUUUUGAGAUUCAUGCAAUUUUUUUGGCCCUCAGCCCUUUUUGAAAUUGUUCGAUGCUUGUUGGGAUGUGGCCUUUUUCGGCCCAAUUAUUUGUCCAGUUUCGACCAGCCUUUUAAUGUUGAGAAUUAUUUGGCCCAAGCCGAAUUUAGCCCAAUCACACAUACAUACAACAUUAUUUCACUCAAAUUAGGAAAACUCCAGGUCAAAUUCAAGUCCACCAUCAUAUCACAUCACAUAACACAUCUCCCAGGUUUACAUAACACAAAAAAUCAUCUCAGGAAUACAUUUCCCUACACAGAAAUAUAGCAGGAAUAGAGGGAAUAUACAAUAAAGAAAAUGAUGGCACAUCUGCUACUAUCAUAAUAGUACAAUGUAUUUUUUUUACGGAACAACCUUUUACAGAAUAUACAAGAGGGAUUUCAUUGCUCUCUCUUACGAGACAUGCUCCAGCUGCCACAACUUGCCAUCCUACAAUGAGAGGUAUAUAACAAUGGACUUCAUGAACAUUAGAGGAGCAAACGCUCAAUCAACACCAAGGGCUAGAUAAAGCCUUAGAUAGCAUGCAUUCGAAAUUUAGACAGAGGCAAUCAGUUACAGAAAGUAAAUGAGGACCAUACUUUACAAUUACAGUACCAUAGGACUAAUCCAUCAAUCCACGAGGCAAAAUAUGAGUGAAUCCAAAAAGAGGCACAAAGUAAUACCUAUUUUGAUCCAAAGGGGCUCGUGAGCAUGGCCGUCUUCCGUAACAGGUUGGCCCUAGCACCCUGGAUCAGACGCGCUGGGAGCUUGUAGCUUGUCCUGGUCAUACUGCUAUCCUAAGUAACAGGAAAAAUCAAAGCAACAGUUUGGACUUGGUGUUAACGAAUCAAUAGCAUAUAAAGCACCAAUUCCCUCAGAUGCAAGGAGAGGAGGAGCAAAACGACAGAGAGGUGGGACAUUUUUCGUACCUGUAGAUGAUAUUCACAGCUAAGGAAGAUACAUGGGGCCAGCCUUGCAUGUGUGCUUGCUUCACCGGUACAUGCAUCACCAUAGCAGCCAAGUAAGUAGGCAUCAUCAACAUCUCCUCACCACUUUCCUGGCAACAAACAAAGAGUCAAAACAAAACAUAUUAGACCAUAAUAUGAUACUAGAGGGUAACUGUAAAUCACCAAGUAUAUCCACAACACCAUAAAAUAGUCCCAGACCGUAGUGCUAUUUGAGUAUAUCGCAUGUAGUUUAUUAUCAUGAAGGGUUGUGUAUGCACGCUAAAUCCAGAAACAGGAGGAGGAUGGCUUAUCAACAAACUGAACUUAGAAAUGAAACUUUGUAAUGCUCAAGUUUCAGCUAAUAGAGAUUACAGAAUUUUACAUGGGACAAAUUCUUCUAGUUGCACUUAUCACAGAUAGAAGAGUUUAUAGUGAAUAAACAUUUACAAUCAAAGAUACAGCCUGGAACAUAUUAAUUUCAAGCUGCAGUUUGUAUACAAUCGGACAUCUCAGGUUGUAUACUACUCAUGAUGAUUCCACUGAUCUACGAAGUCAAGGAAUGCAACUGAAGAUGGUAUUUCUUCACUAUUACAGAAAUAUAUCAUUGUUAAUGUAAAUGAUCUGGAAUACAUAUACGGAUAUUAGCACAAACACAUAUUAGGCAAAAUCCCAUCGCAAGUGAACUCGAACACGUGCUGGACACACCCAAAAGAAACACCUAACUAGUCGUACAGCUUCGUGUACAAGUCACCUGCGCCCAAAAGAAACACCCAGCCGCCGCAGGCCAUGGUUAGACAGCAGCUAGCACAACAUAAUUAACAACCAGCUAAAGCUUAAUGCAAGAUCAUAUUCAUAGUUGGCAUGCAUCAAUACAUGAAUCUAUAAUGUUGGAUAAGGUGAUAAAGAAAAACAGAAAUAGUGGAGUUAGAAACAUAUGCAGCACAAUGAUAAAACAGAACAAUAGAUUUAAUGUAUAUAUAUUCUGGUGACUGCCAAUUGUUACAUGAUACACUCGUGUGUGUAUAUUCUGAUGAGCCAUUACCAUCUAGCCAACAACAACAUGGACAUAAUACUAAUUAGCUACACAAGGCAUCAUACUCUCCACGAGAAGGCCACGGUUACUCUUUGGAGCAGUAUGAGAACGACAAGCAUUGCAUCCUGGCAUUUUACUCAAGGCUCCAGGACACAAUAACAACAUCAACACCCACCUUUUUUGCUUGAACACACACCUAAACUAGGGACACAGGAAACAAAAAGGCUAAAUUGCGCAGACACCUAUCUGGACCUAAAUCAACAUCUUUACCUACAAAGAGAAAUGGGGACAGGCCAUAGAAUCCCCUUGUGAGAAGGCCAUAGUUACGUUUGGAGCAGUAUGAGAAAAGACAGGCAUUGCAAGCCUGCUCUUUACACAUCAUUAGACCUGCGAACAACCUUGCAGGUAGCUGGCUCUCACUUAACUGAACAUGCAGGCAAUGAAAGCACCCAACAUAUUUAUUUUAGGAGCCUGAUUAAUAAAUGUAUACCAAACAAACAAAAAUUGCAAUGACCUAGUAUGAACCAUGUAAUACAUACACUUCAAUACGUAUCCUAGUUUAUCAUCAUCACCUCAUGAGCUUAAUAAUUACAUAAAGUAAUUAUCAUCAUAUCCAGAAUUACAGUAGCAGCAGCCAACACUAGGACUACCAAAUUGAUUCGAAGUUCUUUCCAUUGUGCAACAACUCGAGCUCUCAACUACUAGCUCCUGGUACUAGCUGAUCUGAAUGUGUAAGAAGUUUGAUAUAAAUUGUGACUAGAACAAUUCUUCAGAGCUAAAUGUGCAACGAGCUUCUGAAUAUUAUCACUUUGGAGGGUUACUAUUCUUAGUUCUAAGAAGCCAAGACAACAGCAAGCUUAUAAUCAAUCCAAGGUGACAGCAAGUCCAAGAUCUUAUGGCCAAAGCAGAAAUUUCCAUGGCGCCAAGGCCAUCAUAAGAUUUACCACAUAGAGCAAGGGAGAUGAGCAAAGGGGAGGAAUCAGUGGGAUAACUUAGAGGAGAGAAGCCGACGGUGAGGACGGCCAAGGCGAUGGACCACCUGCCCUUGCAAGUCGGCCUUGUAGUCGAUCCACCUCCCCAUGUGCAUGACGACGGCCUCCCACUCGGCGACGUGCUUGGUGACGAUGCUGCGACAGGUCUCGUUGUACUUGCCGAUGCCGAGGUCGAGCUUGUCGAUCUCAGCAUGGGAGCUUGCCGAUGCCCAUCCAUGGGAGCGUCUGCGACGACGUCAUAGUUGUACCUUCAAUCCAAAGCACAAGAUCCAAACGUUAGAAAAGAACGGGAAUAGUACUGCUCUGCCAACUUCACUUUUUGUUUCUGGAAAUAUAAUUGCUUGAGCUAAUUUGACAGAUACAAAAAUUAAGUUGGAACCAUUUUUCGCUUUGCUGUUGAGAAAUCUCCCAAUCCAUUCAGUUUUUUUUACAAAAGACCAAUAUCCCAAAAAUUACUUUUUUUGGGGGGUGCUCAGAACAGUCUAUAUGUGUGGUGAUUUUGUUCAAAUUCCUUCAUACACUAGUACCAGCAGCUGGCCUUUUCAAUCAAGAGAAAAAGAAAAACGGCGACAGAGAAUUGGAGGGCAAAGCACAUGCUUGGCGUUUUUUUCUUUACAGUGUGAGUGUGCGUGUGCUGUGUGCAACACCAAACUGACUGACAACCAAGAUAUUCACCAGAGGCUCCUUGAGCAGAAUUUACAGGCCCACUGCUACGCAUGCAUUGCUAAGCUACUCCCAUAUAAAUCCGCAGCAGCUUUUCUUCAAGAGCAUAGGACUAGUAGGAUGAAGCUGUUGCCAAGCCUAACCCAUGCAUGCACGGUACUCACUUGGCAGUGAAGCGCCGCGCGACGUCGCUCUCCGCCGCGGCAAAGAAGGCCCCCAUCUCCUCCGCCGGCGGUGACCUCCCCUUAUUCGCCUUCUUCGCCCUGCACACCAUGACAAACAGCAGCCAAAGCUUGAGCAGAGGAACUCCACACGCAACAGCACGGCUUGGAACGGCCAGCGCCGUGCCCUGAGGAGAAGGAAGGAAGAGGGCUGGGUGCUGACAAGUCAGCGGGAAGGCCGUGGCAGUCCCGCCCGAAGUGGCGCAUCACGUGGCGCCCGCACAUCCACUGGUGCCCCUUGACGACGGUCGCCCCGCCUAACAAUAGUUGAAGCCCUCCCGCACCGGCCGCGUCGUUAAAGAGAGGGGGGGGGGGGUCUGUCCCGGCGGCGCGAGCCCCUCCCGCUCCGCCCGUCUCUGGUGACCUGCCAUGGCCGCCGCCGGCUAUGGGGUCAGGAAGAGAUGCUCCAUGGCCGCCGCCGGCUGACCUGCUUCGGAUCCUUGCCAUGGCCGCGGGCAAAGAGGUUGUUGGGAGGAAGGGGCGCCGGCAAAGGAAGGGAGGAUGGAUGGCGUUGGGUGGCGGAGGGGCGGCGGCGGCGAUUUGGAUCGGGGAGAGGGAGGCGGAGGCGAUGUGGAUUUGGAUCUGGAUCGAGGGACUGAGGGAGGAGAUGUGUCGUGCGCGUGCGUGUAGGAUAGGUGAGCGAGAGACGCUAGAUCGAGGGACUGAGGGAGGGUGUGGACGGCUCAGAUCAACUACAGUGGGGGGCGAUCCCUGGGCUGCCUCUUGAUUGGUUCGAAAAUAUAAAAAUAUUUCUUAGUGCUAAAAACAGGGGGGUUUUGUGAAGCAACUACCAAAACUAUUCUGCAAAUUGGCAUCACUAAAUUUUUCACUUAAUAUAGACCACAUUUUAGGGAUGAUUACCAAUUUUUAUGCAUUUCCGAUCCUUCUAGCUAUUUUUGGUCAUUUAAACAAAUUUUCACCGAUUUGGUAGAAAGCGGGUCAAAUUUAAACUAUAGGUGCCUCAUACUUUUCUCUUUAUUUUUUUCAAAAAUAAUUUCUAGGUACAUAAGUAUCUAUUUAAUCAGAGAUACUUCAAAUUUUUUGCAAGAUUCGACCCUUAGCUAUGAACGGUCAUGCCCGUUGUUUUGACCGCAUUUUCAAACGGGCAUAAAAAAUUCAAAAAAAUUAAAAAAAUUGGAAAACCUUCGCAUUGUGUCAUUAAAUAUGACCAAGUUAUUACGAAAAAUAAUAAACUUGUAAUACAUCAAUUAUUUUUAAAAAGUGUUCUCAGAAACGAACUACCAUGUGUGGAGAUCAAUGGCUUCCAAGCCAAAUGAUCAAUCUUAUGGCCACAUUCAUGGCAUAGUUUGUUCAAAUGAUCUCAUAUUGUGCACAAGGGUGCAUAUUGGAAUGACAAACAAUGUUGCCUAAGGAAGUUUUCAUUUUCAAUGGCCGAAAAAAUCAUUUUUCAUUUUCCGAGUGCCCGAAAUGAGUUUUUUUGUGAAGGACCUACCAUAUAUUUGUUGCAAAAUUGGACCUAAUAAAUUAUAUAAAAUACUAGGCCAUAUUUAAUUCACAAUUGACCAAAUGGUUGGGUGUCAAAUUUUUUGAUUCACCGCUGGUGAAAAAGACAAGUUCUCAUCGAUUCAGUUGGAAGCGGGUCAAAUUUGAACUGCAGCUGCCUCGUAGUUUGCUCUUUAUUUUUUCCAAAAAUCAUUUCUAGGUAAAUAAGUAUCUAUUCAAUCAGAGAAACACCAAAAAAAUUCCAAGAUUCAACUACUAGAUAGGAACGGUCUAAGCCUGCCAUUUUGACCGCUUUUUGAAAUGGGCAUAAAAAAUUCAAAAAAAAUCAAAAAAUUGGAAAACCUUCGCAUUGUGUCAUUAUGUGUGACCAAGUUUCCAGGAAAAAUAAUAAACUUGUAAUACGGUAAUUAUUUUAAAAAAGUGUUCUCAGAAAUGAGCUAUCAAGUGUGAAGAUUCAUGGCUUUCAAGCCAAAUGAUCAAUCUUAUGGCCACAUUCAUGGCAUAGUUUGAUCAAAUGAUCUCAUAUUGUGCACAAGGGUGCAUCUUGGAAUUCCAAACAAUGUUUCCUAAGGGAGUUUUCAUUUUCUUUGCACGGAAAAUUUAUUUUCCAUUUUCCGAGUGCCCGAAAUGAGUUUUUUGUGUGAAGGACCUACCAUAUAUUUGUUGCAAAAUUGGACCUAAUCAAUUUUAUAAAUACUAGGCCAUAUUUAAUGCACAAUUGACAAAAUGGUUGGGUGUCAAAUUUUUUUAUCCACCUCUGGUGAAAAAGACAAAUUCCCGUCCAUUCAGUUGGAAGCGGGUCAUAUUUGAACUGCAGCUGCCUCAUAGUUUGCUCUUUAUUUUUUCCAAAAAUCAUUUCUAUGUAAAUAAGUAUCUAUUUAAUCAGAAAUACAUGGUUUGAUGGCGAGACAUCGAGGUUUGGACGGUGGCCGAUGGCCCCAACUCUAGAGCGCGUAAGCUCGCAUGCCCGCCGCGUGGUCAACGCGUGAUUGUGGCGUUGCCAUGUGUUCUGGGCGGCCUAGGCAUGUCUAGUGGGUUGGGCACUCCCCAGGUAGGUGCUAGGAAGAAAAUCACAACAUAAGGUUCUCACGAGGAGACCGAUCGAUGCUCAAACAUGAAUAAGCAGCCAAGUGUUUGAUUUGCGGUACGGGAAAUGCACAUGGCUAAUGGGCGUGAGUUUCGGCUGAGGAUGAUCAGUUAUUAAGAAGACCGUCUUCAGAAAUUUUCACCUCAAAAGGAGGAGCCUAGGUGGUACUUGCUUUGCAAAGUACCACACUGGACAUAAAUACGAAUGUUGAAGCUGGGCUCAAAAUAAUGAAUGGACUGAUCUGGCAUUUGGUGGAGGAUGGUUAUUUGGGCAUAGGAAAACACCGUAGAAAAUGGAUACCAUUUGGACAUGCCAAAGUGGUACUUCCUUCACAAAGUGCUGCCUUGAACAAGAUAGGAAAAUGAAUAUUGUUGAGUUAUUUUUGAACUAGACAAGGAAGGUUUUUGACAUAUUUGAUGAAGAUAUGAUCCAAACAAUUUAUGAGAAUUUUUUGGGAAUUUUUGGAAUAAAAGAAGUAUAGGUUGAUUCACAACCUAGGGCAAAAAUUGACACAUGGACAUGCCACAUAGGCAAAACUGAUGAGAUGGCGCCUAGUCAUCACAACCCACCACAAUCUACAAGGCUAUGGCCAUCUAUAUUGGUCAUUAACAACUAGAAAUAAGGCAGCGGACCAGCACUGUUUGCUUUGUGACCAUUUCGUGUAAGGAAAUUACGACCUUUCUGACCAAAAUGGUCGCAAUGGUUUAGGGUUUGGAGCCCCCGAACAGCUUUUGACCAAUUGGUCUCAAAUGGUCAUAGAUCUAUGACCAAUUCUUCCAGGGUCACUGACAUAAGGUCACUAGUUGACACAUUUCUUGUAGUGACGGUAGCGCAUGCCCGCAUAUCUCUCACUGAUGGUUUCAGGAACACCAUGAUGUCAUCAGCGUACAUGGAGACAUGCUGCUGCAGCCCAGAUCUGGCGAGAGGGGCAAGCAGUCCGGCUGUGGACGCGCACUCAAACAAGUGGUGCAAAGGCUCCAUGCAUAGGAUGAAUAGCAUGGGAGAGAGGGGGCUGCCUUGUCUCAGGCCCUGGCAAUUGUAUAUAGUCUCCUCUGCAAUGCCAUUGACAGUGAUCUUGGUGGUGGACGUUGCCAACAAACCACAUAUCCAGGCGAGCCAUUUCGGUCCAAAACCAAGCGCCGACAACACUCCACCAAAAACGGCCACUGCACGGUGUCAUAGGCUUUGGAUAUGUCUAGUUUGCAACCUGCGAGCCGUGCCUUGCACAAGCAUAAAGUUGUCGUGGAGUGUUCGUCCCCGGACAAAGGUGCUCUAUUGGUUCCCGAUCAGGUGAGGCAGAUCGUCUGCAAGCCUCGUGGCUAGGAUCUUUUCGAAGAUUUUGAUUGCGCCAUGGUUGAGCCUCACCAGCCUGAAGUAGCGAAUGUCCACUGCCCCUGGCUUUUUUGGAAGCAAUGUGACUGUAGCUCUGUAGAUCGCAUGUAAUCCACGCAUAUCUCCACCAUGAAACUCCUGCAGGGCUCUCAUGAAAUCAUCCCUGAUGAUAGUCCAACAAGUAGCGUAAAAUUGCCCCGUGAAGCCGUCAGGCCCUGGCGCCUUGUCGAGUGGCAUACUCUUGAUUGCAUGCGUUGCUUCCUGCUCCGAGAACGGCUCUUCCUCGUGUGCCAAGUCGUGAAUAGGCAGCUGCAGCAUCUCCAUGUUAAGGCCAUGUGCCCGUUCGGUGGAUGACCUGAGGAGCCUCGUGAAGUAUGUAUCCACCGCAUUUCCAAUAUUCUCCUGCCCCGUGUGCACUUGGUUCUCAGGGACGAUUGAGAGGAUCACGUUCUUCCUCUGCCUGUGGCUCUCCUGGCAAUGAAAGAAGGCCGUGUUCGCCUCCCCCUCUUUUAGCUGGAGUAACCGCGAUAUUUGCCUCGCAAUUGUGCGCUGUAACGAGCAUAAGCCAAGGAGCAUUUUCUUGAGGUCAUUGCGCAGGCCCCUCUCUUGAUCCGUCAGAAUCCGCGAGUCCAUUUCCCCAUCCAGCCUAGCAAUCACCUGCAGCGCGAUCGCAAUCUGUAGCCUAAUGUUCCCAAUCCACCUAUCACUCCACCGCUGGAGUGCUUUCGCCGUUGCCCGAAGCUUGUUGUCCAACACGACGAAGGCGUUUCCUUCCGAGCUUACCGAUCCCCAUGCAGUUUCCACAGCUUCAUAGAAGCCUUCUGCCUUUGGCCAAAAGGAUUCGAACCUGAAGCGCUUCCCGUAUGCAAAGUCUGCGUUGAUGUCCAGGAGGAGCGGACAGUGGUCCGAGACCGCUGAUCCCAGGGCAGUGAGCAGAGCAGCUGGAUGGGCAUCAUCCCAACAGUUAGUUGAGAACACGUGGUCAAUCUUCUCCUUGGUUGGGCGCUGUCGUUCAUUGGACCAAGUGAACUUGCGGCCCUUGAGGUACAUCUCUUUCACUUCCAGUUGGUUCGCCUUGUUUCUAAACCAGGCUAUCAUUCGCCGAUUGAUCACGUCAUUGUUCUUGUCUUGAGGAUUCACCAACAGAUUAAAGUCACCCAUGAUUGCCCACGGGCCAGCGUGUAACUCACGUACAUCUACCAGCUCUUGCAUGAAUGCGACCUUGUCCAUGUCAGUCUGCGGGCCAUGCACACCGGUGAACCACCAAUGCCCACCGAUCUUGGGCUUCACCAAGAUAGUUAUCGUGUUCAUGGUGCGAUGCGGGUUGGAUUGUCCGACAAUUAUCUCAUCCCAAGCCAGUAGGAUUCCACCCCUCGUUCCGGAGGCCGGCAAGUAGAAGAAAUUCUCUACAUUAAUUCCCAGGUAGUGUCGAACAACAUCCACAGUCAAGUGUUCGACCUUUGUCUCCUGAAGACACACUAUAGCCGGCCUAAUCAUAUCCACGACCUGGUACACGGCACUACGCCUAGCGGGCGAGUUUAGCCCGCGCACGUUCCACACAAGGACUUUUGUAAGGCUGUGAUUCCAUGAUCUAGUCCUAGCAAAGCCACCAAGCAUGCGCAGAUCACUGCCGCGUGCUACGUCUUGAGCUAGCGUUGGUUUUCCCCGAAGAGGAGAGGGUGAUGCAGCAAAUGUAGCGUAAGUAUUUCCCUCGGUUUUGAGAACCAAGGUAUCAAUCCAGUAGGAGACUCCUCAAAAGUCCAACGCACCUACACAAACAAACUGAGAACUCGCAACAAACGCAAUAAAGGGUUGUCAAUCCCUUCACAGCCACUUGCGAAAGAGAGAUCUGAUAGAGAUAGUAUGAUAAGAUAAAUAUAUUUUUGGUAUUUUAUAGUAUAGAUGCAAAAAGUAAAGAUGCAAAUAAAAGUAGAUUGAAAGCAAAUAUGAUAAGAGAUAGAGCCGGGGGCCAUAGGUUUCACUAGAGGCUUCUCUCGAGAUAGCAUAAGUAUUACGGUGGGUGAACAAAUUACUGUCGAGCAAUUGAUAGAAAAGCGCAUAGUUAUGAUAUUAUCUAGGCAUGAUAAUGUAUAUAGGCAUCACGUCCAUAACAAGUAGACCGACUCCUGCCUGCAUCUACUACUAUUACUCCACACAUCGACCGACUCCUUCCUGCAUCUAGAGUAUUAAGUUCAUAAGAAUAGAGCAACGCAUUAAGCAAGAUGACAUGAAGUAGAGGGAUAAACCCAUGCAAUAUGAUAUAAACCCCAUCUUGUUAUCCUCGAUGGAAACAAUACAAUACGUGUCUUGCAACACUUUUUGUCACUGGGUAAGAACACCGCAAGAUUGAACCCAAAGCUAAGCACUUCUCCCAUGGCAAGAAAGACCAAUCUAGUAGGCCAAACCAAACUGAUAAUUCGAAGAGACUUGCAAAGAUAACUCAAUCAUACAUAAAAGAAUUUAGAGAAGAUUCAAUUAUUAUCCAUAGAUAAAUCUGAUCAUAAACCCACAAUUCAUCGGAUCUCGACAAACACACCGCAAAAAGAGAUUACAUCGAAUAGAUCUCCACAAGAGAGGGGGAGAACAUUGUAUUGAGAUCCAAAAAGAGAGAAGAAGCCAUCUAGCUAAUAACUAUGGACCCGUAGGUCUGUGGUAAACUACUCACAACUCAUCGAAGGGGCAAGGAUGUUGAUGUAGAGGCCCUCCGUGGUCGAUUCCACCUCCGGCAGAGUGCCGGCGAAGGCUCCAAGAUGGGAUCUCGCGGAUACAGUAGGUUACAGCGGUGGAAAUUGUGUUUCGUGGUGCUCCUGGAUGGUUUUGGGUUCCGUAGGUAUAUAUAGGAGGAAGAAGUACAUCGGUGGAUGCCCGAGGGUCCCACAAGACAGGGGGGCGCGCCCUACAGGGGGGGCGUGGCCCCUAUCUCACGGGGUCCUUGGGAGCUUCUUGACUUGCACUCCAAGCUCUACGGAUCUUGUUCGUUCCAAAAAUCACGCUCCCGAAGGUUUCAUUCCGUUUGGACUCCGUUUGAUAUUCCUUUUCUUCGAAAUACUGAAAUAGGCAAAAAAAAUAACAAUACGGGUUGGGCCUCUGGUUAUUAGGUUAGUCCCAAAAAUGAUAUAAAUAUGUAGAAUAAAGCCCAUAAACAUCCAAAAAGGGUAAUAUAAUAGCAUGGAACAAUAACAAAUUAUAGAUAAGUUGGAGACGUAUCAAGCAUCCCCAACCUUAAUUCCUGCUCAUCCUCGAGUAGGUAAAUGAUAAAAAAGAAGUUUUUGAUGUGGAAUGCUACCUAGCAUAAUUCGUAAUGUAAUUUUCUUUCAUGUGGCAUGAAUGUUAAGAUCCAAAUGAUUCAAGAUAAAAUCUUAUAAAACAUAAUAAUAAUAAUGCUUCAAAGCAUACUAACAAAUAAUCAUGUCCUAUCAAAAUAGCAUAGCCAAAGAAAGCUUAUCCCUACAAAAUCAUAUAGUCAGGCCAUGCUUCAUUUCCAUGACACAAAAUACUCCCAUCAUGUACAAUCCCGAUGACGAGCCAAGCAAUUGGUUCAUACUUUUUAACGGGCUUCAGCUUUUUCAACUCUUACGCAAUACAUGAGCAUAAGCCAUGGACAUAACACUAUGGUGGUAUUUGGUGGUUGUAAGGACAAAAAGAGGGAUAAGAUAGUCUCACAUCAACUAGGCGUACUAAUGGGCUAUAAGGAGAUGCCCAUUAAUAGAUAUCAAUGUGCACUACUAGGAAAAGGCCUACUAAUGGCGCACCGGUUUUGCCUACUAAUGGCGCACUACCGGUGCGCCAUUAGUAGCACGCCACUAGAAUUUUUUACUAAUGGCGCAUCGCUGGUGCGCCAUUAGUAUCUGGUAUACUAAUGGCGCACCAAGAAGUGCGCCAUUAGUAUGUAACACAAUGCACCAUUAGUAUGCCUCCCGGGGGGGCAUAUGUAACCAUGUGCUUUGUCAUACUAAUGGCGCACUCUGCCUUGAUGCGCAACAAUACAAUACGUGUCUUGCAACCCUUUUUGUUACUGGGUACAAACACCGUAAGAUUGAACCCAAAGCUAAGCACUUCUCCCAUGGCAAGAAAGACCAAUCUAGUAGGCCAAACCAAACUGAUAAUUCGAACAGACAUGCAAAGAUAACUCAAUCAUACAUAAAAGAAUUCAGAGAAGAUUCAAUUAUUAUCCAUAGAUAAAUCUGAUCAUAAACCCACAAUUCAUCGGAUCUCGACAAAUACACCGCAAAAAGAGAUUACAUCGAAUAGAUCUCCACAAGACAGGGGGAGAACAUUGUAUUGAGAUCCAAAAAGAGAAGAAGCCAUCUAGCUAAUAACUAUGGACCCGUAGGUCUGUGGUAAACUACUCACAACUCAUCGAAGGGGCAAGGAUGUUGAUGUAGAGGCCCUCCGUGGUCGAUUCCACCUCCGGCAGAGUGCCGGCGAAGGCUCCAAGAUGGGAUCUCGCGGAUACAGUAGGUUACAGCGGUGGAAAUUGUGUUUCGUGGUGCUCCUGGAUGGUUUUGGGUUCCGUAGGUAUAUAUAGGAGGAAGAAGUACAUCGGUGGAUGCCCGAGGGUCCCACAAGACAGGGGGGCGUGGCCCCCUAUCUCGUGGGGUACUCGGGAGCUUCUUGACUUGCACUCCAAGCUCUCCGGAUCUUGUUCGUUCCAAAAAUCACGCUCCCGAAGGUUUCAUUCCGUUUGGACUCCGUUUGAUAUUCCUUUUCUUCGAAAUACUGAAAUAGGCAAAAAAACAGCAAUACGGGCUGGGCCUCCAGUUAGUAGGUUAGUCCCAAAAAUGAUAUAAAUGUGUAGAAUAAAGCCCAUAAACAUCCAAAAAGGGUAAUAUAAUAGCAUGGAACAAUCAAAAAUUAUAGAUACAUUGGAGACGUAUCACCGCGCAUCUACCUCUGCCACUUCCUCCUGGAGGGGGAGGGCCGGUGCCUCCCACCCAAACAACGCCAGUAUAGCCGCGAUAUGAUGGUCGUUAUGCGGCUUGGAGAAGAGAUCCACAUAGAGUUGUAGAGCUCGUCCGUGAUCACCUCCGCUUCGUUUGCAAGGCACAGUCUCUGGAUUAGGACAUGCUGCUGUUUUGAACCUACCGAGCGACUUCCCGGACCCUUGGCCAGGCGCACACUCCUUCUCGGGCUCGAGACCGGUGCCCAUUUUUUCCUUGGUCUUCUCUUGUCUUGUGGUGGUGCACGGUCCGCAGGCUUGGAAAGAACUGGGUCCAGGAUUCUCCGGGCAGAGGUACAAAAUUGGUUCAGCUCGUCACAUGGAUCUGCAACCGGAGUCCACACCUCCUCGCUCAUGGCUGCGCCCCGAGUUGGCGACUGCUCGGGCCCAUCAGAAAGACUCGCCAGGAACGUGGGUUCCGCCAUCAUGCAUGCAUGCAAACCCUCCACUGGUGUUGGCUCGCCACUUGUUGUGUCGCCAUCUGGCGUGGAGAACAAGGGCGAUCCACUGUCCGCACCAACCUGGCUGUCCCCCAGGGAAUCGAGCAUGAGAUCAUGCCGUGGCAGGCAUGUGGGGUCCCGAUUGGCAUCUACUGGCAGAUCCAGAUACCAAUCACCAAUGAGGAUGGAGCGUUCUGGGUUGAUGGUGGCGUUGGCGGUGGUACAGCCACCCAUCCUCGGGCUGCGCGCGGGUCCAACCAGCAGGGCCAACCCAGAAUCCGGUCGUCCCAUCCUGCCGUUGGGCUGGUUCACCGAGACAGGACACUGCGCAGAUGACUCAUUGUCGCCCUCCGGUUGGUGGGAGAUCCUUCUGGAGCCGCAAGACAACCCGCCCUGUCCCAUAGCCACGUUUUCCCGUGCCUCCUCUUGGUCCACCCUGGCCUGGCUUUCCACGUGUCGCCCUAUGAGAAGACCGCCCUGUCUUUCCACUUGGUCCACCCCCAGGCUUGACCGCCUGAUGUCAGCCCCUUGGGAUGGCUGCAUGGGGCCGCCCUAGCCCACGGGGCCCCCGUCACCCGGAGGCGGCGCGCACCCAUGCGACCUCGCUGGCAGCGCAGACGCCGUCGAGGACCGCGGAGAUCCAACUGGGCUACGAGGCGAAGGCCCCCGAGGCACAUACCCAUCGCGCCCAUGAUGGGCCUGCCUGUCAUCUUCCUCAUCCCCGUCCGUAGACAGCGGCGAUGGAGGGGGUGGGUGGUGACCGGACGUGCUGCCACCCGGCCUAACAGGUGGCGCUUCCCGGAUGAUCUCCACGAGAUACCACAGAGCGUCGACGCCUUCCACGCGCCCAUGGCCACUCCGGCUGGACGAUUCUUCCACGACUAGGAUGCGGCUCACAGGAACUCGGUCCGGGUCAUCCUUCUUUAGCAAAACGCGGAACCGCGACAUGUCGUGGCGCCGAGCCGUGCUGUCGGCCACCUUGACCACGACGCCAGUUCCGCGCAGCACCUCUUGCGCAGCCCGCCGAGUCCAGGCGUUCGCCGGAACACCAACCAGUGCAAGCUGCACCAGGAACGGCAUGCCAAUGCCGGUGGCCUGCGCGUGGCGACUCCACGGACGAAGUGAAAGAAAGAAACCCCGCGCUAGGGCCCGACCUCUAUCCACCAUCAAAUCUCUAAUGGCCUCACUUCCACAGAGACUUACUUUCCACAAACCAAAAUAUCUGAUGAUAAUAGAAUCGACUGAGACUUACUUUCUCAGUCGGCUUACAAUUAUCAAAACCAUAAACAAUAUGGUCAGGAAAGUUUGAUCCAAUAGUUCUUUAUAAUUAGAACCCGUCGAAAUAAAACACAUGCAAGGGUCUUCAAGUUUGGCACCAUUGAAAUAAGGGGCAAGCCCCUGCUGAACGAGGCUCUCGGCAUGCGUUGGGUGUGGUUUGAGAAGACGGCGCUGGACAAGCCUUGGUUGGGGCUGUAAAUGCCCAUUCCACCUGCAAGUCAGAGCCUUGUGCUUGCGGCUCUCUACUGCCAGGUUAGGAAUGGUGAAAGAGUAAACUUCUGGCAUGACGGGUGGAUCGACGGCCGUAGCGUCGCGCAGAUUGCUCCCCACCCGCUUCCCUUCAUCAGGCCCGCAAGCAGGGCAAUGUGCAUGGCGCAAGCCCUUCUUGGCAACACAUGGGUUGACGAGAUCCGCCGCACCCCCUCCAUACCAGCGAUAGCGGAAUUCUUGGAGCUAUGGGAGCGGGCUUCUUCCUUGCGAAACAUAUGCCGCCUUCUUCCUUGCGAAGGAGCGGGCUCCCUAUGCUGAUGUGAUCUGGAGAUCAUGGCCCCCCCUGGAGAUCAAGAACUUCAUUUGGUGGCGGUGCGAGGUCGACUAUGGACAGCGGAUAGGCUCACGCGCCGAAACCUGCCUCAUACUAGGCUUUGCCAGCUAUGCUGCCAUGUGGAUGAAGACACGACGCAUAUGCUGCUUGGAUGUCCCUUUUCCAGGGAAGUUUUGUAUCACACGAUCCUCCCCUUGCGUUUGCACAGGUUCACACCCGAUGGCUCCGCCUCCUUGGCAGACUAGUGGCCGACGAUAGGGGCUUAAACUCUGUCUAACUGGCAUAGAGAGCUCAACACCUGCAUUGCCGCAACCGUACGAUCCAUCUGGCUUGAUCGGAACGCUAGGGUUUUUCUGCGCAAGUCCACCUUGCCUGCGUCCAUUGUUCAUGCAUGUUGCCUGCGUCCGUCCUUGCCUUACAGUCCGUCUUGUAAACCCCUUUCAAAGGACAUGCAAUGCUCAUGCAUGUUCUUGAAAAAAUAAAUAAGGGGCAAGAUGCCUUCAUUACAACAAACCAAUCUGCAAGAGACAGAUCACUCGUGCACGUCACUCCCUAGGCGACGCCAGGAGCAAAGCUCCAUGCCGCCGCCAACAGCCAUCCGCUGCAGCCUCCCCUUCUGCCACUGCCACUGGCCUCUACUGCAGUGGCGGCAGGCCCAUAUCCGAAGGAGGUGGGGUUUCCUUCAGGCGUGCUGCAAGAGGUGGACAUCAGCCUGUGUGGGGAGACGCCGAUGGGGAAAGGAUGGUAGCGCGACGACCCUAGUUGUAUUCUCCUAUCCAAAUUGCCGAUCUUCUAGGUGCCGGUCGUCCUCGAUCUGGCAGCCGACAAGUUCUGGACUCCUCAAUCGACGGUGUUCACGGAUUGGUGCAUGGCACUCAUGGACCUCUAGAUCGGAUGGGAUCCGGUCAUGCGCGUCUCAAAACAUCAACUCGCGCGGCUUCAGAUUCGCAUUCUGAAGCUUCGCCGUCGACACCAAGGGGUAUAUCCGCUAUGAUCCAUGGUGUUAACAGAGGUGUAUCUUUUCUCUGGUUAACUUGUCAUGUAUUUUUUACACAUAAUGGAUUAUGUACGAAUAAUGUACGGAAAUGUUAACGCCCACACGUGUGGGCGUUUGCAUCUCGCCCACACGCGUGGAUCCGUGUCCGUUCAUGAGCGCACGAAUCUUGGCAUGUUUUUAGUGCCACGUAGGACUGGUCUGAUGUGUGGGCAUUCAUCCGGUCGCCCACACGGCCGUUUCACCACACGGGAGGGGCUGGUGUGUGCGCGUUGAGCAGUUCACACACGCCACUUUUCACGCACGCACAAGGGCUAGUGUGUGGGCAUUUGCCAUCUCGCCCACGCGCCCGUCUCCUCUCCCUCACCCAAGCUGCUAGUUGCCAUGUGCUUUGAAGUGCACAUGGCAACUUCCCUAGUGUGCUUUAUAAGCAGGUGGCGACUCUAUUUUUACCCGAGUUGCCAUGUGUUUUGUAGGGUACACGGCAACUUUCUAAUAUGCACGUAAGCAGAUGACAACUCUUUUUUACGGAGUUGCCAUGUGUUUUUGCAUGGUACAUGCCAACUGCCCUAACGUGCACGUAAGUAGAUGACAACUCUUGCUUUUACAUGGCAACUGCCCUAGCAUGCUUCUGAGCACAUGUCAACUCUCUCAACUGCCUAGUGUGAGUAUGUGGCACCUCCUUAAGUUUUGAAACCAUGGAAACUACAUUAGACCAGGCCAUACAUGGCAACUGCAGUUGAGCAACCAUGGCAACUGCAGUUGUUCGACAGGACAACCGUAGUUUAGCGACAUGACAACUGCAGUUAAACGAACAUGGACGAGAGUCUGGACCAUGGCAACUGCACGCGCGCGGUGACUGUCACACGUGGCAUUCGGGACCACGAGGUACGAAGCCUGACGUACGGGGCGUGUGGGCGUUAUCUACUUCAUCCACACGCACGCGUGUGAGUGGGUCAGGAGGGAAAAAAAGUGAUGUGUGGGCAUUACUUGUUUUGCCCACAGAUAGGUGUGUGGGAUGUUCCUCUUAUAUACCACACAAAAUGUGUGAGCAGAUUUUCUAACGCCUACACGUGUGACACUUAUCGGUGUCCAUAACGUAAGAUGCAAAUAGACUAGAAAUUACUAAGACGAUGCUUCGGUACACAGGCCAACGGAAUGACCACAAUAGCUUGUGUAGAGUGAAGAUUUGGUUACUUGCAUCAAUCGAUAGCUGAAUCUAUUAUUUUCUCUUCAAAAAUUUGCCUAAAAGAUCUGGUUACAGUCAAUACACGCGGAACCUUAUUUUGACUUUACCAGUGAUACAUCCAGUCGUCAGUCGUGCCAUACUGGGCAGGAUUUACCGCCUGAUAAAAUACCAAUGCUAUCCACUGCGGAAUUCUUCUCAAAGUUUCUAGUCGCGGCCACGUUGUUCUGGUCGGCAGGUCGAGCUCCUCAAAUCGUCGGCAAUCACCGUGCAAGCAUGGACCAAAUAGCAAGAAGACUGUGAGGUGCCUAGGGAGAGACUAGAAGGCCGCGCCUUGUGGAGCCCCAGUUUUAAUUUUUAGCAGGGACAUCUUCAUUGGGGUAUAUCAUUUUUAGGCCUUUUUUUGGUAAAAUUACAUGCAUAGACUUACAUGUAUUUAUGUGUACAACAUGAAAAUAUAUGUUCAUCGUUGCAACCAAACUCAGAAAGGUAACAAAAUUCCGAUACCAAUCUAUAUUAAAAAAAUCCUACAAAAAUUGAAAAGGCAGAUAACUAAUUAUGCAGUUGUAUGAUAAUGGAAAGCGAUUGACGGCCCUGUAUGUACUUUUAGUGUGUCACGACGUAGCUUGGUCUUACUAAUAUUAUUGCACAAGCAUUUGGUCCAUUCGAUGCUAUAGUCACUUAGUAAAAUUUACUGAAGUACAAACAUAAUACUAAUUACAUAGGAUCGACAUAUAUGUAAAGUGUCACACAAGUUGUUAAUAUUCAGUAAAUUUUAUGCAACUAAAAGGAAAAAUUGCGCAACUUAUUUUUGCACUACGGGCGGUGAAUAUAUCGCUCAAUAGGUGACAUGAAAAUAUCUUGUUGUUGUAGGUUAUGUGUUCUUAUUUCUACAUCAUACAUCAUUAUAUCUAUCUAUCAGUAUAUCUAUCUAUUACUAAUUACAGACUUCCAUGGAGCUCACACGUUAAUUCUCAGCGCUUAAAAAAUAUGUAUCGUUGAUCUAUUGACACUACUAGGGAAAAGCCUAGUAGUGACGUGGGUAAACUCUCUAAUAGUAGCGCAGGCCCCGCGCUACUACAGUCACACCACAGCUAAAAAGUUUGUAGUAGCGCGGGUGCCACCGCACGCUACUAGAAUGUUAAUAGUAGCGCGGGUGCCAUCCGUGCUACUACUAUUUUUGCGCCCGCGCUAAUACACUUUAUAAUAACCACACACUACCAGUAUCCUAAAUAGUAGUAGCACACAGUUUUUUCCCAAGCUACUACUAUCUAAUUAAGAAUUUAAAAAAUUCACCAAUUCUAUUUUAUGCAUAAACUUCUGGCAAUUAAAACAAACCUAGAUAUGCAAUCACGUUAAUUGCAACUCAGUUAGGAUUUUGGACAGGGUAUUGUGAAGAAUGUUAAUUGCAAAUCAAAUCAUCAAUGGUAACAACACUUAGAGGACACAUUUCAAGGCUAUGGUUAUAUUAACACAACGUGGUAGUGGUCCUCAUGAUACAGAAAAUGUGAAGUAAUAGAGCAUACUAUUUCAAUGUUGCUCUUGAGAUAACACUAAAGUGCAGGGACAUGGGAGUGGUCUCACGAUGCUUGUGAUUACGAUCAUCGUCGUUGUCAUCACUAAUUUCAUAGUUUUCAGUAUCUAUAGCAGCUUCCUAAUCGUUGGAAUUACUUUCUUCCUAUGGUGAUGGAACUCCAAUUUUGCCAUCAUCCAAUGCUUGAUCUAUUGACCCUUUGUGCAUCUUCACGAUAGGCGAAUCCACAAGAAAAAUUCAACUUCGCAUCUAGAUUGUAUCCAUUUCCUUGGCCAUGUUCAAGAAACACUAAAUUUAGAGCUUUAUCUACCUUAAAUACAUGAGGCAUCACGACAGAAAACAAAAGAUGAGCAAUAUCAUAUGAGCAGAAUAAAAAGCAGUUUGGAAUAUAGCACCACUAACUAUAAAAUAAUAUGCUCUAACAACAGCAAGAGUGCAACAUUGCCCCCCUUUCAAAUAUCAACACACUAAAAGAGGCUAUAAGACUCAACUAUUCGAUGCCCACUUCGAACACUAACAAGAUUAUGUAAAACAUGCCAGUCCAUGGAUCAAGGAAAACUACCUGAGCUCCAAUAGAAUACUCUCAAUUAAAACAAGCUUGUUCUCAAUGAUGGGAGAAUCAACUUGCUUCAACUGUAAUCAAUCGGGAUUUUAUUCUUACCAUGCAUGUCCAGGGGUAAUUAAGCAAAGCAAACUUUUUCCAUCUCUGGGAAGAUGCACUCUCGCAUCCGUAAGUGCAUUACUCAUUCAUUCCUAGAAUUUGUUUCUCAGUACAAUAGAUGAAAAUGGGUGACAUAGUUAAGAAAAUGGCAUGAACAUCAUCUUGUCUGGCUGAAAACUACAUGGAAGCAGAUUUGACUUACUACUGAACCCAUCAUUCACAAAUUCCCUCACGGACGUUGGCACCUUCAGAGCAGCAGAAAUGGAACAUUCAGAGAUAAAUUUUAGCAGCCACAAACACCUUCAUCAAUUGACAGUGUUCAGAAGGAAAAGAAAUAGGGUGGCCUAUAUUCAACUCAAAGGCGACGAUAGUGAGGAUGGCCAAGAUGGAGCUAUGAGUGGUGUGGUCACCUUGGAUGCUUACAAGGGAUUACCAGGGUCCUUGAGCACGAACGCACACAUCGCCUUGGCCGGUGCGAGCACGCCACAGGCCGCACGGGCCAGUCAUCCGUCAGCUCGCACUAGUAGAAAAAGGGCCAAUUGUCCCGUUUCGUAAGGGCCUUUUGUCCCGAUUUUGGAACCGGGACUAAAAGGUCGUUACUAAUGCCCCUGACCUUUAUUCCCGGUUCUUACACAAACCGGGACAGAUGGGUCUCCACAUGGCUGGUGCGGCGAGCCCAUGCAGGAGGCCCUUUGGUCCCGGUUGGUGGCACCAACCGGGACCAAUAGGCAUCCACGCGUCAGCAUUUCAGGUGCUGGGGUUUUUGUUUUUUUGGAGGGGGGGGGGGGUUAGGGGGUUUUGGGGGGUUAAUUUAGGUGUUUCGUAUAUUGUGUUAGCUAGCUAAUUAAUACAUAGAAGUGUCCUCUCUUAUCUCCGUGCUUGGUCGACCCUACGUACUAUACAUAUAGAGAGGACUAGACACGCUAGCUAGUAAAUAAAUGAAGGAAACAGAAGAUCGUCAUGAACAUAUCUAUACAGAGAGAAGUGAUAUCGACCACCUCUCCUUCUCUAAGAGAUUGGUCGAACAACAAGUUCUUGUAUAUCUAUCCUACGCUACUGGCUACAUAUAUACAAUAUAAUUAUCUCCUACAAUAUAAUCUCCUAAUUCCAAAUGAACUCAAGGUCCACAUGGUAUUCUCUGUCUUUACUGAUCACGUGGUCAAGAAAGAAUGCCGCCAGUUCCUUUGAAGUCCUCGCAUACGAUCUGGUGGUAGGAGUUCAUCCCGCAUACGAAAUAUCUAAUUUGAAGAAGGGAGUCAAUACAUAUAUACGAAUAAAUGAAACUGAACACAAAUGAUGGUAAUAAAAUAAAAUUGUCAAUAUUAUUAUUUACACACUUCAUAUUGUUUGUCGGAGUAGCCCCGCUCACAGAUCGUGUGGCGGAUGGACUCGCAAAUGUAGUAUCCACAAUAAUUAUUCCCUUGUUCCUACCACAACCACUUUACAAGAAAUAGAGGUCAAUCAAACCAAUAAUUAGCAAGCAUGCUAAAUGGUAUUGAUGAAACUAGUGCUUGAAUCACUAGGAGAUGCGUGGAACAUGCUACUAUAGUACUUACUUUCGGGUGUCUAAGUUCCAGCUUCUUCGGCAGUCCCGGAGUUUUUGAGGUGAAUUUAUUCCAAACCCUGCCAGACAAAGAAAACAAUUACUUGAUAUCAGGAAACGAACAAAUUGAAGUUGCCGAUAUGGUGCGAUAAUGAUCGAUUUAACUUACUUCUCUAGAAUUGCAGUCAUGUCCGCAUACUCCUUGGGAUCUUUUCGUCUCGAGUCUAAGACGGUUACUAGUCCCUGCUCAAGCUUAAUCUCUAGGAGAAUAUAGUGAAACCUGCGCACGCAUGCAUAACUCAUCAAUUACAUUACUAUAACCUCGACUAAUAAGGGAAACUGAAUAUGCAUAAGAUAGUAACACUCGCUGGAAUUCGUAAGGGAAGAGUAUUAUAGCUUUGUUUUGAUUUAAUACAAACGAUUGUAGCAGCUUUGCCUCGGUAUCUUUGGCCUAAAAUUUAACCAUAUAUGCAUCUAUGAGAUUUGUGUUAAUGAACACAAUAUAACCGAUUUUUCUUUUCUUCAACUCAGCGAUCUUCAAUCUACAUAAUAUAGUGAGGAUAAUUAAAAAUGCAUGCAAUGAAAGAGCUGACCUAUAUCGAGAGACUUAAUGACAGAAGUAGUACUAUUUACAGGCAGUAGCAAGUGAUCAUUAACUUAUCGAAGGCCUUUAAAUUGAAAAAGUCGAAGAACUCCUCAAAUGGAACAUUCAACAGUUCAAUUCCAACGAGGUCAUGCUCCUCUCUAACUCUCAUCUUCAAAAUAUUCCUCGCCUCAGACUCUCUGCAGGUUUUCAUAUACCAAUCAUUGAAUCUUCGCAUCAUCGUUGUUAGAGAUCUUUCAUCUUUGACGAGAGUCUUCCCCUACUCGUAUUUGUGUUCGUCCACCUCCAUUAUAUCAAAACGUGCAUCGUCGGGAAGGUAAUCUCCAAGAUCGUUAUAACCGGGCACCAUUGUCCCGCCCGAAUGAUUAGCGAUGACGCUAGACACCUGGAGCGGGGGGAACGAUUGGUUCACUUGUUCGCCGAGCUGGGCAACUUUUUUCCCAGCUCGUCGUUCUGCUAACUUUUGACCACUGACAGUACUUCCCGACUGCUCUGCUUCGAUAAAUGACUUUGUAAGAAUGCGCUCAUAGUUGCCUUUCAUCAGAGACUUUGGUGGUUUUUCAGGGCAGCCAGAGUAUGCUUCGCUUUUACCGGAUCUAUCUUCUCCUCCGAAGGUGGAUUUUUCUUUGCUUUCACCCCUUCAAAGAAGUUGGUCACUUAGGCUUGCACGAUCUUCAUGUUUUCCUCCUGGCUCCUCUCGUAUGGUAACUUCUCUGGAGUCUUCAAAGAAGGACUGUAUCUGUAUUGUCUGCCUCUGGUUGUACUGCUAGAUGCCGGAGCAGACGGAGCGGUUGCGGCUGUCUUUCCUUUCUUACGAGGAAGAGGAGAAGGAAGACGCGCCAGAGCAGCCGGAGCGGCGGCGGGUCCCUUCCGCCCUUGUUGACGAGGAGGAGAAGGAGGAGGCUGGCUGCUUGGGUGCACCGGCGCAAGCAGAGAAGGAGGCGGAGUGCCGCCACGUGCCGGAGAAGGAGGCUGAGUGCCCUGAUCACUUGCCGGAGGAGGAGGCGGAGUGCCCUGACUCGCCGGAGGAGGAGGAGGAGGCGGAGACGUCCAGUUCGGAAGGUUGAUGAGCUCCUUCCGACAUAGGCAUGGAGUCUUCAGAGAAGAACCUAGCCGAAUCUCCCCUUCACCCGUAGGGUGGUCAAGCUCAAGGUCCUCAAAUCCGUCCAUUAUUUGAUACACCAUCACCCUAGCAUAUCCUUCUGGAAUCGACCUGUCGUGGUAGGUUGUGCCAGAUUCAGUAGGUAAAACAGAGCCAACAGCCGCCUUGACUUUCAAUGUCAUCCAUCGAGCCAUAAGGUGGAAAUGUUGAGACUCCGUGAUAGCAUCCACGGGGUAGCUAGCAGGAGCUGUGAAGACAGGCUCCAGCUGCUGAGUCUGCUCGGUGGAAGUCACGCUUCUUCUCCGCCGAGAUGGUGGGGUAGCUUCAAGGGAAGCUUCGGCAGGUUGUUUGCUGCAUCUACUUCUUGUUCCUCUAGCCCUUGUACCCUUUCGUGCAGCGCCUAUAGUUGGCUAUGCUCCACUUUCUUCCUCCUCUCCUGGCUUUUGUAACCCCCUGCGUCCGGAAACCCAGCCAUCCACGGAAUGGAGCCUGGCAUGUCUCGUGUCCGUCUAGGUUGCUCGGGAUUCCCGAGGGCCAUUGUGAGCUCGUCGUUCUCACUGUCUGGAACGAACGUCCCUUGCUGCGCUUUCUCGAUAUACUCCUGAAGCCUCCUGACGGGUAUUCACCGUUGCUCUUCCUUCCAAACGCACUUCCCUGAUACAGGGUCCAAGGUUCCGCCAACCCCGAAGAACCAAGUCCGGCAACGGUCUGGCCAGUUCAAUGUCUCUGGUUCGACCCCUUUAGCAAUCAAGUCAUUCUCAGCCUUGUCCCACAAAGGUUGGGCUUUGAGGUAGCCACCUGACCCCGUGCGAUGGUGAUGCUUCUUCUUUGCAACAUUUUUCUUGUUUGUCGCUGACAUCUUCUUACUCUUUUCCGAUGUCUUGUGGGCCACAAAUGCGGGCCAGUGAUCUUUGAUCUUCUCAUACUUUCUGAUGAAUUCUGGUGCCUUUUCUUCAUCGACAAAAUCUGUUUUUAGCUCAUUCUUCCUCCUCCUGAAUAGUUCUUCCAUCUUCUUAAGAGCAUGAGACUUUAUCAAUUUCUCUUUAACUGGCUUCUCCGGAUCCUCCUCUGGCGGUAGGGUGAAAUUUUCCUUAAGCGUUGUCAAAAGAUCUUCUUUCUGCAUAUCGGAGACAUAAGACACCUCAGGGUCUUCUUUCUUAGGCUUUAACCAUUGGUGGAUAAUGAUCGGGAUCUUGUCCAUAACAAGAACCCCGCACGGAGCAUGAAAUGCAUCUCUUGUCCGGAUGGGUUCAAUUAGCUUUCCAUCAUGCGCGACUGCUAUGAUCUCAAACCUUUCAUCUGAGCGCAACUUUUUCUUCGGGCCUCGUUUCUUUAUCGAAGUUGUGCUCGAUUCAGAGGGCUAGAGAGGAAAAGAAAGACGAGAGUUAAUUAAUAUGUGUACAUAAGAAAACAAUGAAUGCAUCAAUUAGCAAGUCAGCACGGGCUUAACUAAUAUAUAUCCCUGCCCGGACUCGGUUCGGUCACCGGAGCCGUCAUCACGGUCUCCUUCCUGUACCUGCAUUGGGUCAUCAGAGCCAUGAUAAUCAUAGCCUUCUUCUUGUACCGGCAUUAAUGGGUCACCGGAGCCAUCAUAAUCAUAGCCUUCUUCUUCACUACCUCGUCCUUCCAGACCAUCGGUGUCGUUGAGAAACGACGCAACGACAUCACUUCCUUUUGUGAUUAUGUCCCCCAACAUCGCUUCUGUUGCUUCGUCUCGGGGGUGCUCCGUAGUUUCUGCAAAUAUUUUCAACAUGGAAAUUAUUAUUCAAACAUGACAGAUGGAUAUAUAUUAGUGGCAAACAUAGAACUAGCUAGCUACUCACAAGAAGGAAUCAUAUUAGUGGCCUCGACGCUGCUUCUAUAAGGUUUGGGGUGGCCUCGACAACGCUUCAAGGGUUUGGGGUGGCCUUGACACAAUGCUUCAAGGGUUUGGGAUGGCCUCGACGACAACGCUCUUUUAACUUGAUAAAUUUGGGUGGCCUCAAGAGAGUUUGUCGGGUAGGGGCGCGGCAGGAGGGGGCAGGAGACCAACAUCGUUUNNNNNNNNNNNNNNNNNNNNNNNNNNNNNNNNNNNNNNNNNNNNNNNNNNNNNNNNNNNNNNNNNNNNNNNNNNNNNNNNNNNNNNNNNNNNNNNNNNNNNNNNNNNNNNNNNNNNNNNNNNNNNNNNNNNNNNNNNNNNNNNNNNNNNNNNNNNNNNNNNNNNNNNNNNNNNNNNNNNNNNNNNNNNNNNNNNNNNNNNNNNNNNNNNNNNNNNNNNNNNNNNNNNNNNNNNNNNNNNNNNNNNNNNNNNNNNNNNNNNNNNNNNNNNNNNNNNNNNNNNNNNNNNNNNNNNNNNNNNNNNNNNNNNNNNNNNNNNNNNNNNNNNNNNNNNNNNNNNNNNNNNNNNNNNNNNNNNNNNNNNNNNNNNNNNNNNNNNNNNNNNNNNNNNNNNNNNNNNNNNNNNNNNNNNNNNNNNNNNNNNNNNNNNNNNNNNNNNNNNNNNNNNNNNNNNNNNNNNNNNNNNNNNNNNNNNNNNNNNNNNNNNNNNNNNNNNNNNNNNNNNNNNNNNNNNNNNNNNNNNNNNNUUUCCUUUUUCCUCUCAUUCUUUUUCUUCUUCUUCCUUUCCUAUAGCUAGAUAUAUAAAACUUCUCUAAAAAUGAAACUAACCUAAAAUGUACUAAAUCAGAGAACAUAUAUAGAUAAAACUUUUCUAAAAAUCUAACUUUUGCAUAUAUGAACAUAUAUACGCAGAGAACAUACAAACAUAUAUACAUUUUUAUAAAAAAAAAUAAAAACAUCAUAUUGUAUAAAAAAUCAUAUACAUAUAAUCUGAAAAAAACAUCAUAUUCUUUAAAAAAAUCAUCAUAUAUAUGCAAAAAAAUAAUUAUGAUAACAAUCAUAUAUAUAAUCAUAUAUAUGAAAAAAACACGCAUAUAAAUCAUCACAUAUAUUAAAAAAAUUAAGAAACAGGGGAGGGCGCCGGCCGGACCAAGGUGAGGAGGGACAGGGGCGCGGGGUCGGCGACGGGGCAGGGGGCGCGCCGGGGAGACGGCGACGAAGGGUCAGGGCAGGGCGACGGCCGGGGCGAUCCGGGGCGACGCGCGUCGAGGCAGGGCCAGGGCGGCGCGCAUCGGGGCAGGCCGGCGAGCGACGACGGCGACGGCGUCGGGGCAGGGCGGCGAGCAGCGACGGCGUCGGGCGAGGGCGCGGGCGACGGCCUCGGGGCAGGGCUCGGCGACGACAGCGACGAGGAGCAGCGUGGGGGCGUCGGGACGGAGAAGAAGUGAUUUUUGCAGAAACUGCUAAGUGUUUCUUAUAUAGCAAAGGACUAGCGAGUAGUGCGCGGCGGCACGCCGCGCCAUAAUGGCAAAGUAGUUCAUACAAGAAAAGAUACAUCAUACAUGCAUAAGUGAUCUACAACAUGUAGUGAUAGUGGUGGCAAUGUAGUUCAUAUAAGAAAAUAUACAUCUAGUUGGUACAUGCAUGAGUGAUCUACAACAUGUAGUGAUAGUGGGUACUGGAAUUGUGAAGCACUUGUUUUCUUUCUAGACCCAAGAUAUUGAUUCUCCUGCUAGAUCUGUCUUUGUGAUGUAGUGGUAGUGAAAUUUACUUCUGAAUCAAACCGCCGCUACGGGUCCUAAGAGACAUCUCAUCACCAACCAAUCUACACAAGUCGAUCCAAUCUGUUCAAAUCAAUCCACAGAAGCUGUGCAAUCCAUUCAAGUUGAUCCACCGAAGCAUGCGCGGCCAACUGUGCGCGGCGGCACGCCGCACCCAUUGGUUCAGUAUGUGUUUCUUUUGUUAUAGCUUUUGAAAAAUUGUUGUACGGUCUGCAUAUGCGUACCUUUGAGCCAGCUCAAGAGUUUUUUACGCCCAGCAGUCUAUUUUUUUUUCCUACAUAUACUUCUUGAACACACUUAACUACGCUUCUCAUAUAGUCACAUUCUCGGCUUUUUUGAAGUGCAGACCAACUUAUGGAGAAAAAAUUAACAUGUAGAAGGUAAAAAAGAUAUGCAACUGAUGAAUCGUUCUUUGGCUUCUUUUCUAUGAAUCAUCCAAGAUACAACAUCCAUAUGUGUGACACUCUACUUAUAUGGAGAUGCCUCAUCUAACGUCUACACCAUCAGGUAGGAAGCAACAUGCCCCAAUUCAAAACUUGUCUCCAUGUAUAAUGUCCCCCUUCUCUAUACAUGUCCCAGCACCACUUGAACCCAUCCCUGAUUGGACAUGAACAUGUGUUACGUGAAAAUUAAGAAAAACUGAUUUGUGGAGAUGUAUUGGAAUACUUUACGUAGGACCAUGGGCCAUAACAACACAAAAUUUUGCACCACAUUAGAAAAUACUUCUAAUUUUGCAACACAAAACAGGCAGCCUAUAAAAAAGACAUUUUUUCUAAUUCGCAGAUCUUCAAAUUUCAACAAUACGAAACCAAUUGAUGUAUUAUAUAGUGCUAGCGAAAAUUGCAGAAGCAUUUGCCUGUUUAGCAAACUGAUAAUUGAAAGUACGUUAGCUGGGCGAGAUACCAUCUGGCUGUCCAUGAACAAACAAACUGGAAGCACACUAUUACGGGAAAAUAGUCUAUGUAGGUGAUAGCAUCCAAGAUCACUAAAAUAUUAUUUAGCGUCUAUGGGCUUCCAGAUGAACACAUAUUUCUGUCUAUAGGCUUCCAGAUGAACACAUAUUUCUGUCUAUAGGCUUCCAGAUGAACACAUACUACAGUCUUGCCUAUAUUCCAAUAACUCUGUGUGAUUAACUGAAUAUGUACCAGCAGGCCAAUAAAAAUGGUACCUACAACACCACAAGGGAGUACCUCAUACAGGUAGCACCAAGCCAGAGACCCAGUCAAUAGUUUGUGUCAACAUAAGCUCGCAGAAUAACAAGUUCAGUCUGCAUAAACAUCAUUUCUCUCCUGUAGGCUAUGGAUUUUACACAGCUAAUGAGUAUGUUCUUAUAUAUUUCAUGCAAUAAUGGUAAUCUGAACCAUGCUUAAGAAAAGCUAUCCUACGCUACUGCUAAACAAAAACUUCUCUCGUGAAGAUACGUGUCAUGGUAACUACAACACGCUGCUUGAAUCUAUACAAUAAUGGUAAUACCUGAACUUGAUAACGGUCAGGGUUAAUCCUAGGUGUGUCGUUCUUACACUUUCUCUCCGUAAUGGGUCAUGCAGUUACUCAUUGCUCAUUUUAUCAAUUACAUUUAAAAAGCUGAUUCUUAGAUCUGUGAUUGCAGCUGACGUCAGGAACCUCAUCUGUAUUUCCCAUGUGUAAUUAUAAUGCAAGGUAUAAAGAAAAUUUAUUACUAAAUGUAUCUAUCGCUUUGUGUCUUUACCUUAUACACCUUCAUAUUUCCCCCUUAAUAUUGAAAACCUUGCUGGGGAGGCUCGGCAUAAUACUCCCAGACCUAUAAUAGAAGUGUAAAAACAGAUAUAUACAGUAAAAUGGACAUGCAGAUCGCAUAUCUUGACUACUAUUAAACUAUCAUCGGAAAAGAAUUAAACUUCCUAAUCUACAAAAUUACCAAAAGAUUAUAGAAGAGAUACAACCCUACUAAAACACGACAGAACCACAAAUCGCAAAUGCAAAUUGAUUCGAGACUUGUUCAGUGUUCACUGGGUGAUGUUAAUCGUCGUGGUGUUGCACAGUGGCACGUGAGGCCAUCUUUUUCUAUAGAUGGCCUAGAUGUAUUAAGAAAUUCAACUUCCAUUUACAGAUUCAGAAUAGUCCAUGGAUAAUUUAGAAUAAUCGGAGGAAAACUUUGCUCUCACAUUGGCUGACAUUGGUAAACAAAAUUUAAUUGAAAUGUAAAUAAGUUCAAGCUGCAAUAUUUUGAAUGCAAGACAGAUCUGUUUGUGACUAUUGCACAUGAAUUUUAGUUUUUUUUUGAAAAAUCACCAGGGGGGAGCUCCCCCACCUGAAUAUAUUUCUCAUUUUUGUAACCCAACGUCUGUCCGAUUACAAAGGUGAAUUACAUAAGCACAUGUAAGCGUGAUAAGAAGUAGGAACGCCAUGAGGAGGUGGCCUGCUUAUGCGCCGUUUUCUUCAUCCGGUGUGUCCAGAGCAUAAGGUCAUCAAUGAUUCGCUUGAGGGUGAAGAUGUUGUGGUGGUUUUGUUGCUUGAAAGUCAUGGCGUUUCUGGAGUCCCAUAUUUUCCAUAUUAGCGCGUCAAGCUGGUUGGGGAGGCGGCAGUCCCAAAGGUUGUCGAUGGAGUUGGGUGGCGACACCUAGAAAUCCUACAGGAGAGACAACAAAGAGCACAACUCGGUAGUGGCAUUAGAUGUUAGGCGGUUCCUUAUGAUUUAUUCUAGACCGUGGUUCAUAACAGCAGCCACACGAGCGAGGGGGGUGGUGGUGUGUGAGUAGAGGCAGGGGAAGAGAGUAGCGAGUGAUUGUUGGUGUAACCAAAUAUCUAGCCAAAAAUAGGUGUUUGUUCCGGACUGUGUGAUGACGAAGGAGAUGGAGUGUAGAGCUGGUAGUUGGUGGUUUAUGGUUUGGCAGAGGAAGGAGUGGCUGUUUUGUGGAGCGAUGAGAGCAUUUGGGUGUUGAAGGUCAAUCCAAUCUUGCCACGGAGUUUGGUCCGGUAGUAGAGCUUUUACAACAAAUUUCAUUAAUAGACAGUUAUUCUGAACAUGGAGAUUUUUUAGACCUAGACCACCUAGCUUUUGGGCUUACUAACAUUUUUCCAGGCAACUAAGCAUUGAGAACCGGUGCAAGUUUCCUCUGUGGCCCAGAAGAAAGCACGACGUAUGGAGUCUAGGGUUUUUAGCACACUUUUUAGGAUGAGAAAGACUGGCAUAAAAUAGACUAAGAUGGAGUCAAGGACAGCAGACAGAACGAUGAGCCGGUCGCCCCUGGAUAGGAUUUUUGCUUGCCAACCUGACAAGAAUUUUCGGCAUCGUUCGAUAAUGGGUAGAAAGGCGUUUGGGGGUAGACGGGUCGGUGCCAGGGGGAGGCCUAGGUAGAUUUGUGGAAAGGUUGAGGUUGUGCAUUGCAUGGUGGUAGCAAUGGAGUCUGCCACAGAAGGGCAAACAUGCAUAGGUACGAAAGUAAUGUUUGUGUAGUUUAUCGUGAGGCCUGUAGCCAUUGCAAAAUUUUGGAGAAUGUGUUUUAGCUGCAUGGCGGCGUCAUUGGAUGCCUUGGCGAUUAUGAGGGUGUCAUCGGCAUAUUGUAGAACGGUCGGUGGCAGGUGUGUGAACAGGAGGUGUGUUAGGUGCCGAGCGUCACAGUGUUGUGUGAUCAUUUGUUGAAGGAGGUCAGCAACGAUGAUGAAAAGGUAGGGUGAUAUGGGGUCUCCUUGUCUGAGUCCGUUUUUGCAGUUUAUCCAGUUUCCUGGGAGCCCGUUCAGCAUGACAGUUGUUUUUCCUGUUGAGAAGAUAUCCUAGAUCCAGGCCGUGAAUUUUGGCGGGAAGCCGCUGAAGUGGAGGAUGGCGUGGAGAUAUUCCCAGGAGAUAGUGUCGAAGGAUUUUGAGAAGUCUAGUUUCAUGACCAUGGUUGGGGCUUUUCGAUUAUGGCAGGAGUCGAUAAGGUCCGUAGCAUAGAUAAAGUUUUCCACGAUGCAACGGCCUGAGAUAAAGCCAGUCUGGUUUCCCUGAACAAGCAGUGGGAUCAGCGUUUUUAUUCUGUUUGUGAGGAUCUUGGCGGCGGCUUUGACGGGACAAUUUUGGAGAGAGAUCGGGCGGUAGGAUCCUGGUGUAUUUGCUUCUUCUAUUUUUGGCAGCAGAAUUAGGUGGGCGCGGUUUAAGCAUUCAGUUUGUGCAGAGAGGUUUUGGAAGUCUGUCAUGAAUAAGAAGAUGUGGUUUUUUAUGAGAUUCCAGUAUUUUCGGUAGAAGGGGGGGCCAAAACCAUCCGGUCCGGGGCUAGCUAGGGGGUUCAUUUGCAUGAAAGCAUCUUUUAUUUCAUCCUGAGAAAAGGUAGAUUCUAUAUUGAGUAGUUGGGGUAGGGGUUGGGGGUAGAAUUGUUGUGGCUGGAAGGCCCAGGAUGUAGGCGGUGCGCAACCUAUGAUGGAUGUGAAGUGUUGCUGAAGAAUGACUGCUUUUUUGUCGUGGGAAUGGAACUCCGUCCCAUUUUGUAGGAGGGAAAUUAUGGUGUUCUUUCGAAGUCUCUGGGAGGCGGUGGCGUGGAAGUACUGAGAGUUCUCCUCACCGUGAAUAGCAGCGCGCACUUUCCCCUGUUGCUUCCAGAAAGCCAUUUUUCCGAAAUAGCUAAGUGCAAGGCAUUUGAGACGACAAGUCUUAACUUGUGUUCGGCUCUAGAGAGUGGCCGGGCUUCUUCUUUUAGGUCGAGGAGGUUUAUGACUUGUUUUGCUGCUGCUUCGCGGAAGUGGGCUGGUGAUUUUUUGGAUGCCCAUUGUUUGAGAGAGGAACGUGUUGUUUUGAGGGCUUUUGAUAGGGCGGCUGCUGAGUUUAUUCAUUGGGCUGAUUGGCGGUUUGUGGCCCAGCAUUUCUGCAUGAUGUGAUGGCAUUCUGUGGAGAGAGUCCAUGCAGACCCGAAUCUAAAGUGGCAUGGUUUUGGUACACCUGUCUGGAUGCGUAGGAUUAGGGGUACAUGAUCUGAUGUGAUGCUUGGCAGUGAGGACAGUGUUGUGUUAGGGAAGUAAUUAUUCCAUGACAGAUUAAAGAACGCCCGGUCUAGUCAUUCUAAGGUUGGAAGAGAGUGUUUGUUAGACCAAGUGAAGCGUCGGUCGAGCAGUGGGAGUUCGAGUAGGGCUAACUCAUUGAUUAUGCUGUUAAAAGCAUCUGCUUCUGGUUGGUGAAAGUUGUGGUUAUUUUUUUCGUGCAAAAAACGUACAAGGUUGAAAUCUCCUACUAUUAACCAGGGCGUGUGAUCGUCUUGUUUUAUCGUUCUGAGUUCAUCAAGAAAAGCUUGUUUGAGGUUGCGACUUGCGGGAGCAUAGACGUUUGUGAUGAUAAAGGGUUGUGGGUGCGCAAGGGACGUGAGUUUGAUCGAUGUGGUAAGGUGGCUGUGCGUGUGCGAGAGCACUAAGAAGUAGUUUGAGUUGAAAGCCAAGACUGUUCCCCCAGCCGAGCCGUCGGCCGGUAAAAACACAUGUUGGUCCAGAGAGCGAGGUAGGAAGGAUCGUAAUUCUUGUUCAGUAAUGACAUUUAGUUUUGAUUCCUAUAGGAGGGUGCAGUGUGGGUUAAUGCUGAUAAGUUCGGAGAGGAUAUCAACACAUUUUGACACAUCACCAAGACCUCGUACAUUCCACGAACAGAUAGAUAGGGUGGUGUUACUCAUACAGAUAGGAAUACAUCAGACACUUAGACGAGAGCAAACUACUGAUAUGAAAUGCUAGGGAGCAAUAGACUAAGGGGUAGUUGAGGCAGACACAAGGUUUGCCCCGUGCACAUAAGCUACGGGAUAAGUAGAUCCGAUCGGCCGAUUCGCGGUAGGGACAACAAGUCACCGCUAGGCCGCCACCUGGGCGUGCGUGGGAUAGUUGGAGCAUCAUGGCAGAGCGUCAGCAUCGCCGUCGUCGCUGCUGUCAUCAGUGUGAGCAACGGAAGCAACAGCAUCGCCGUCAGCCCCGCACAGUGCAGCAAUCUCCGCAAGGGAUGCGGCAGAAGCAGACGGGGCUUUAGGGACAUCGAGCUGGGUGUUGUGGAUGGCGUCCUUGACAGCCUUUGCGACAUCCGAGGCAGUGAGGCGCGCGACUUUUGCCCUGACAGCCCUAGUAGUCAUAUCAAUGAAGACAGAGGGCUCUUUGGCGGCCAGGCGGGAGCUUGCACAUGAAUUAGAACUCAGAACUGCAUUACCUGAUUAAAAUCUAAAAUCCCAUGAAUUCAUAAGAAAAGCUAUCAUGUGGGAAAACUCAGCAAGUAAUCUCACAUAUACGGAAAGCUAAAAGUUUAGGGGGGGUUUCCUUUUCCUCCAGAGAAGCCCAUGUAAAACUGUUUUGGUCGAAAAGUGCAGGCUGACAUAUCUUGUACUCCUCGAUCUUGAAUGUAGAUACUUCCAUAAUCUGAGAUAAGCUCAACAUGAAUAUUGUAACACUUUGUGUUCAGAUCAAUACACACUUGUACUCCUCGAUCUUGAAUGUAGCAUUUGGGUAAAAUAAAUGACAGUACAUUAUCUGAUCUCAUGAACCAACCUAACUCUGAAUGAUGGGCGAAGCAGAACAGGUAAGCGGGACAGUGAGAGCAACCAAAUUAAGACGGGGAGAUGCACUUACAGGAAGGUAUGUGAAGAUUUUUUUCACUUCGAAUGCUUCCAUGCAGCAUCAGCGCGCUGAACAUCCAGCAAAGAAAGAACUAAUGAACAGCAUGAACCAAUAAAACAAAUCAAGAUUAAGGCAAACAUUAACCAAGGGAGAGUAAAGAAAAAUAGGACUGGGAAGGAACGGAGCCACACUAGUCGGAGUCUGCAGCAUGUGCUUGAAGGUGAGAUGCACCGGCACAUGAUGACCUCGCCGGAGCUCUUCUCAUGCCGCUGCUUGACAUGGAUGGUCUGGCCACCGAAGAAAGAAUCCACCCAUCCAGACUGUGAACCUGAAACUCACUAAACCAAGAUAUCAAAAUCAGAUUAAUCCAAUCUAUAGCGGUGAAAUCAACUUGUAAAUUGAGAAUCAAAUCAUGUUGCUAUUGAUCAAUCAUCAAGCACUGUGAGCUGAGUCCACUGGACAUUGUGAGUCAGGUAAUGAUGGAUCAUGAAUUGGCAAAAAUGAACAUACCAUUUGGGACGCAAGAAUCCUUCUGUGGCCUCUUCCCCUCCACCUGUUCGGCCAACGUUGCUUCUGGUGCAGUACUGCACUACUUGACGAAGGAAAGUACGUGACCAUCGUUCAUGCUCAUGCUUGGCUCAGUUUGGUCAAUUGCUAGAACACCUCGCAUGCGAGCUGAACACCAGCAUCGCAGGAGGAAGCAAGCGAGGGGCUAGAGCUAGCGCGGGGCAGAGAGGCUGCUAGAGGAGGCCAGCGUGUCAACCUAGACAGCCUGUUCACGUACCUGCAACAGAACAAUCGUCUCCCGCCCACCCUCCUUCGACGCCGGGCACGUCCUCUUCCUCUGCCCGAGCUGCUUUUUCAAGACUCCAAUGGCAUUGCCGCCCCAUCCUUCAAUGCCAACACCGCCACCGAUGACCCAAGCAGCGAUGGAGGAGCCCCUGGCCAUAUGGUGUGUCCCCGUUUCGUGAUUUUCGUCGCCUUAGGGAAAGAGGAGCGGUGUACUGCAGGAGAGCACGGAGCUCCCUUCGGCCGGUGGUAAGAGAUGAGAUGGAGGGCAUGGGAAGAAGCUCACUCCGGCGGCGUCAAGAGAUGAGGUGGAGGGCAUGGGGGAGGGGGCAUGGGGAAUUGCUGCGGGCCGCUGGCUGACUCGAUCUCGAGCAACUGCUCGGAGGCAAUGAGAGGAGACGUGUGUCUGAUUUAUAUACUGAUAUACUGAGGAGGGGACGUCUCUAGAUAAGUUGACGUGUCGAUCUGGUGAUCCCUCUUUACCUUCAGGAUUACACGCGUGACAUCCAGAUUGACCUGUUGUACACCCAAAAAACUUUUAAAAAAUCAGAAAAAAUAUGCAACGACGCGUGGGACGGGGCCAACAUACCUAAAGCGGCAACAACCCUGUGAAUCGAAUGUGAAAAAUGUAGAGACAGAUAAAAAAGGCAAGAACUCUCUGGAAACUGAUGGUAGACAAGGUAACUACCAUGCCAGGAGAGAAAACAAACUCUUCCAGACACGCGUCAUUUUUACAACAGCGGUAAAAAAAGUUCAAAAAAACCAGGAAAAAAAGAACCCUUAUGGGCCUAGUAUUCUUAGUCUUUGGUCCCGGUUUGUGGCACCAACCGGGACCAAUGCCACCCUUCAGUCCGGUUGGUGCCACCAACUGGGACCAAAGGUCUCUUUUCAGCAGCUCAAAGGGCGGGAAGCAGAGGCCUUUGGUCCCGGUUGGUGGCACCAACCGGGACUAAAGGGGGAGCAUUGAUAUCGGUUGGUGCUACGAACCGGUACAUAUGCACCGCCUUUAGUCCCGCUUGGUGCCACCAACCGGGAUCAAAGGCCCUUGUGUUGCCCGCGUCACGACCAAAGUUUAGUCUCACCUCGUUAGUUGAGAGGGGCGCGCAGUGGUUUAUAAGCCCCACUGCCGCACCCCUCUCGAGCUCCUCUCCAUUCCAGGCUUACGGGUCUAAUUAUUACUGCUAUGAUGAUGGGCCUUCUAGGGCCUGAAUCCGGGCCCAUGGAUGGGUUUCUAGUUGUACUCAGGCCGUGGUGGCCCAGUUGGUGGCAAAAAUUUUAUGUUUUCCCAUUUUUUUCUUUUUUGCUUUAUUUAUUUUGUUUUGUUUCUACUUACAACAAAAUACUUAUUUAUUUCAUUUUAUUUUGUUUAUAAUUACAUACUAAUUUUAUUUUAUGAUAAUUCUUUUUGCUAUUAAAGUUUCUAACAAAAAAAGUUCUUUAUGAAAAUUCUUUUUGCUUUUAANNNNNNNNNNNNNNNNNNNNNNNNNNNNNNNNNNNNNNNNNNNNNNNNNNNNNNNNNNNNNNNNNNNNNNNNNNNNNNNNNNNNNNNNNNNNNNNNNNNNNNNNNNNNNNNNNNNNNNNNNNNNNNNNNNNNNNNNNNNNNNNNNNNNNNNNNNNNNNNNNNNNNNNNNNNNNNNNNNNNNNNNNNNNNNNNNNNNNNNNNNNNNNNNNNNNNNNNNNNNNNNNNNNNNNNNNNNNNNNNNNNNNNNNNNNNNNNNNNNNNNNNNNNNNNNNNNNNNNNNNNNNNNNNNNNNNNNNNNNNNNNNNNNNNNNNNNNAGUUUCAUAAAUUUUAUUUAUGUUAUUAAAGUUUAUUUUUUUUCAUUUUAUUUUGUUUCUACUUAUCUCUUUUAUUAAAGCUUAUAUUAUUUUGUUUCAAAUUACUUAUUUAAUUUAUUUUAUUUUUUUCUGACUUCAUUUGUCAUUUUUCAUGCAUUUACUGAUUAUUUUGAGUUAUAAGACCAUGAAAUUGAAAAGCAUUUGAAAUGAACUCUGAAAAGGUUUCUAGUUGGCAUGGUAUCAUCAUUUCGCCCACAUAGCAUUUGCAAGAAAGUACAGAGGGUUACGGAAAAAACUGGAUGCACUUCGUGUACAAAACAGACAAUCUCCUUCGAAGUAUCAGGGUUUCAUAUGGAAACUCGUCUGUUACAAAGGAAUUUCAUUUUUUUGAACUUAUUUGAACUCCAUAGUUUUUAUGUGUUCAAAACGCACCAUUCAAAGCCACAUCAUCAAUUUACAACCCUUUCUGACUUUAUUUGUUAUUUUUCAUGCAUUUACUGAUUAUUUUGAGCUAUAAGACCAUGAAAUUGAAAAGCAUUUGAAAUGAACUCUGAAAAGGUUCCAAGUUGGCAUGGUAUCAUCAUUUCAACCACAUAGCAUGUGCAAGAAAGUAUAGAGGGUUACGGCAAAAACUAGAUGCACUUCGUAUACAAAACAGACAAUCUCCUUUGAAGUAGCAGGGUUUCAUACGGAAACUCGUCUGUUACAAAGGGAUAUUAUUUUUUUGAACUUAUUUGAACUCCAUAGUUUUUCUGUGUUCAAAAUGCACCAUUCAAAGCCACAUCAUCAAUAUACAACCCUUUCUGACUUCAUUUGUUAUUUUUCAUGCAUUUACUGAUUAUUUUGAUCUAUUGUUGUGCCCUCAUUGCUUAGUACUUCUCAGUUUUUCCCCACCCAACUAAGGUCUCUCACUUUUCCCCUUCAUCAUUCGUCUGACAGUCAAAAAUGCCCAAAACGGAGCGUUUCCGUUGGGUCAAUGUAGUUGACCACCUGAUGCACAUACUAACACGUGGAGCACCCAGGACCCACCUAUCAGCAUUUGGUUUGCGUGGAGCACCCAAGACCCACCUGUCGGCAUCUGGUUUAUUAGGGAAAAACAGUUGACUGAAUGAUGCGUCGAACAUCCCAGAACAUACAUGUCAGUGUCUGAUUUAUUUGCAAACUAAAGGGUGGAAUAUAAUGCCGCCCAUGGGGGUCGAACACCAGAACAAUCGUUGACUAUGCAUAGUGCGAGCCAUUCCACUUGGUUCGUCUUUGUGCUUAUUUUUGCAGAGCCUCGGCUAUAUAACCUAAUAUUUUCUUGCGAUCGUACAUUACAAAAGGGCUCAUGAAUCAGUGACCGUGGAAAGAAAGAACGUGCAGUGUAAAACACAUCGGAUUCAAAUAUUCUGAGAUUCAGAUAAGCCUAACAAGCACGAAAUUUUAACAGGGGCGACAUAAGAUGGCUGGCCGGCGUCGACAUAGGCUACUUGUCUUGAUCGUCCAAAUGGACAAUGCUGCCAUAGUCGUCGUCGUCGUCAUUAUGGUCUUUGUCAUCAUGGGAGGAUAGGAUGACGACGUAUGGUCCCUCACCUUCCGCCUCAAGGGCGGCCGCUGCACGCAGAUUGGUGGCCCUCCUGUUCUUCAGGCUCCCAGCGCCUAGCACCCUCUAGCUACGAUGUGGACAGAGACACGACUAGCACUGCCUACUCGAGAUGCUGCUGCACCGAGCGCAGGGCUAGCUUCGCAUGGGCAGUGAGCACACCAGCAUAAUGCAGGAGCCAACACAUCUUCCUCUGCCUCAUCUUCCAUGUCAUGGACGUCGAGGUACUCCUGCAUCGCCUUGAAGGCCACCUCCUCCUCAGCGUCCUCCUCCUCAACCUCCCUAUGGUUACAAGAUAGCUCAAAUGAUGCAAGCUCAAGCUUGGACUUGUUGGAGUAGGGGCUCGAGCCCAGCGAGUUGGAGCAGGCGCCAGACUUGGAGCCUGCGUAGGAGUUGGAGGCUGCCGCUGCUCUGGAAUUGGAGCCGCCACCGCGGUGCCGGGCACCGGCGCCCUAUGGCAAUGACCUCCCUUGGACAUGUUGCAGUUUUUUUGGCUACUUACGUACAUGUUGCACCGUUUUGGAGUACUUAUAUACAUGUUGCAUCUUUUUGGACUACUUACAUAUAUGUUGCCCCUUUUUUGGUAAGUUGUGCCAGUGCAUGAUACUCUCAUUCUAUGUUAGACCUGUUAUUAGUUAUUUUUGCAUGUUGCUAUUUUUUGAUAAGUUUGUAUGUUGCACUGUUUUUGAACAUGUAAAAGCCAAUUAACAUUGGAAUUCCUAAAGGUAGCAUACACCAACUUAGUAAGAACAUUCAAACAAAAGUUAACGACAUGAUUAAGCUUACCAAAUCAUAGUACGACAACAUCAUAUUAUUUUCAGUUAACACUAGGAAUCCACAUGCCUGGUCCUCAAAACUAGCUAGAAGGGGGUUGGAGACGCUUCAGAUGACGGGUGAUGACCCACAAGUAUAGGGUAUCAAACGUUGUCCUUUCGACAAAUAAGAGUGUCGAACCCAACGAGGAGCAGAAGAAAUUACAAUCGGUUUUCAGCAAGGUAUUUUCUGCAAGCACUGAAAUUAUAUGUGACAGAUAGUUUGGUAGCAAGAUAAUUUUGUAAUGAGCAACAAGCAGAAACUGUAACUAAGGUGCACCAAGGUAGGCCAACCCUUUUUGUAGCAAAGGACAUACCGGUACAAUCUCUUAUAUCAAGUAAAGCACUCUUGAGGACACACGGGAAUUUCAUCUAGUCACUUUCAUCAUAUUUACUUGCUUCGCGUUCUUUACUUUGAUAAUUCGAUAUGUGGGGGGACCGGUGCUUCGGUGUUGUUCUUACUUGAACAAGCCUCCCACUAUGAUUACCCCCUCUCGCAAGCUUUCGUAACUACGAAAGAAGAAUUAAGAUAAAUCUAACCAUAAGAUGAAACAUAUGGAUCCAAAUUAGCCCCUUACGGAAUAACACAUAAAUUAGGGUUUAAGCUUUUAUCACUCUAUCAAACCAUCAUCUAAUUACUACUAAGGGAAUGAUGUUGAAGUGUCAUGUAGUUCAUGUUCACAUAACAAUACUAAGGGAAUCACAACAUACAUAUCAUCAAAAUAUCGAACGAAUACCAAAUUCACAUGAUUACUUAUGAGAAGACUUCUCCCAUGUCCGCAAGAAUAAAAAUAACUACUCACAAAUCAUGAUCAUGUUCAAGAUCAUAGGGGUAUUGAAUAUCAUUAAGGAUAUGAACAUAUAAGCUUACACCAAAUAAACCAACUAGCAUUAACUACAAGAUGUAAUCAACACUACUAGCAACCCACGGGUAUGAAUCUGAAGUUUUGAGACAAAUAUUGAAUACAACAGAUGAACUAGGGUUUGAGAUGAGAUGGUGCAUUUGAAGAUGUUGAUGAAGAUUGGUCCUCUCACAAUGAGAGGAUUGUUGGUAAUGACGAUUGCUUCAAUUUCCCCCUCUCGAAGGGAAGUUUUCAAGGCGGAAUCACUCCGCCAAAGAGCAUAAGUGCUCCUGCCAGAUUCCGCCUCGAGACGAUAGUGCUUCAUCUCGAAACCCUUCUUCCGAUAUUUUUCUAGGUCAAAUGGCAGCAUAUAGGAGAAGAUGGUCCCUGGAGGCUAGCAGGGGCGCUAUAACCUUGGGGGCGCUCCCUAGGGGGUAGGGCGCGCACCCUAGGCUUCUCGCUUCCUGGUGGGUCCCCUUCUAGUAUUCUUUCUCCAGCAUAUUUUAUAUAUUCCAAAAUAAAUCUCCGUCAAUUUUCAGGUUAUUUGGAGUUGUGCAGAAUAGGUAUCUUUUGAUAUAGCCCUUUCUGGUCCAGAAUUCCACCUGCCGGCAAUCUCCCUCUUUAUGUGAAACUUGCAAAAUAAGAGAGAAAAAACACAAGACUAUUAUCAUAAAGUGAAAUAACAAUCCAUAAUGCGAUAAAUAUCUAUAGGAAAACAUGAUGCAAAAUGGAAGUAUCAACGAGCCACCUGAUGGUGGGACCGUUGAGCAUUCCGCUGAAACUGAGCCAUGAUCACAUAUUACUCCUCCACUAUCGGGAUAGUGUUGCAGCUCAGCUUGGCCUCCAAGCUAAGCAGCGGUAGAUUCUUCCUGGCAUCAGCCUCCAACAACUCCUGGUCAUGCAUCUUCUGAUCCUCGCCGUCCACUGGAAUGGUCAGAUCGUGUUUACCAACGAAGGACGAGCGAUGACCUUCAUAUCCCCUGAUAGCACAACCUUUCGGCAACCUCCUCCUGGACGAUGAUCUCCAAACACCCCGGUAGUUGUCAUCUACUGCAUCCUCCACCCGCUCCUUGUCAGAAUCCUCCUCCCGCUCCUGCUCGUCGUCAGAAUCCUCUUCCUCCUCCUCCUCCUCCUCCUCCUCCUUGUCAGAAUCCUCUUCCCCCUCAUCCUCCUUAUCAGAAUCGUCUCCCUCCUCCUCCUCGUCAGAAUCAUCUUCGUCCUCCUCAUCGUCGGCAUCCUCCUAUUAAGUUUCCUCGUCGAUGAUGUCAAUAAUACGCAAAUUCACCAUUCCUUCCGGCUGUGGAUUUGGCGGGAGCGAUAAUCGUACCAGCAUGCUCGUUGUUGAGGAUCCGACGAAUCCAUUGCUUCUGCCAUUCGCCAAAGGAGAACCUCCAUUGAUAUUGUGCCCUUCUCUUUAGGAAUCAUCCGCUCCAGUUCGACUGAUGUCACUUCAAAGGUUAGCCCAGCGAGUGCAACUCGAGAGCUUUUUUGCUUGGAAACCAGGAGCAUAUUUCCUUGCACUCGGCCAACAACUCCUCGCCUCCGGCACAAAAUUCUUCCAUUUCUCUCUUCCGUCCAAGUACAACUAGCAUCUAUUAAAGACAAAAUUUGCAAAUCAAAUUAUUAAAAAAGGAAUCGAUUAUAAGGAUCGAAAUUACCACAUAACCUAAAAUGGGCUCCUAUGAACGGAUCAUAAUCUAUAUUUUAGUAAACUAGCUGCCGCUAUCACGAAUCCAAUCCUAAAAAGACUUUCAUAACGUUUGCAAGUUGGAGCAGAUCAACGAACAACAAUUCAAUCACCCAAUCGCCCGUUCAAUCGAAUGAUCCUAAUUACUAGGGUUCCUAUUAGAAACGUGCAUGUCGCCCAACUAUAUCGGAUGGUUCCUGCUAGCUGCGACGUAUCACCAUAUCGCUUCACCAUUGGAGCUAAGGCAUACGGUCGAGUAGGCGGCGGGACUGCUAGGGUAUGGCGGCACGGGACUGCUACGCGAACAACGACAUUUGGCCUCCGUCAUAAGCGGUCACAACCAUGGACCACCUACCAUACACGGCCCGCAUGUCCAAAGAACUGUGGCCCCACAUGUCAGUAACUGAGCUGUAACUAUCAACUGGUUUGACCGGCGACAAAGCUCUGUUUUGGCUCUUGUGAGAAUGAGGCGAGUGGUGGAGGGGAAAAGUGGGGAAAGUUAGAUGAUAUGGGCACAGAAAUUCGAAACCCAAUAAAAAUAUGGACAAAAAUAUGAUACUAUGUUUUUUAAUAAUUAUGUUCACAAAGACAUCUUACUCACAAUGACCAACUAUGGAGUAGUUGAGUGUAUUGAUGAUGGUGAGGUCGACAAGUGAACUAUACCAGUCUCAUGGGUGCAUGUGGUAUUGGUCGUACAGGGCUUGGGAGUAACUACCUUGUCUUACCUUUUCCCCUUGUCACAUUUUAAAAAUUCAUUAAUACCAUAUUCAGAUCUGCAUUUUGAUUGUUGAUUUAGUUUAUAUGAAGACAAGAAUUUUGGGUAAACAGCCAUACGUACAUAGCACUAAGUAAAGUAUAAACAAUAUUUCGAAAGUGGCUUGGCCACUUUGGUGCACCCCGAUCCAAUUUGGAAUAUAUGUGCGCCAUGCCGCUGCUAUUGGGACUAUGUACUAUGAUACAUAUCCAACGCUUUUUUAACCGCACCAGUGAUACAUGGAGUCAUCUGUGAGCUAUGAUAUUUUUUUCAGCCACACAUACAACAUCAAUAAUAUUGAAACACGGGAUUCCUAUUUCUAAUGAUCGCGCCAUACUUGGUCGAAUUGUAUUGUACCACCAAAUGCAAAAAAUCAAUAAUUCAAACAGUUUUCCCAAAGCACAUCUAAAUGUGCCAUAAGUAUUGCACAUCUAAAUCCUAUAUCUCAUCUAAUUCAAAAGCUAUACUAGUCACGCCCAUGUUAUUUUGGUUGGCACAUCGAGCUCGUCAAAUUGUAUGUAAGCACCGUCCAAACAUGGACCGAAUUAAUGUGCCAUAAAAUGUAGAUAUGUGUCGUAGCAUUGGAAGCAUUAAUGCGGCAACGCCAACCUCUGCUGCCAAUGUCUUCAAAAUGUGUCUUUUUCAUUCUCCGGGCUCUCUUUUCAUACACACUUCCCAACUUGUAUGCUACAAGAAAUCCACAUAGCGUACAUCAAUUUUGUAUUGUUGAAUAUACUAGUACGAGAUGUUGAAAUCUCAUAGGAGUGCCAAGAUGCAUCUUUCUAUAAUUUCGAUGCAUAAGGGUAGGAGGCAUGAGAAACAUAGCAAUAUUAAGGGAACUGCAAAUUUUUGAAAGUUAGUCUCACGACGUUGUUUCUUAGCGCUAUGUCCCUGACAUUGUGCUCCCUCCAAUCCUAACUAGUGCCUAUUUUUUUUUCAAUUUCCCCUCAAUACUCUGCGUGGUCCAGCGAUUCAGCGAUAGUUUCCUAUCAUGCCCCUGUUUUAGGUUCGCAUGCAAUGUCUCAUAAUUACUCGCAUGCAGAGAGAUAGGUUUAUGCAGGCAUGCAGGAAAUAAAAUCUGCAUGCCCAUGGAAAAAUAGUCAAGAAAAUAUCUUGUUGGCACUAAGGCAGACGAAAUGAUAAAGAACUAGAUGAUGGCCCGCGUAUUGCUGCGGGAACUCUUAGUCCUACGCAUAUAUGAUAAUACAUAGAUUGGAUUCCUAUGUUUGCAUAGUAGAUAUAUGAUCUUAAGAUAGUGAAAUGUGCAUUAUGUGAUACUUUUAUUAAAUAUAGUGGUACGACAUAAUUAAUCUGAUAUAAUUUACAUACAUACCAAUGUAUAUAUACACAUUAAGUACAGAGAUUCUAAAUUGGAGAUGACAUAAAACAUUAUAUACAAAUUGUCAUUUUGAGAUACUUACUAUGUAUUGUCUGGUGACUCCUGUUGUAAAUCAAUCUUCUGCAUUUUACUAUGUAGUAUACCAAGUAGGUAUUAAAGAAGUUUAUAGCAGGAAGCAUUAAGACAAUCUGCCAGAGCACAAUCAACCAAAUUUAAAAAAGUUGAGUGGGAAUAACACUACCUGAGAAAUCAAAUGCAUAAUAGAGAAAACACAUUUUUCUUUACGGAGCAGAGGAAACUAAAUACGCAUUUACGCUCCUGGUUUCAAUCCAGGGCUUCAAAGCUUGUGUGGAGUCAUCUAGCACCUCCCUACAAAGAAGCAUGAGUAUUAAAUUAGAUAAGACAAUUUGAUAACAAUACAGAAGAACAAACAGUGACCAUGCAUCGUUGGGAUAGCAAAUAAUACGGAUACUCAUUCAAAUAUGUGUGUCAAAAAACAAUCGGCAAACCAUGUAGGAACAACCUGACAUGAAUCAACUGGCAUGAGAGUGGGAGAUACAUAAGGAACUCCACCUGUAUGAGCCGACACACAGGUCCAUGAAGAAAUAUUAACAGCCCCGUGUGGUAAUUUUGAUAGAUAUAAUUAGGUAUUAAGGUAAGGGAUUAGUUACCGGCUCAUGGGCGUCAUCAGCACCAUCGAAGGGAAGGUGCUCCCGAACGACACCAAAAUGCGUGUCGGCGCAUGGUGAAUUACGUGCCCUUCUCCACGGGGGCGGAUUGAGUACAAUUGGGGAUCCGAUACUGCUAUCUUCCUGCAAGCGGUGGAUCGGCGAUAACCGGACGUUAUGCAACGUGUUGCCGUUCAAGUUCAUGGCGUUCCGGCUCUGACUAUGCAAGGACUCGGUGUACCUGUAGAUGAAGAUGUCGUUGGCCAUUCUGUGCAGGUUCUUUAGGUUAGUUGAUGACCACCUUCUCCAUGGCACACGACCUGAAGUUUCACAUCUCCAGGAUGCAUUUGUUUGGUGUAGAAGAUGGAGAUAAUCUGUCGUAGAAGAUAAAGAAAGUCAUGGAAAAUCAGUUGGUAGGGGAAUUAAUUGGGGUGAUGAAGGAGAUUUUCUGCCAUAUNNNNNNNNNNNNNNNNNNNNNNNNNNNNNNNNNNNNNNNNNNNNNNNNNNNNNNNNNNNNNNNNNNNNNNNNNNNNNNNNNNNNNNNNNNNNNNNNNNNNNNNNNNNNNNNNNNNNNNNNNNNNNNNNNNNNNNNNNNNNNNNNNNNNNNNNNNNNNNNNNNNNNNNNNNNNNNNNNNNNNNNNNNNNNNNNNNNNNNNNNNNNNNNNNNNNNNNNNNNNNNNNNNNNNNNNNNNNNNNNNNNNNNNNNNNNNNNNNNNNNNNNNNNNNNNNNNNNNNNNNNNNNNNNNNNNNNNNNNNNNNNNNNNNNNNNNNNNNNNNNNNNNNNNNNNNNNNNNNNNNNNNNNNNNNNNNNNNNNNNNNNNNNNNNNNNNNNNNNNNNNNNNNNNNNAACUGAAACCACAAAAAUAAGUGAUAACAUAGAUGCAACAUAUAUAUACCUUUUUAGAUUUUCAGUAAAAAAUGACAUGAAAUAAAAAAAACGUGUAACUGAUAGUAGUACUAUAGGAGGUGAAUAAACCUCUCAAGUACGACAUGAAAUAACUUGUUGCUACCCACACGUUGUGUUUUCUUAUUUAUACAUCAUAUCAGGUGCUUUCUUUACAAAGUGAUCCCGUGGAUCAAGCAACUCAAAACACACACAUGUUCAUCUAUAAUUUCCAGGCGUUCUUUAUACGAACCUCUUGAAACAGGGCUUAUUGCUAACGAUUCGAUGAUCCCUAUAGGGUGCGGUUAGCGAGAGUUCAUUACUGAGGACAGACAGACUGGCAAAACAACAGUAGCCACAGAUACAUUUCUCAGGAAAAAAGGGAAGGAUGUAAGAAAAACGAGAGCGAGCCUUCACGAAAGAAAAUGCAAGUGAAAGAGAAUUGUAAAAAUGUCCUAAAAGUGGUGGUUGUUUUCUUUAUGGAUCGGGUAGAUCCAUAUUUUCUGAGGGGGAGACGCUACCACUACUACAACCACUAUCACUAUCACUACCACUACCAUCACCACCACUACUACUCCUACUACUAUCAAUGGCACGCUUUGGGGUUGGUAAGAAUAUGGUCAUUAUUGUAGUUUGUCGAUAGUGGACUUGAAUGCUUUGCACUUUCAUUUUUUGCUCGCUUCGNNNNNNNNNNNNNNNNNNNNNNNNNNNNNNNNNNNNNNNNNNNNNNNNNNNNNNNNNNNNNNNNNNNNNNNNNNNNNNNNNNNNNNNNNNNNNNNNNNNNNNNNNNNNNAAUGGCACGCUUUGGGGUUGGUAAGAAUAUGGUCAUUAUUGUAGUUUGUCGAUAGUGGACUUGAAUGCUUUGCACUUUCUUUUUUUGCUCGCUUCAGCAUAACUUGGGUCUUUUAUGACUUCUUUAUUGGCCGGCAAAUUUGUGUGUGUGUGUGUGUGUGUGUGUGUGUGUGUGUGUGUGUGUGUGUGGGCGCGCACGCCUUCAUCUUGGCUGUGUUCAUUCUAUCUGUGGAGCUCAUUGUGUUUGUAUUAUCUUGAUGCUUCAUUUUGAGUCAUUAAAUUCAGUCUUCGUCGGAGAAAAACCAAGGUGAGGGACAUGAUCGACAUAAAUUACUUGUCUAUCAUAUAUUACUUCCACAAUUUUUCCAGUUGCAAUGCCCAGUUACCUUACCAGUGUCUGCUGACAAAUGGCUAAAAAUAGCAGUUUUACUACCAGCAUGACUCAAAUAUAAUGCUCAUCCCCUCUCUCAUAAUUUAAACCCAUAAGAGAUCCUCUGCAUUCACUUUAUUUCCGUCGUAUCUCACGGUAGUUAUGUGGAAUAAAAUAUCAGGAGAAAUGAUUAUAAGUAUAAACCAUAUACUGGAAAUGUACAUGGUAAAACAUACAAUAAAAUCUCGGUUCUACACAAAUGGCUAAAAAUAGCAGUUUUACUACACAAAUUAAACUUCUCCGCUCUCUCAUUUCACACACACCUCCUACCUUGUACUGCUACAAGGAAUUAAAACCCAACAUCUUUGGGCAAAGUUAAAAAAACCAACUUACAUCGACUUUCUAGUCUUCAACAUACCUGCACGGGAUUUUGAAAUGAGAUAGGAGUACCAGGAUGCAUCUUCCUAUAUAUUCAAAGCGUAAGAGUAGGAGCCAUGGGGAACUUAGCAAUAUCUACGACACCCCAAAUUUGUGCAACGGAGACUCGCGAAACAGUUUUUGACAGCUACGCCCUUAUCCUAUAAAGCUCACCUUUUUCCUUGGCCUGAGAACCACGUAUGUGAUGGAGAUGCGAUGGUAAUAAGGCGGACCAAAUGAUAAAUCAUACAUUUUGCAAGACAAUGGCGCGUGCCUAUGAAGAGAAUAGAAACCCAACAUCUUGUCGUGCCCCGCCGUAAGUUUUCGCACCGAGGCCUUCUCUGGAAAAAUAUGUUAGACCAGUUUUUUUAGUAAAUUUACAUAUUUCUAUUUGUACUUGAAUCGAAAUAUAUGUUCAUAUUUUCUGCCAAAGCUAAAAUUAUAUCAAAACUUACAUACCGAUCUGUAUUCGGAAAAUUCUAAAAUUUUAGAACUUUUAGCACUAAGAUAAUUUCUGAGAUACACAUUUUCGGCCACAUUUUUACUAAAAUCACUUGAAUAAAAUUAGAUUUAUCUAUUUGAACUUCAAUAAACAUAUGGAGUUCAUAUUUGCUACCGAAGUUGGAUAGUUAUCUAAAUUCGGAUAUCAAACUGUAUUUGUAAAAUUCUACUGCCUCUGAUCCAAAACAAGUGUCGCAGCUUUAAAUUAAGGUUAGUUAAACCUUAGCUCAAAGAUGGGACACUUAUUAUGGGUCGGAGGGAGUACAGUUUUUGAUGGAAAAAGACUGAAAUUAUGUGGUUGUGUGAUAUUGGCAAGCAGCUGACGAUCAACUAUCCACUUUCAAUGUGACACAACAUAACUUUCUUGUUAUUUUUUAUACCAUAAGCAUUUAGUCCACGUACUCCAAGCUGAAGGCUAUCACUAAAUUUUACUAAAACUGCACAAGUAAUUGAUAACAUAGACUUACAAUGACAUCAAUUUUGUAAUAUUCAAACAGUGUCUGAUUAAAGUUUUUAAUAUUCAAUCUAAAAUGCCUGAAACAAUAAGAAAAAUCUGUGCAAUUUAUAGUUGCAAUGCAGGCAGUGAACAAAUCUCUCAAUCAGGAAAUGAAAAUAAAUUGUUUAUUGCCGCAAGUUAUGUUUGCUUAUUUUGGUCACAUUACAUUAUUUCUUUCCUGAACUGAUCUUGCGAUUCUGUCAAGUCAAAAACACAAAAACAACAUAUUGUAGUUAAAGGCUUUACCAACCAUCAUCGUGGGGAAAGUCAUCGUCAAAACUGUUUUUCAUAAACUAAAUAAGCAUCAUCUUUUUUUCCCUGAAAAGUUACCCAUGAUUGUCUUUUUUUUCAUGUGGAUGAGGAUACAACAUAGAAAAAGAAAAUUGAUCAUCCCACGGUUACUUAAGCCAUUCCGGAUCGAGCUAUGUUGAGAUGAAAAAGGUUGAACUUCGGUAUAAAUGCUUAUAUGUAAAUAUAUUUCAGGUAUAGUAUAUUCUUGGAAAAAUUCAAGCACCUGACUCAAAUUAGCAUGGAGAGAAUAUGUCCAUCCGUGCGCCUUCUGUAAAUAAGGAGAAAAUUCUAUUAUUCCCAUGGUCCACCUAUAGCGAAAAGUAGAUAUUAACUUUCUAUUUGUGCAAGUAUUUAGUGCCGCAGUCCACUCAGCUUUCUUAUGUCGUACCCUGUCAGAACGCCGGUUUAUUACUGUGAUUGGAUCCAUAAUUACAAGUUCAUACUCUCCGAUCAAUUUAUAACAAACAUGAAGUAUAUUGUACGUACUAUCACAACCAAGAGUAUUCCAAUUUUUUGCCCUACAAGCUAACAACCAGUGUCUAAUUAAUUGACAUCUCGCUGGAUGAUCUUUCAUGUACACUGUUUGAAAUUUACCUUAAUCUGUCUAGAAGUAUAUUUCAGUGUAUUGGAUGAUGGUGAUUUAAGCAGUUCUAAGUAUAUUCUGAUUUCUUAUAAUUAAGCCAGUAGGAGUUUUUGUUGGUGGUUGCAUUCACUAGAAUUCUGUGUGUUUUGUUGAGGAACCAAAGUGAGUGAAAUGCCAUAGUUCCAUUCCUAGUAAAUUGUUGGGUUCAUUCCUACGUCUUGCUUGGAGCAACAAACUGGAAUGGAAUGCUUUCCCAGUCUUGCAUAUAUCAAAAGUGCUGAAUAACAUGCGCACGCAAGUAGAGCUGAUCAGCUGAGUAUACAAUCCAUAUAUCAAAAGUACACAUGGUACGAAGUACAGCAAACUCGGGGAGUGGAAGAACAACCAAACAUCGAUACAACAGUGUGGCCGGCCAUGCAGAGCUGCUUGGACGUACGUACUCCUCUCUCUCUCACGCAGUGAGAUAAUAUGAGAGCAUUUAUUCAUAUAUAUAUGUGGGUGUGCGUGUGUGUGACCUCAACGUACUAAGCGUAGAUCCAGCAACGAUGGCGUAGGGGACGAUGGCAACAGCGAUGGCAGCAAGUGCUCGAUCAGCGAAUCUUAGAGCAGUCGACCGAAGAGCUGAUGGCGUAAGGGACGCUAACGCCGCACUUUGUGGGGAUGCCGGCGGCCUUGCCAGCGUUGAGCCCAGCAGCAGCGCUCUUGAUGCACUUGCACGCCGCUUGCUUGUCAGCGGUGCUCCGGGCUGAGCUGGCUAGACUCCUAACGCCGCUGCAGCAGGCCGCAGAUGGGCUGGCGCCGUUGCCGCGUGCAUAGGAGAUGCAGGGGCUCAAGGCAGAGCUCACCUGACCGCACGAUACAGCCGCCUCCGUGACUGCGAGGAGCAUAGCAGCCACCACGGCGACGAGCACGACCUGAGCAAGAGCAGAACGGGCCAUCUCGAUCAAGCUAGCAAUAGUAGUGGUAGUGAGCUCAGGCAGAGAUGAUGAGAUAGCUAGAUUUGCUAA
rnacentral:lncRNA from 1 species